UUUCAUUAUCCUCAAUACACAAUACACACGCAAAUCUGACACACUUUUCUCUCUAUCCUCUCAAUGCCAGAGCUCAUCGGAGCUCAUGCAAAACCACUCUAAACCUGAUCCACCAUCAACCCCCUUUUUCUAUUUUUUUGACCAAACCCAUUCCAAACCAGCAAUGCACUCCCUUUUCUCCUCCAUUUUACCGCUAGCUCGCGAGAGGUGGUGACCGGAGAGCUUUGAGAUCCAGCCGCGCCACCACCACGCCCCUCUCCCACUGAUCUCUCUUCUCUUCCCUCUCCCAUCACUGCACCCUCUUGCCACUGCCCAGACCGUGAUGUGCUAGAUCUGUUUGAAAUUUGUAUAGUCGGCGUUUCUUCAAUGAAGUCGUAGAAGCAACAUCGCCACUUUUUCCUUUAUCCUCUUUUUUUUGCUACUGUUUCACUAAUAGCGACCAGAUCUGGUCGGACUUUUCAUGGUUUAAGUGUUCCUCUGAUCUGGCAAACAGGAUAUCGUCUCCAGUGGCCUCUUCUUUAAUAUGUAUUUGUAUAUGUUGUAAUUAUUUUCUUGAUUUAUUUGUUUCGGUUCAUUAUAUCAUUUCUUUUCAAUUUUUAUCAGAUUUCUGGUUUGUUCGGGUAUUUUUUUUGUUACUUGCUAGUGUCAUAGUUGGGGGUUGUUGCUUUGCUAGUUUCAUGUUUGUUAUUACCUUUGUUUUGGGGAUGAUUAACCUUCUGUUUUGUGUAAUUACAUUACAUUUUACCCCUUAUAAUUUUAUUAAAGUAAUAAUGAACAAGAUACUACACAUUUUGGGUGAUGAAGAAAUUUUUCGUCGAUUUUUGAGGCCUCCAUAAAUAAAAGACGGAUAUUAUGUAUACAAAUACGUAAUAAAAAAAGGUUUUAUCAUUUGUAUUUUGGCAAGAAAGUUUGGGACAAUCAAUCAAUUGAACAACCACUUUGUAGCCAUAGAGAGCAUCUAAAAUUUAAUCUGAGCCCAUCUUUUAAGAAAAAUUAUAUUUUUAAAUACAUAUAUGCACACAUACCUUUUAAAUUUAUUUGUUACUAACAUUUUUGUUACAAGUAGCAGGUGUUUGAGAACUCGUUGGGAAAGACAUUUAAAGGAGAUAUUAAAUUGUGUUGUACUUUUAUAUUUUUAUACUUGUACAAAUAUUAUCAUAGUGAAAAUUUUAUUUUUGGGGUGUUGGGUGGGUUAUUCUUUAUUUCACGUGAUUCUUAUCACGUGUUAGGCAAAUUUAGGCCGUUAACAUUUAUAUUAAAAUUUAUUUAGAUAUUUAAUCAAAUAAUUCACAUUUUUUUGACAUUAACCAACAUUACGUAUUCUUGUCCUUAGAAUAAUUUUUAUUUAUUCAAUUUUGUCUUUACAUACAUAUUUAUAUACUUUGUUUAUAUAUAUUUUACCAUAGCAUACACAUUAUAGUAUUUCAAUACAUAUUUUAUAUCUGUAUCUACAAAUAUUUUUUUCCUCUUUUAAUAAACCUAAGUCUGGCCGGAAACCACAUUUGUGGAUUCUAAAGGGUGUCUAACCCUUCCAUUCAGAAUAAUUUGAAACCUUACCUAGAAUUCAAAAUGGUUUCAUAGAUUAAAUAAAGUCAUACGUGUUAAACAAAUAAAUAGGUUUCUUAUUUUUCCUUAAAAAUUAGGUGUUGACUUUGUACAAAAUUAAUUCUUUUUGAGUCCAUAAUGUCGUACUUGUCUUGACUUUAGGUAAAAAUAGGGCAUGACAGAAUGAUGACUCUGCUGGGGAAUGCACGGUUCUAACCAUUAUAGAUUUAGGUAAUAUUUAUAUUCUUCUACAUUAUUAGUUGUUUCUUUCUAACUGUCUUGAUUUAUCUUGUUUGUGUGGAAUAAAUUAUUAUUUAUUUUGUAUAACUUAUUUAUUUAUUUAUUUAUUGCUUUAUAGAAACUGGCAUUCCAUUCAUAUUUUUUUUUUUGGGAAAGCAGUCACAAUCAUACAUACAAGCGAGUUGUGUUUUGCGCACUCGCAAAUUUCUUUCAAAACCCAAAAUUUUAGGAGAGUUGGUGUUAGCACAGUAUGUCCAAAUCUUUUUCUGUGUGCCCGCGUAGCCUUCUCACUCGAGUAGUUUAACACCGCAAAAUUGGGUCCCGAGACAUCACAUGGUGCUUAGGAUCACAAAUGACCCCAAGCUAAUCUUUCUACUGGCAUAUCUCAUAAGCAACGAAAUAAGAAGUACAAAUAUAUAUAUACAAAUCUGCGGAAAAUAACUCUCUUUGAAUUUGAUUAAUACAAUACUGAAUUUACAAGAUUACAACUCUGCUUUUACAACCAAAACUGAAAUGGAAUACAUCAACCUCUACUGACUGUCUAUGAAGCCUCUACUAGUACUGACUAUAGGUAGCUGGGUCAUGACUCCCGACUAUCCCAACUCAAUAUGGCUGGAUAAACAAAAUACAACACUUCUCAAACUGUAUAACUAACUCAAGCCCUUGAAUCAAAAGGACUCAUCACCUGCUGAUUGGAUGCCACGAACUGACAGGAUCUGAAGAUGUAUACUAUACCUUGUAUCUAUAUUCCAAGAAAAUGUAGCCCACAUACGAAUAUGUGGGAUAGUACCAUGAAAACAUACCGAGCAUAUAGGGGUGCAAUGCAUAUAUAAAAUAAUAUCUUAAUAUCAUCACAGUUUAAAAAAUGAUGCAUGCUAAUAUAAAUGACUCACUUAGCUCGAAUUAAAUCAUCGAAAUCAUGGAUGAAUAAUACAUGUAAAUUAAAACAAGUGAGUCAUUACAAUAAGUUCUCAAUUCACUUCUUCCUUGGUUUCAAACAUAUAGAGUAAUCAAAUUUCUAAACAAUUCUCUUUAGAACAUAAUACCUCAAUCUAUCGGAAACAAUAACUUUCUCAAAACCAAUCCUUCAAAACAUAUACAUUCAUCUUAGAUAGGAGGGUACACACACGUACAUGUUGGGAGUCUCUUAUAACCUACAAAAAUCAUGAGAGCUACAUGGAGUCCAACGUUCUACCCACAUUAGGGAGAGUCGCACUAUUCCUUGCCAUCGGAGUAAGACCUUAAAUCAUCAAUCCAAACACUAGUGAUCACUAUAUAAAUCAGCCUCAGGCUCACAUCCUACAGGGGCAAGUAGUCCUAGGGAAGUACCAAAAUAGCUAUACCUUCCGCUCUGUGCUAAAGAUUACUCCCGGACUUAGCUCAGAUCUUUUCAAAAUAAAAUCCACUAAUAAACAGUUCAACAAUUCACAAUGGGAGCCAUCUUGCUACCCUUUUCACAUUAAUCAAUAAAAGUGGAUUUGUUUUCUCAUCUUGGGUUCAAAAACACCCCAUUUUACGACCGAAAGGUCAAAGCUUCUUCAUCAUCUCAAAUCAUUCAAACUCAAGGUGUUUAUAACACAUGAUUUCUCAAAAAAAACAAUCUCAAAUAAAGUUCAAAACUCAUGUCUCAAUAUCAUAUUGAAACUUAUCAAGAUUCAAGCUUUACAUCAUAAACAUAUAUAAAUCCCUUCAAAAUCUAGAAAAUUCAGUUAUAAGGCACAAAAUAUCAUCAUUCUCAUAUAAUUCCACUUCCAAAAUAUCAAAAACAUCAUAAUCUCGUGAUAAUAAAUAUAGGAUAUAAGUUCAUGUUUCCAAAUCAUAGUAAAACAUAUGAAAUCUAUAACUUCGUAAAAGAAAGUAUUUUUUGGCACAAGAACGAAAGAGUGGUCUUGUUGAAAUACCCCACAUAACUUAAACUUGAAGCUUUGAAUGACUUUUCGAAUGACGUAAUGCUAUUUAUGAACUUUUGGGUGUCCCUCGUAGCCUACGUAAUGGGGAUUCCGAAUAUGUAAAAAUUACAGAAUUCUCACGGUUAAAUCUCUACCUAUUGGGGUAUUUAUGUUGAAACCCUAAAGGUUGUUCUUGGUGAUUUUGAGAGAAAGUAAACUUAUUUUGAUGUUGUGGGAGUCUAAUCCCGUGUUAUAGACUUAUAUAGGGGUGUUUUUGGCACUUGGUAGUGAGGUAUGCGGCGCACAACCCUUGGCAGACCUUAAGGUAUGUGUCACACACCUUAUGGAAGACAUUUAAGUGUGCCUCGCACUUCCAAUCGCACACAUUUGAUUGGGCGGCGCAUUGCCCAUCACACACCCUUACUAGCUCUCACAAAAAUAGGCCUAACUCUUCGCUCAGGUAUCAGAUUUUUGCAAAAUCAGUAUCUUUGGAAAGCUAAUUCAAUUAUCUACAAUUUGAUAGGUAUUGGGAUGAAAAAUUCCAGGUAUAUUAAGAGAUAUACACAUUUUAAGUUGUCCCUUGUAGAAUCGAAUGUCAAACUUUGGAUGAAUUAAUUGGUCUUAGCUCAACCUUGUUCUAGGUCAUUGCUAUAAACUUUUUCCACCUCUAAACUACUACAUAGACUAGGUUAAUGAUCAUGCAACUUUUAUUCACGUGAGAAUCACUUGGAUUAUAGCUUAGACUCGUAGGAACGACAAUUAGAAUUCUAGCACGAAAAUACGGGGUAUUACAUUAUCUCCCCCUUGGGAACAUUCGUCCUCGAAUUUGGAUAAUUAACCUGAAACAUAGAGGAAUAUUAGUCUUCAUGCUAUCAUGUGUAACUGAUAGAACUGAAUCACUGGAUCUCAAGAAUAAUGAGCUACUGAACUAGUCUGCAAGUGCAUGAAUCCUCAACAAAAAUAACCAUUACUUUGCACUGGAUCUGANNNNNNNNNNNNNNNNNNNNNNNNNNNNNNNNNNNNNNNNNNNNNNNNNNNNNNNNNNNNNNNNNNNNNNNNNNNNNNNNNNNNNNNNNNNNNNNNNNNNNCCGAAUGAUAAUAAUUUGAUGAAAAUACUAGGAAGAGACUGUGAUACUACACAGGAUACUUACGAACUGAAUCAUGACUUAUUAUCUGAAAUUGAAACUGAAGAAUGAACUAACCUGAAUUCAUAAUUUAAUUGGACACAAACACAUUGCCUCUUGGAAUGUACAUACGUAUAAGACUGUGGAUAGUAAGAUUAGCUGGAAAAUUAAGAAUCUAUAGGAGCUUAUCUCCUUGCUUGCUAAACUAGAUUAUAGGCUAUAUGGACUGGAUCAUACUGACUACCCAUACUCAAAUGGAGUAUUUCUUAAGAACUUUUCUACGAAAUUCUAUUGACAUUAGGGAGAAAAGAAUUUUGGGCAUGCUCUGAACGAGACAUUUGACUAAGGAAUUACAACAUUGAUAUGACUCUAUAGAAUGAAAUAUAAUUAUAUAACUCAUAAACUAGGAUAGGAUUGCCAGGCCGUAGGCAACGCAACUUCUUAAUUUCAAGCUUAGCAUCACUUCUCAAAUGCUCUCUCAAAUAUACUAUUCCCCUUAAAUACCAUACUCAUUUGAUUCAACUUAUAAUUCUCAUAUUAGCACUGCGAAAUCUUUCUACUAAGGUCUAACCUAAACUAAGUUCUCUCACCAUGAUCAAGCCUAACACUAAAUCACAAGAUAAAACAUGCCAAACCAUAAUACUAGUCUAAAACAUAUGGUUCAAUAUUCUAUAUCUUCUUAGACCUCACACCCUAAGCAUAACAUGCCUUACCACUUCAAUGACUAAUUUAAAACUCUUGAUAUGGAUUCACUAGUUCAUAUUGCAUUCAUCAUCUUACACCCAACAUGACAUUCAGGCCUAUCAUUAAAACCACAUAUAACUUUAAGGAAAAUACCCCUAAAGGCAUACUUCGCAUAUUCUCUAAAUCUUUAUCAACAACAAUUUUCUUGCACUAUUCUUAAAUAAUACACACAAUUUAUAACUAACCAUGACAUGUAUCAAAGACUUGGCCUCAAUCUUACUUCACACUUUAGCCUUAGAGAGAAAAGCAUAAAUAAUCUUUCUUAAUAAGGGUCAUCAACUCUCUCAUAUAUAAACCAUUGCUUAUCUACUAUUAUCACCAAAAUCUUAACAUAGGAAAAGGUCACCGAAGGGAUAAAACAUAAGAACCUAAAGAACGAAAACUACAAUACAUAACAUUAACACUUAUCUUUGUCCUGAGUAAUAAAAUAACAAAGGCAUGGAUUCAUAUCUAAGCUGAGGACAUGCAUGAGAUAAUGUGAACUUCACUAGUAUCAUGAGUUUAAAAAUUGGUCAUACUUUGAAGCAUGAGUUUAUACUUAUCAUGAUCUGUUCAACAUAAGACUGGAGUUCAUAGAUUCAUAAGAGAUAACUCGAAUCACAGAGUAAAGCUGUUACAUGCUUGCUAGAAGCUGAGAAUGGGAUUGAGAACACAUGAUAGGUAUAAGCAUAGGCUUAUGGCAUGGAUUUGUCAAGCAAGUGAUGCAUUUGGUGUUGUUGACUGAAAUCCAAGGAAUACUCUAUAGUAAGAAGGGAUCACUAUCUCAUCAUAACGUAUUAUUGACAUGUAUCACAAUCUAAUUAUCAAAACUCGGUUUGGUUCUUCACUAACCAUCUCUCCCUUAGGUCAAAGCUGGUAUUCUAAGUAUGAUGGUCUACUCCAUAUCCUCUAGAUUAAUCCAUAAUUUCAUCAUUCUAUUAUCUACAUAUAAAUGCUAAACUCUCAAGAAUAAACUAAUUUCGAACUUACCAACUUCAUUCUUGAACAACCCAUCCAUAUGCCAUUCUUAAUUCCUAGCUUCAAUAAUCAUCAUCAAAGACUUACACUCUCAUUUGCUACCAUAUCUACAUCUCUAAUCACAUAAUCAUAGCCUACCAAGAUCACACUUCUAUACUUAUAUUUUCCCCAAACCAUGAGAAUAAAAUCAUACUAAAAAGACUCAACAUCUUCAAUCAUAACUCCUUAACUUAGCUAUCAAGAACAACAUAAAUUAUCUAACUAGCUUUUCUCCACCUAGCAACUCAACGUUACUACUAAUCACACAAUAUGCAAUAAUCCUCGAAAAAUAAUGCAGCCCUAUAGCACCUUGGGUACACCUAUACAUCUUACUUAAUAUCUAGAGAUAAAAUGAUUUACAACCCAAUCUCACACACAAUUCUCCCUUCAAAACUAUAGAACACAACAUUAAGAAAGGCUAGUACACAAUGACAAUCGAUCAUAAUCAUAUGGCAUAUCUUAUUCAUAAUCUGUUAACACAUCUUCCUUCUUCCCAUCAUUAAUAUUUACCCAUCUUCACACCUAAAUUACUUCCAUAGCUCUAUAAGUUUUAACCAAACUUCCUCUUGCAAUCUUAGGAACGCCAAUAUUAACAAUAGUCAACCACCAAGUACUUCCAUCAAAACCUAUACUUUCCUAAUACAACAAAUACCAUCAAUAACUCUUUUCAUACUUCAAGCAAACAACAAUCCACCUUAACUAAUAAUCUCCUUCUCUAACUUCACUAAACCAACAAACAAAGGUAUAUCACUUCAUUACUAAUUCAAUCAUAAGCAAAAAUUCAGCUAUACAUAUUCAAUAAAAUGCUUAUACCACCUUUCUUGUCACUACACUUCUAAAUCCAAACUUCCAACCAACACAAGAAUAACAAGAUAAACAACAAAUUGCUAGUGAAUAUAAAUAGGCCUUACAUGGCUUUACUAGACUUUGGUUUUUCACAAACAUAAUGAUAACAAGAUUACAAAAUACAAGAGAAAGAAACUUGACACACAACAUUCAACGAUCUAAGAAUACACCUUACUCUGUCUUAAUUAAAUAACUCAUAAGAACGAGGGCAUAACUUAAAUUUAAAGGACUUAUAACACACUAGAAGGCUCCUCAAAAGUCACUUUAUGAAACUUAAGCUAGAAAAUAUAAGAGCAUUAUCUGGGGAGGAAUUGGAACAUGUUGAUCGUUCUAUCUCAAGAAUACUACAUAGAUAGGGAAUAUAGAUUUACAUCACAGAUUCUGGGGAGGAAUCUGAAAACACAUCUAUCUUGGAUUUAGUGCACAAUUUUUACAAACAUGAUAAAGAAAUUCAAUCUUCAAAACUCAAAAGCACUGACGGGAUACUUUCUAGCUCUCUUACAAUCCCAUAACUAUCUAUUGAGACUUAAGCUUAACUGAUUCUGAUACCUUGAAGAUGAGGCAGAGUUGGCUAGAAUAGAGUAAGGUGAGAAUUUAUAUAAGUUUCUUGGAGAAUCUUUCUAUAGCACGAUCUUAGACUUGAAAGAAUAGAGACAUUUCCUAAAUGCCCUGUAGCCUCUUGAAGAAAAUUACAAGGAAAUUACAGACGUCUUUGUACCGUUCUGCAAGACUCUACUAGACACGGCUUCAUAGACACCCUAAGACACUUAAACUCUGUGCUCUGAUACCUAGUUUGUAACGCCCCAAAAUUGGGUCCCGAGACAUCACACGGUGCUUAGGGUUACAAGUGACCCCAAGCUAACCUUUCUACUGGCAUAUCUCAUAAGCAACUGAAUAAGAAGNNNNNNNNNNNNNNNNNNNNNNNNNNNNNNNNNNNNNNNNNNNNNNNNNNNNNNNNNNNNNNNNNNNNNNNNNNNNNNNNNNNNNNNNNNNNNNNNNNNNNNNNNNNNNNNNNNNNNNNNNNNNNNNNNNNNNNNNNNNNNNNNNNNNNNNNNNNNNNNNNNNNNNNNNNNNNNNNNNNNNNNNNNNAACUGUAUAACUAACUCAAGCCCUUGAAUCAAAAGUAAACAUCACCUGCUGAAUGGAUGUCGCGAACUGACUAGAUCUGAAGAUGUACACUAUACCUUGUACCUACAUUCGAGAAAAUGUAGCCCACAUAUGAAUAUAUGGGUUAGUACCAUGGAAACAUACCGACCAUAUGGGGUGCAAUGCAUAUAUAAAAUAAUAUCUUAAUAUCAUCAUAAUUUAUAAAAUUAUGCAUGUUGAUAUAAAUGACACACUUAGCUCUAAUUAAAUCAUCAAAAUCAUGGAUGAAUAACACAUGUAAAGUAAAACAAGUGAGUCAUUACAAUAAAUUCUCAAUUCACUUCUUCCUUAGUUUCAAACAUAUAGAGUAAUCAAAUUUCAAAACAAUUCUCUUUAGAACAUAAUAUCUCAAUCUUUCGGACACAAUAACUUUCUCAAAACAAAUCCUUCAAAACAUAUACAUUCAUCUUAGAUAGGAGGGUACACACACGAACAUGUUGGGAGUCUCUUACAACUGACAUAAACCAUGUGAGCUACAUGGAGUCUAAUGUUCUACCCACAUUGAGGAGAGUCGCCCUAUUCUUUCCUAUCGGAGUAGGACCUUAAAUCAUCAAUCCAAACACUAGUGAUCACUAUAUAAAUCAUCCUCAGGCUCACACCCUACAAGGGCACAUAGUUCUUGUGAAGUACCAAAAUAGCUAUACCUCUUGUUCGGUGCUAAAGAUUACUCCCAAACUUAGCUCAGAUCUUUUCAAAAGAAAAUCCACUAAUAAACAGUUCAACAAUUCACAGCGGGAGCCAUCUUGCUACCCUUUUCAUAAUAAUCAAUAAAAGUGGAUUUCUUUUCUCAUCUCGGGUUCAAAAACACCCCUUUUUACAAUCGAAAGGUCAAAUAUUCUUCAUCAUCUCAAAUCAUUCAAACUCAAGGUGUUUAUAACACAUGAUUUCUCAAAAAAAAAACAAUCUCAAAUAGUGUUCAAAACUUAUGUCUCAAUAUAUCAUCAUUCUCAUAUAAUUCCACUUCUAAAAUAUUAAAAAUAUCAUAAUCUUGUGAUAAUCAAUAUAGGAUAUAAGGUCAUGCUUCAAAAUCAUAGUAAAACAUAUUAAAUCCAUAACUUCGUAAAAGAAAGUAUUUUUGGGUACAAGAACAAAAGAGUGUUCUUGUUGAAAAACCCUACAUACCUUAAAUAUGAAGCUUUGAAAACAUGAAGCUUUGAAUGACUUUCUGAAUGACGUAAUGCUAUUCACGAACUUUUGGGUGUCCCUCGUAGCCUUCGUAACGGGGAUUUCGAAUAUGUAAAAAUUAUAGAAUUCUCAUGGUUGAAUCUCUAGCUAUUGGGGUUUUUAUGUUUAAACUCUAAAGGUUGUUCUUUGUGAUUUUGAGAGAAAGUAAACUUAUUUUGAUGUUGUGGGAGUUUAAUCCCAUGUUAUAGACAUAUAUAGGGGUGUUUUUGGAACUUGAAAGUGAGGUAUGCGGCGCACAACCCAGGGAAGACCUUAAGGUGUGAGUCACACACCUUAUGGAAGACAUUUAAGUGUGCCUCGCACUUCCAAUCGCGCACAUUUUAUUUGGCGGCGCAUUGCCCAUCGCACACCCUUACUGCCUCUUACAAAAAUGGGCAUAACUCUUCGCUCGGGUAUCAGAUUUUUGCGAAAUUGGUAUCGUUGGAAAGAUAAUUAAAUUAUCUACAAUUUAAUAGGUCUUGAGAUGAAAAAUUCAAUGUAUAUUAAGAUAUAUACAAAUUUGAAGUAGUCCCUUGUAGAAUCGAAUGUCAAACUUUGGAUGAAUCAAUUGGCCUUAGCUCAACCUUGUUCUAGGUCAUUGCUAUAAAUAUUUUACACCUCUAAACUACUUAAUAGACUAGGAUAAUGAUCAUGCAACUUAUAUUCAUGUAAGAAUCACUUAGAUUAGAGCUUAGAUACGCAGGAACGAUGGUUAGAAUUCUAGCACAAAAAUACGGGGUAUUACAAGUAGUCCGCUCGAGAACCACAGGUCUAGCAAACCCACUCUUAGUUGAACAUAGGAUAGAGCUAAAACAACACCUUUUUAGGCGCAUGAAUCAUUUGUCAACUUUAUUUUCAAAGGGUUGAUAAUCCUCAUGACACAUUAUUAUUGUCUUUGUACAUAUUUGAAGGAUUAUUAUGUCUGUACAUAUUUAGUUAUUCUAAAUUAUUUAUUCUUUUGUGGGAAGGUGUAACCUAACCUUUUUUUUUAAAUGGUUGAUCAGUGAAAAGAUGCACCUUACCAAACUCACCACUAGUAGCAUAUAUGUUUGAACUACAUUUCGACCCGAUUCUUAUCCUGACAAGAUACGUAGGCAACCCUGCAUUAGGGUUCGGUCUCUUCACCAUUUCGAAAUGAUUUCUCCGGUAUAAAAAACUGGGGCAUAUUUUCUAGAACAGUUCAAAGACGCCUUGUAAUAGCUUUCAAGAGCACAAAUUAAUAACUCCUCAAAAUUGAAAUAUCACUGAUAUUAGUAUCUAGCCGGCCUGCCUCUAGAUUUUCACCUAUUUUUUGUACAAUAAUACCUAACUUCUUCUUUUAAAUGUCAUAAACUUUAUGGCGCAUCGAUCCUCACUUUCAAAAUCAAGAAUUCAAUAUUUUUUUAGUUAUAAUAAUCCUACCAACUGCGGCGAAAUAAUAUCAUAAUUCCUUUAAUGUCUGACUUUUUUAAUCUUGUCAGCACACUGAAGUUGUGUUAAAGCUCUCUCCAUGCUUUACAUCCAUUCUUUUGAUCAUUUGAUUAGAACAAUUUUGAUGCUAAAAGCAGUUCUUUCUUGAUUGUAUUUCACAUUAAUUUUAUGAAUGACCAUCAAAUUUUUUUACAAUCAUACAUUACACAUAUAAAUUUGCAAAUUUACCUAAACUACACAGACCUGAUUCAAGUUUUCACAAGAUGUGUAGGCAAUCCCCAUUUGGGUUCGGUCCCAUUCUUUUGAAAAAAUAAUAAAAUUUUUACUGGUUGAUAACAAUUCAUUUAGGAGUGUCCAUGAUAAAGAACAAAUUGGUAUGAUGAAAAGGACCAACUUUAUGAUAAACCGUAGGCUCUUUUGGUGCCUUUUAUCAUACCAAAGUAACAUUUGAAAAUUCUGUUGCAUACAUUUAAGAUAAAAAUGAAGGCAACCUCAUUGUUUCAUGUGCAUUGUGUGGUGAGAUUUAGUUUAAUCACUUCAUUAAAUUAUUGAUCUAGAACUUGGCCUAAAUGUCUUUUGAGGAUAAACCCUGAGUUACACUUUGUUUACGAAAGGAUCGUAGGCCUUCUUUGACCUGAUUGUUCCUUUAACCGCCCACUAAAUAACAUUAAUACCUAGCACUCCCUCUUUUGAGCCUAAAACCUUUUCUUUGGACAACCGCAUUUGAGCCUAUACCUUUUGGAGUGCUUACAUGCACUAUCCCUCUCUUGGCCUCACUUCCUUAAGCACACUAAAUACGUGCAAAUUUCGAACGAAUAUUCAAGAUCAAAGAUGAAAAAUGCAAAGGAUAUGUUGUCCAGAUGAACAAAAAUGAAAAAAAUGACUUCAAAAGGAGCAAAAACUCCCACAAAAAGAAAAAAAGGAAAAAAAAUAUAUAGUUUUUUGAUAAAAAUAAAAAAGGGAAAAAACUCCAACAUAAGAUUCCAAAUAAGUCAAAGAAAAUACAAAAAAGGGAAAACACAACACAACUAAGAAGAUCACGCAUCAAAGUGCAAUAAACAUCGAAAGCAAAAAUGCAGUGUAAUGCUCAUUGAGGGAUUAGUCACUUUCAUCCAAAUAUCAUCCUACCCAUCCCCAAGACUACAUUACAAACCGAUAGCAAGUCCUACGAGAUCCUAUUCUAAGUGUUCUCACAUUAGUGAAUACUUACAUGAAGAUCAAGCCUAUGGUAUCACAAUUGCAUGGAUUGAAUUUCUUUCUCAGUGAGUGUAUUUCUCUAGAUGUCCCCAAAUUUAAAAACAAAAUUUCUCAAAUAUGUGUGAAAUGAGAUUAUUUUUACUCAAAUAUGUGUGAAAUGAGACUUUCUUUCUAAAGUCGGCACUUGAAGCAUGAGCAUAGGCAUAGUUCAAAAUAUUUGUUUGAACCAAGAUAAAAAAUCUUGUCAAUACUUAGGCGUGUCUGAGGUACCACUUAAAACUAUAGUUGUACCAACUUAAGUCAAGAUACAAUUGUGUUUUCUUCAUCUUUCAGCACUUUUUAUCAAAAAAAUGCAAAAUUCUUUCUUUCUUUCUUUCUUUCUUUCUUUCUUUUAAGAUGCCGACUUUCAAAUAUGGACAUUCUUUUUUACCAUUUCAUUCAAGUUGCUCACUUUCACAUACAUACAUUUUUAGUUUUUAUUAAAGACGCCCAUUUUUGAAAUACAGGCAUUUGACUUUUUCUUUCAAGCAUAUACCUUUAAAUAUCGAUAUUUUAUUUUUCAAUUAAGCGCACAUUUAUGAGUAUUUUUUCACAUUUUUUUAUAUAACCCUAUUGAGGGCCUAUGUUUUCGUUAAUAAUCUAAAAUGACAAUAAACAUCAAUAUCCAUAAACAAUUAGAGAUGUCAUGCAUCAGUAUUCAUAGACUAUCGGAUACGUUGUGCAUUUUUAAAGAUCCUUUUAAACAAGAUGAUGUUAGCAUAAAUAAUACACUGGGUAAAUUUUGAGACUACUGAAAGUUGAAGUCUCUUAUUUGUCAUCCAUCGUAUGAAGGUCAAUCACUAGCUCAAAGAAAACAUUAGAAGUUGAUGAAGAAGUUAAGGAUCUAAAGGACGAUGAAGUUGAAAGUAAAGCCCCAAUUUCCGAUGGAGAGACAUUGUAAUACCCCGUAUAAUCCUAUCUUCGUUUAACUCUCAGUAUAUGAGUAUUCCUAUAUUAAAUUUUCAGAAUACUUUGAAUUUUUUAGUUUAGAGCAUACCAUUGCAUAGGAAAUUCAUCCAGAUUUCCAACGAUAUAAAAUUCACCCAAAUCUGAUAACCGGAUGAGAAAAUAUAUCAAUUUUGUAAAACAGUGUGCCACCUGGUGCAGCACCACAUCACGGAGACCAGCCAAAUGGCAAUUAUAAAUUUCUAGUGAGCCAACGCGAUAAUCCCAUAUCGUGGAGCAGUGCCAGUUCCCAAUUGGCAUCUUUCCAGUGAAGCUCCGAGAAAGCGUCGCAUCGCGCCAUGGACCAAUUUAAAAAUUGUCAAAUUCCAGUAAGGCUCCGCAAUGGUGUUGCAUCACGACAAGAGCCAAUUUUUCGAUUAUCCCUUUUUGUAUAGUUCCAUCCAGAUUCAAGUGGCUCACGACGAUGCCACCGCAUUGCGGUGAAGCUCGAAAUUGUGAUUUUCAAUGAUGAAUCUUAACUUCUUUCUAGGGGUAAUUUGGUAUUUUUUUCAUGACCCAGAUCAUUUUUAAACACGUAAUUAACCCCUAAUUCUUGAAGCUAGGGUUUUUCCCUUUUAAGAGAGAAUAAUUUAAUUUGGGGGAAAAUUGGGAGAAUAAUUUAAGCUAUGAGUUCCUUUCACCCAUAGACUCCAUGAAUUGUUUUAUAAAACUACACGCUUAUUGUUUCAUGAUUUACAUGCUUGAAAUUGGAUUGUAUUCAUGUUCAUAACAUUAAUUGAGUUUCAAUUCAUGAUUAAAUUGUAGAUUCCAUGAAAUUGAAAUAGCAUGUAUAUUGAAUUAUGUAAGUCCAUGUUAUAACCCUUGAAUUAGAAAGUUUGGGUGUUGUAGUUAAAAUGUUAUUUGUUGGCAAUGAUUAUAUGCAUUAAGUUGUGCUCCGUAAGUGAUUGAUGGAAUUUCUAUGUCAAAUAAAUGGUGAAAUCAUGACAUGCUAGCAUAUGUACAAGUUUAUGCCCUACAAGUAUUUGAUAAAAUGUCUCUAUGAAUGAAUUAUGAACAAGUGAAAAGUGUUAUGCCUUUUCAAGAUAAUGCUAUGCUUUACUUUUUAUGCUAUCGAGUCCUGAGUAUAUUCAAUACCAAAAAAUCUAGUUGUUUACCUAGAGCUACAGUAGUUACAGAAUAGUCUCAGUCCGGUCAUGAAACCAUAGUACUUAGCUAGUUAACAAAACUCAGUAAACUCAGUCAGUUACAACACUCAGUAAAACUCAGUAUCAGUUGAUUUUAGUUUGGUAUAAUAAUAAAUGCCAUUUAGAUGGGAUUAGGAUUCAGCAUCAAGUGGACCCAAGGAUGGGGGCUCACCUUCUAGUAGAGGGUAUGAUCCUUAGAAGGAGUCCAUGUAUUCCAGAACAACGUAGCCAUCAUAGGUUGAGACAUCAACCUGCCAGUUGAGGGUUGAUGAGGUAUUUUAACAUACCAGUUGAGGGUACCACCGUUCACAUUCAGGGCACCUGCCAGAUGAGGGUGACUCUUCAGUUGUCUUUACCUGUGGCAUGGUACUGAUACCCUUCCAACUGGGGUUAUAGGUUGGACCCCAGUUAUCUUAUUUGAGGCAUGUCGGUUAAAUGACUACCUCCCACAGUUUCAGAUUUAGCCUCAGUAUAGAACUCAGUUUAGUUCUAUAGAAUCAGGACUAUCAGACAUGGUCAAUUAGUAUCGGUAAUUCAGUUAUCAGUAAUCUCAGAUAUCAAUUAAUUAGUUAUCAAAAAUCAUUACUCAUCUUUAGAAAAUCUCAAAUACAAUAUACAUAUAUAUGCACAAUAUUACAUACUCAGUAUUUUUACAGUAGUUCCAGUUAACCAUGAAUUCUUAUUCAGGUACUUCAAAUCAUUCAGUCAGUUACUGUUCUUGCAUAUGAAACCUUUCAUUUAGCCUUAUCUCAUCUAGAAUACCAGUACAUUUCUCAUACUAAUGCAUACUCUUUUUUGCGCUAUGAUGUCUUAUAUCAUGGUUCGAAUGUUCAAGUUCUUAACUGUGCAUAGACAGAUUUAGGUAGCAGCAUCAGAUUUAGUAAUGCAUCCUCAUUAUCGAGGAUAUACUUUUAUUUUAGUAUUUCAGUAGUUUUAGUAUUUUAUAGUCAGAGUUAGUUGGGAGCUUGUCCUAUUAACUCCACUUUCAGGCAGUUUAGUUAAAGGUUUUUCAGGCUAGACUAGUUCAGACAGUAUUUCAGAUAUUUUAUCAGAUAUCAUUACAGUUGUUAGUCUUUAUCAGUAUUCAAAUUGUGAACCUUAUGGUAUUUCAGCCAAUUUUCCAUAUUAUUAUAGUAUUAUUAUCUUGUGCUCACAGUAGGUACCGAUCAUGGGUUAGCUUGUAGUCCUUUCGAUCAUGGGUUAGCUUGAACCUUAUGUACUGAAUGAAUCCUCCCCUAUUCUCAGGAUCUAAAUCAGAAAAGGAUCCAUAAGAGUUCCCCGAUUAGGUUUAGAAAGUCACAAAUAUCAUUGGAGAAAAUUCCAGUAAGAGUGCUGAGUUAGCUGCCUAUCAGCUACAAGAUAUAGCUUAUACAUGGUUCAAGUAGUAGAAGGUAGACAGGGGUACAGAUUCAGAGCCCAUAGGGUGGGAAGAGUUUGCUACUUCUUUUCUAGAUAGAUUCUUUCCCUUACAGCUGAGAGAAGUCAAGGUGUUAGAGUUCACGAAUCUCAGGAAAGGAAAUAUAAGCAUGAAAGAGUAUUCUCUCAAGCUUACUCCGUUAGCUAGGUAUGCUCCUCAUGUAGUAGCAUACAGUGGGUCCAGAAUUAGCAAGUUCGUGUCUAGGGUAUCAGAGAGUAUGGUCAAAGAGAGCAGAACAACUUUAUUAAUUAAGGAUAUAGUCAUAUCCAGGUUUAUGGUCCAUGAUCAAUAGAUCGAAAAAGCUAAGAAUAAGGAGAGAGAGAGGGAGGACAAGAGAGCUAGAACAGGUAGCUUCAACUUACCUUAGCCUAUGUCAGAAGGCGGUAACCAUUUCUAAUUUUGUUUGAAAUCUUCAGUUCCAGCUCCGUCCUCAGCCAGUACUCUAGUCCCUAAGUUUAGAAAUGGUAAUAAAGAUAGGGCACUAGGCUCAAAUCUCAUGGUAGUGUCAUCAGUGCUCGAAUAAAUUCUCUUUGUUAGAAAUGUAGCAGAAACCAUCAAGGUGUCUGUAGGGCUGGCAGUGAUGUUUAUUUCGACUGUGGCAAGCCAAGAAACCGAAUGAAAGAUUAUCCUCAGUUAGGUUCUCAAGGUCAGUACAAUCAUCCUUCAGCUUAGUCCAGUCGCCCAAAUCAGCAGGGUGCCACUUCCAUUGACACCAGUAGGCAAUGCCCAGAUAGGCUUUAUACACUUUAGUCCAGACAAGAUCAGGAAAAUUUUCUUGAUGUGGUCACUGGUAUAUUACAUAUCUUUUAUUUAUAUGUUUAUGCCUUAUUAGAUCCAAUAGCUUCUCUGUCUUUUGUAACUCCUUAUAUAGCAUUUUACUUUAAGGUCAAACUAGAAAUCUUAACAAUACCUUUCUCAGUCUCUACCCCAGUGGGUCAUUCUAUCAUAGCCCGGCGGGUAUACAGGAACUGUCUUGUUAUGAUAUCUCAAAAAGUCACUUUAGAAGACUUAGUAGAACUAGAGAUGACAGAUUUUAAUGUCAUUAUUGGCAUUGAUUAUCUCCAUUCAUGCUAUGCCUCAGUUGAUUGUAGAAACAAAAUAGUUUAUUUUUAGUUUCCAAAUGAACCAGUCCUUGAAUAGAAGGGUGGUACUACAGUGCUUAAGGGUUAGUUAAUUUAUACCUUAGAGUGAUAUUAAUGAUAUCCAAGGGAUGUGUCUAUCAUCUUGUACGAGUCACAGAGUAUAGUUCAGAGACUACUAGUCUUAAGUCAGUUCAAGUAGUAAAUGAAUUCUAAGAUGUGUUUCCUGGAGUUCCUCCCAAAAAGGAAAUUGACUUUGGAAUAGACCUUCUUCCAGAUACUCAACCCAUAUAUAUUUCACCAUAUAGAAUGGCACCAGUUGAACUUAGAGAGUUAAAAGAAUAGUUAAAGGACCUUUUAGACAAGGGGUUCAUCAGACCCAGCGUUUCUCCGAUGGGCGUACCUGUUAUAUUCAUGCUUAAGAAAGACAUUUCCCUCAUAUUAUAUAUAGACUAUCUUUUAUUGAACAAAGGGUACUAGUUACUCUUCUAAGAUAGACCUCAGGCCAGGCUAUCAUCAGCUCAGAGUUAGGGAAUAUGAUAUUCCAAAAAUAGCUUUCUGAACCUAGUAUUGUCACUUCAAUUUUCUAGUCAUGUCUUUUGGUCUUACAAAUGCCCCAGCAACUUUCAUGGACUUAAUGAAUCAUGGGUUCAAGUAGUACUUAAACAUGUUUGUCAUAGUCUUCAUUGAUGAUAUUCUUGUUUACUCUCAUACUGAAAAUGAUAAUGUAGACCAUAUCAGAAUUAUACGUCAAACUCUCAGAGCCCGUUAGUUGUUCGCCAAAUUCAGUAACUACAAAUUUUUGCUAAGGUCAGUAGAAUUCCUUCGUCAUAUUGUGUCUGGUGAUGGAAUUAGAGUUGAUCCUCAAAAUAUCAAAGCGGUGAGUAACUAGCCUAAACCUAUUUCUCCAUUAGAUAUCAAGAGUUUCUUGGGUUUAUCUGGCUAUUACCGCUAGUUUGUAGAAGGGUUUUCAUCUAUUUCAUCCCCCAUGUCCAGAUUGACUCAGAAGAAAGUCAAGUUUUAGUGGUCAGAUUCUCAUGACAAGUGUUUUCAGGAGUUGAAGAAUCAACUCACCUCAGCCCCAGUUUUGACUCAACCAGAUGGUUUAAACAGGUUUGUUGAGUACUAUGAUGCAUCCAGAGUAGGCUUGGGUUGUGUCCUAAUGCAGAGAGGUAAGGUCAUAGUCUAUGCCUCUAGACAACUGUAACACCCCAAUUUUCUGAACAGGAAUGCUACACGGUGCUCAUGAUCCCAAAGGACCACAAGCUAACCCAUGACUAAUAUUUGUACCUGUAUGUUCUAUAAUAUAUCAUAAAAUACGGAAAUGUGAACAUGAAAGGCCAUAAGGUUUGAACUAAAUAAACUUCUGAUAACAAAAUGUCUGAAAAAAGUAUAACAAAACCAAAACAAGUCAUAAAUACUGAAAAUAAUAAGAUCUGAAUAUCUAAUCUGACAUCUAGUCUGAAAGCCUCUAACUGAACUGAAUAAGGAUUUGAAGGAACAUGUCUCCAACUAACUCCAUCUAGCAACUAAAUAGUAAAUUUAGCAAUAAUCAUGUCGUUGUCAAAUGAAAAGGACUCACUACAAACUCUGAACAUUGGAAUGCCACUGCUGAUCUGGAGCUCAUGCCUCUGAACCUAUGGUGUAACAAAAAAAGAAAGCACCCUAGCGCAAAUGCGUCAGUAUAUCUGAAUGUACUGAGUAUACGAGUGAGGUAGGCUAAAUGCAAUGGGUUAUGUGCGUGAACAAUGCUAACUAAUAUGAAUGUGAUAAUACAUACAUGCUUAAACAACUAUAAUUGAACUCGUGAUGAUGCUGACUACUGAGUCUUAAUACUGACAACAUGACUUUACUGUUACGAACGUACUGAAUUUAUUGUUGACUAUUUCUGAUAGUUCAAAUUAUGAAGAAACAGUUUGAAUGACUGUUUCUAACAGUCCUGAAACUAAAUACUGGUAACAUUAGCUAUGACAACUGAUAUGGCUAGUAUAAAUAUAAUGAUCGGAUUAAUCAAUAUAACUGAUACUGAGGGACUGUAUCUUACAAUCUAAUUUAUGAUGGAACUAUCUUAGUUUCGUUCUACUUGGAGUAACUAAAUUUGAGAUCAGUCCUAUCUAGCAGGUGAUCAUGCGUACACUGAUAAUAAGGAUGAUUUGACUUAGUCUGAGAUCAACCCUAUCAAGCAGGUGAUCUUUAAAUCUAAUGAUUCUAAUACUGAUUAAUCAUAGUUGAGAUCAGUCCUAGCUAAUGGGUGAUCUUGAAGUUUAUUUAUAAUGAUAAGCAUUGACUGUAUCUAACAGUACUGAAUCUCUACUACUAAGUUGAGUUGACUGUGUCUGAAAGUCCUAAUUUAGUAACUGAAAUUGUGGGAUGUGUUCAUCUAACCAAGAUGCCCCAAGCUAUGCUGACUGGGGUCCAAUCUCUACCCUGACUAGAAGGGUGUCAGUACCAUGCCACCAGUAAAGAUAUCUACUGUGGAGUCAGUCCUAAUCUAGCGGGUGACUCCUCGGAUCAGUCCUAUACAUAUAAUUGUACUAACGGGUGACCCCUGAGUAUGUCAGUCCUAUCUAAUGGGUAAUAUCUCAUACCUACACUGGAAACAUAGUUUUGGAACGUAUGGAUUGCUUCUAGGGAUCUCAGUCCUAUUCUAGUGAGUGAGCCCCCAUCCCUAGGUUCGCUCGGUGCUGAAUCCUACUCUCAUUUGAAAGACACUAAACUGAAUAACUGGGGUGAACUAAAUAACUUAACUAAACUGAUUUGCUGAACUGAUACUGAUUUACUAAACUGAAAAUAGUGGUAUAGUUUAUCGGAGCUAAAAUUGAGUUUACUGGAUUCUGAUGACGGAUGGAAUAUAAUGAGUUCUGAGGACUAAUUAAGAGUACUAAAGUUACUGAGAUUUAUUGAGAUUACUGAGUUUUCCUUGAGUCACAUGACUGACUGAUUUCUAUAGAUCAUGGCUUAACUGAGAGUAUCGUGAAAACAUAACAUGGAUCUAGGCACACAACUAUAUUUUUCAGGUACAAGUACCCCCGUACUCGAUGAAAGGAAAAUGACACACAUGAUUGACUAGAUCAUAAGAGUAGAGUCCAUAAUCCACAAUAUCAUAAAUAAGGGAUUUCAUACUAAGCAUGGUUCUCAACAAUCUAUUUCAUGGAAGGGAAUUUCAUACAACAUGUAUAUACUUGCAUAGCUUUCAGUAGCAUGUUCAUUACAUAUUACAACCAUAAUCCAUUAUAUCAUAACUUGGCAAAUUUCAUGAAGUACAUGGGUAUUCUACAUCUUGUACAUGAGAGGGUUUUGCAAGUAAGCAUAGCAUAAUUCCAUAAGACUAGUUCAUGAGUAAUCCAACAGUGUUCAGAAGACACAUUAUCAACAUGGAUGACAUUGAAUCAUAGAGGCCUAUCAUGAAUCCUUCCCUUAGUCAACAAUUACUCCUCAUAAAUAAUCAAACUUACAUGUUAUCAACUCGUAUAAUGUCAUAGAUUCAUAAUAACACAUAAAGAUACUAUCUUGGCAUCAUUCAACACAUAAACAUGAUCGACAAUCCAUUCAUAACAUGAAAACCAUAAUAUAUAGUUUUAGAAAAGGGUUCUUGAACUUCAUGGACGAACGGAGUCCAUGAAUGAACACACGCAUACCUUAGAAAGGAAACCUUGAUGAUUUUCUGGAUAGUUCUUGGAUUGGAAAACUUAAUUCUUGAUUAUCUUAGAAAAAGGCUUGAAUUUUGCUUUUGAGAGAUGAGUUUGAUGGAAACUCUAAUCUUGUGGUUGACAGUGUAAGAGAGGGUUUUUAAGAUGCUUAACUGAACGAAAAUGAGAAAAAUUAUGCCUCUUUAGUGUUAUAAGUUGAGGAAGGUGAAGGAAAAGACCAAAAUACCCUUGCAAAAAUGCCCUUGAAUUGCUGGAAAAAUAUACUUGACCCCAUCUGUGAUAGGCCGUCAGGUCCGUGAUAGGCCGUUACGACUGGUCAUAACAAAAAGAGUCCAAAUUCUUGAUUUUAUUCCCAGGUUUGACGAUGUCAUCAGAAUGUGAUGACGUCAUCAAAAAGGUCGUCAGAAACGUCGUCACCAUUUUCCAGCUUGACAUGCUGGAAUAAAAUGGGCAUAACACUUUGCUCCGAUAUCGGAUUUAGGAAAAAUUGGUAUCAUUGGAAAGCUAAUUCAAAGAUAUUUCAUUUUAAUAUAUAGUAAACUACCCAGUUCAUCAUAUACAAUGAGUUAUGGUCGAUUGAAUUUGACCCAAGUUUUGACGCUCACUAAAACUUGAACGAUAGGAAAGCUUUCAACUUGUACUUGAGUUAUGGGACCUCUAUGAUAUAAAUCCAUGAUCAAAUAGAUUCCCACACUACAUAAUUGAUUAACACACUAAAUAUAUAUAGUAUUUGAGGCUUUUGAAACAUCCACGCAUAGGAAUGACGGAUUUUCAUUCUAGUUUAAAAUGUGGGGUAUUACAAUAUCUCUCCCUUGUGAACAUUCGUCCUCGAAUGAUACUAGCUGAGAUGAGAGAAAACACAAAUUACAAAAAUAUAUAUCAUGAAUGAAUGAUCGUGAUUUCAUGGCUGACAUGACUAAAAACUGAGAAUAUCAUACUGUACAUGCAUAUCUGAUAUAUGGGUAGCUGAUUUAUGAAUGUAGGACUGAGUGUUCUGAUAAACUAAGUUUCUCAAAAUAAGAAUGCAUAUCUGAUGAUUAACUAAUAAGUUGAAUCCAUGCAUAUCUGAUGCAUGAUUAUAUGACUGACAUGAUACGUGAAUGCAUGACUGAAUGUACUGAUAAGCUGACCACGCAUAUCUGAUGUGUGAAUACAUGACUGAACUAACNNNNNNNNNNNNNNNNNNNNNNNNNNNNNNNNNACUUACAGCUAAGGUCUAACUUGAAGGUCAACUUAUGAGUACCCUCUAUUCUAGACUAAAUUUGUUAUGCAAGGAGAAAUUGAAGGAUCUAAGGCAUGAGAGAGUUAAGAGAGAGUGAGGUAUCUCCCUCUUGGGAUGCUAUGUCCCUCUAAGAAUGCUUACCUUAUGGAAAUACUGGGUGAUGCAUAGGGCAUCUACGAACUAGAUUAUAACUAAAUUUUGGUAGUCUGAAACUAAUGCAUGAUGCAUGAGAUGAACUAAACUUGCAACUACUAGGAGGUUCUACCUUGAAAUAGUUACAUUCUCUGAGAUUUUGGAUAGCAUUAAUAGAUGCAAGGAUGAGAAAAUAAGCUAUAAAAAUCUGACUACCUGAUUGCUAAACCAACUUGCUAGCUUUACUAGCUAACUCAUACUGAAACAUAUGCUCGAAUGAGAGAAAGAUAUCUAACAAUGCAUACUAUGAUCAUGAAAGACUGGUAACAUACCCGAAUCUAAGUCAGGGAAACUUUCUAGAAUAGGAUGGGUCUGGAGUGCAUAAAGUCUAUUCUGACACUGACCACUAUUGGUACUUUGCUGACACAACUCCUUACCUCUCUUUGCUAUAACUCUACACUCUCGCAUCCUGUGUCCUAGCUUGCCACACCUAAAGCAUACAUCACUACGUUCCAUACAUACACCUAGAUGAUUCUUACCACUCUCUUCGCAAAGCGGAUAAGACCUUUAUUUUCACUACCCUAGGCCUCAGAGCCUGGCGCUCCAUCAUGACGGUCAUUUAUGGACUUAUAUGUUGGUACACUAGUUGAGGAUAAAUCUGGUACUGAACAUUUCUAACUAUGCUGAGAACGGUUACCACCCUGUGACUUAGGCUGAGAAAAGCUGAAGCUACCUGUCUUCACUCUCUUACUCUGUCUCUCUCGUCCUAAUCUUCUGCUCUUCUAUCUGCUGAGCAUGUGUCAUAAGUCUGGAUAAAGUUAUAUCACUAUUCAACAUGGCAGAUCUGCACUCAUUAACUAUACUAUCAUUCACUCCUGACACAAACUUACUCAUCUUAGCUCUACCAUCUGCAACCACAUGAGAGGCAUAUCUGGCUAAUUUGUAAACUUGAGAGAAUACUUCAUUACCAUUAUACUGCCAUUCCUGAGGUUGAUGAACUCCAGUACUUUAGCUUGUCUAAGCUCUAGCAAAAAUAAUCUAUCAAGGAAAGCAGAGGAAAACUCCUCCCACUCUAUAGGUCCUGCAUCAUCUAACUUUUUUGACUUCCACUGCUUGUACCAAGUAUAAGAGACAUCCUAUAAUUGGUAUACGGCUAACUCAACACUCUAAAUAGUAUUAACCCCCAUAAUAUCUAUCACCUUCUGAACCUAAUCUAGGAAUUCCUAUAGGUCCUCAUCUGACUUAGACCCUGUGAAGGAAGGAGGAUUCAUUUAGGUGAAGUCCUGAAUUCUAGAUGCAGCUGAAUUGGCCACUAGCUUUUCUAGAACGAUAGCGGGUUAUUCAUUCUGGGUAGAAACUGACUGAGCAAAAGUGGUGAAUGCAGCCCUGAACUCUGCAUGAGAAACAUGAUCUCCCAAAGGGUCCUCGGGCUGAGGGGCUGACUGAUUCUCGUUUUUUUUUUUUAGGAGGCAUGUUUGUAGAAGAAAGAGAGAAAUAGAUUAGACUGAGAUUAUGCUCACUGGCACGACAUGAAUACCGAAAGAAGGGAAACUAUUCCUAAAACAUCUAAUAGCCUCCUGCACAUAAGUGUGGUGCACAACAAACGCAUGUACAAAACUAUACUAGAUGCGGCUUUCAGACUUUCUAGGACUCCAUUGAACCUUAGACUCUGAUACCAAGUUUGUAACACCCCAAUUUUCCAAACCAGAAUGCUACAUGGUGCUCAUGAUCCCAAAGGACCACAAGCUAACUCAUGACUAAUAUCUGUACCUAUAUACUACAUAAUAUAUCAUAAAAUGCGGAAACAUGAGCAUGAAAGGCCAUAAGGUUCGAACUGAAUAAAUGUCUGAUAAAAAAAUAUCUAAAAAAGGUAUAACAAUACAAAAAAAAGUUAUAAAUACUAAAAAUAAUAAGAUCUGAAUAUCUAAUCUGACAUCUAGUCUAAAAGCCUCUAACUGAACUGAAUAAGGAGUUGAAGGAACAUAUCUCCAACUAACUCCAUCUAGUAAUUGAAUAGUGAAUGUAGCAAUAAUCAUAUCGUCCUCGAAUCAGAAGGACUCACUGCAAACUCUGAACACUGGAAUGCUACUGCUGAUCUGGAGCUCGUGCCUCUGAACCUAUGGUGUAUCAUAAAAGAAAGCACCAUAGCAUAAAUAUGUUAGUACGUCUGAAUGUACUGAGUAUACGAGUGAGGUAGGCUAAAUUAAAAGGGUUAUAUGCAUGAACAAUGCUAACUAAUAUGACCGUGAGAAUGCAUACAUACAUAAACAACUAUAACUGAACUCGUGAUGAUGCUGACUACUGAGUUUGAAUGAUGACGACAUGACUUUACUAUUACAAAAGGACUGAGUUGAUUAUUGACUAUUUCUGACAGUUCAAAUUAUAAAGAAACGGUUUGAAUGACUGUGUCUAACAGUCCUGAAACUGAAUACUAGUAACGUUAGCUAUGAAAACUGAUAUGGCUGAUAUAAAUAUAAUGAUCGGAUUAAUCGAUAUAAUCGAUAUUGAGCGACUAUAUUUGACAAUCUAAUUUCUGAUAGAAUUAUCUGAGUUUCGCUCUACUUGGAGUAACUAAAUCUGAGAUCAGUCCUGUCUAGCAGGUGAUCAUAAGUAUACUGAUAAUAAGGAUGAUUUGACUUAGUCUGAGAUCAGUCCUAUCUAGCGAGUGAUCUUUAAAUCUAAUGAUUAUGAUACUAAUUAAUCAUAGUUCAAAUCAGUCCUAGCUAAUAGAUGAUAUUGAAGUCUAUUUACAAUGAUAAGCAUUGACUGUAUCUAACAGUACUGAAUCUGUACUAUUAAGCUGAGUUGACUGUGUCUAAAAGCCCUGAUUCUGUAACUGAAAUUGUGGGAUGUGUUCAUCUAACUGACAUGCCCCAAGCUAAGCUGACUAGGAUCCAAUCUUUGUCCUGACUUAAAGGGUGUCAGUACCGUGCUACCAGUAAAGACAUCUGCUGUGGAGUGAGUCCUAAUCUAGCAGGUGACUCCUGGGAUCAUUCCUAUACAUCUAAAUAUGCUAACGGGUGACCCCUGAGUAUGUCAGUACUAUCUAACGGGUGACAUCUCGUACCUACGCUGGCAAUGUUAUUAUGGAACUUAGAGAUUGCUUCUAGGGAUCUCAGUCCUAUUCUAGAGGGUAAGCCCCCAUCCCUAGGUUCGCUCGGUGCUGAAUCCUACUCCCAUCUGAAAGACAUUAAACGAAAUAACUAGGUUGAACAAAAUAACUUAACUAAACUGAUUUACUGAACUAAUACUGAUAAACUAAACUAAAAAUAUUGGUACUGUUUAGCAGAGCUAAAACUAAUUUUACUGGAUCCUGAUAACGGAUGGAAUAUAAUGAGUUCUGAGGACUGAUUAAGAGUACUGAAGUUACUGAGAUUUACUGUGAUUACUAAGGUUACUGAGCAUUGAGAUUACUAAACUACUGAGAUUACUGAGUUUUUCUCGAGUCACAUGACUGACUGAUUUCUAUAGAUCAUGGCUUAACUGAGAGUAUCGUGAAAACAUGACAUGGAUCUAGGCACACAGCUAUAUUUUUCAGGUACAAGUACCCCCGUACUCGAUGAAAGGAAAAUGACACACAUGACUGACUAGAUCAUAAGAGUAGAGUCCAUAAUCCACAAUAUCAUAAAUAAGGGAUUUCAGACUAAGCAUGGUUCUCAACAAUCUAUUUCAUGGAAGGGAACUUCAUACAGCAUGUAUAUACUUGCAUAGCUUUCCAUAGCAUGCUCAUUACAUAUUACAACCAUAAUCCAUUAUAUCAUAACUUGGCAAAUUUCAUGAAGUACAUGGGUAUUCUACAUCUUGUACAUGAGUGGGUUUUGCAAGUAAGCAUAGCAUAAUUCCAUAAGACUAGUUCAUGAGUAAUCCUACAGUGUUCACAAGACACAUUAUCAACACGGAUAACAUUGAAUCAUAGAGGCCUAUCAUGAAUCCUUCCCUUAGUCACAAUUUAGCUAUAAUGCAUGAUUUGUAGUCUCUUAGCUAUUUUAUCGAACACCUUACAUGCACAACUUAGGCAUAGGUGUACAUCAUAAAAUUACUCAUCAUAAAUAAUCAAAAUUACAAGUUUUCAACUCAUAUGAUGUCAUAGAUUCAUAAUAACACAUAAAGAUUUUAUCUAGGCAUCAUUCAAUACAUAAACAUGAUCAACAAUCCAUUCAUAACAUGAAAACCAUAAUAUAUAGUUUUACAAAAGGGCUCUUGAACUUCAUGGACAAAAGGAGUCCAUGAAUGAACACACGCAUAACUUAGAAAGGAAACCUUGAUGAUUUGUUGGAGAGUUGUUGGAUUGGGAAACUUAAUUCUUGAUUAUCUUAGAAAAAGGCUUGAAUUUUUCUUUUGAGAGAUGAGUUUGAUGGAAACCCUAAUCUUGUGGUUGAGAGUGUAAAAGAGGAUUUUUAAGAUACUUAACUGAAGAAAAAUGGGAAAAAUUACGCCUCUUUAGGGUUAUAAGUAGUGGAAGGUGAAGGAAAAGACCAAGAUACCCUUGCAAAAACGCCCUUGAAUUACUGGAAAAAUAUACUUGACGGUGACAGGCCGUCAGGUCCGUAAUAGGCCGUCAUGAAUGGUCAUCACAAAAGGGGUCCAAAUUCUUGAGUUUUUACCCAAGUAUGAUGAUGUCAUCAGAAAUGUCAUCAGAAUGUGACAACGUCAUCAAAAAGUUCAUCAGAAAUGUGAUAGCCCAUCAGAAAUGUCGUCACCGUUUUCCAGCUUGACAUGUUGGAAUAAAAUAGGGAUAACUCUUUGCUCCGAUAUCGGAUUUAGUUGAAAUUGGUAUCGUUGGAAAGAUAAUUCAAAGAUAUUUCAUUUUAUAUAUAGUAAACCACCCAGCUCGUCAUAUAAAACAAGUUAUGGUUGAUUGAAGUUGACCCAAGUUUUGACGCUCACUAUAACUUUAAUGAUAGGAAAACGUUCAAUUUGUACUUGAGUUAGGGGACCUCUAUGAUAUAAAUUCAUGCUCAAAUAGAUUCACACACUACAUAAUUGAUUAACACACUAAAUAUAUAUAGGAUUUGAAGCUUUUGAAACAUCCACGCAUAGGAAUGAUGGAUUUUCAUUCUAGUCCAAAAUAUGGGGUAUUACAACAACUGAAGCCCCAUGAGCAGAAUUACCCUACCCAUGAUCUUGAGUUAGAAGCUAUAGUGUUUUCCUUAAAUAUUUGGAGGAACUAUUUGUAUGGGGUGCCUGUUGAUGUGCUUACCGUUCACAAAAGCUUUCAAUAUGUGUUCUCUCAGAAAGAUUUGAAUUUGCAUCAGAGAAUAUGGUUAGAGUUGUUGAAAGAUUAUGAUAUGAGCAUCCUAUAUCAUCCAGGUAAGGCCAAUGUAGUGGAAGAUGCUCUAGUAGGUUGUAUAUGGGUAGUGUUUCUCACGUUGAGAAUGAUAAAAAGAAGUUAGCUCAGGAAGUUCAUCAAGUUGCCCGACUAGGUGUCUGCUUUGUCUAUUUAGUAGAGGGUAGUGUGUGGGUGAAGAGUAGUUUAGAAUUAUCUCUAUUUUCCGAAGUGAAGGAAAAGUAGGAUAGAGAUCCCAAUCUGGUUAAGCUGAAAGAGUCAGUCAGAGAUUGGAAAGUAGAAGUUUUCUGCCAAGGCAGAGAUAGUGUGUUGCAUUGCCAAGGUCGGCUAUGUAUGCCAAGUGUAGAUGACUUGAGGUAACGAAUUCUUGCAGAAGCGUAUGGUGUGCGUUACUCUAUUUAUCUAGGGUCUACUAAGAUGUACUGCGAUUUGCGAGAGAUCUAUUAGUGGAGUGGGAUGAAGAGGGAUAUUGCAGAGUUUGUAGCUAAAUGCUCUAUAUGUCAGAAAGUUAAGGUUGAGCACCAGAAACCUAGUGGGUCCAUGUAGGAGUUCAGUAUUCCCUCAUGGAAAUGGAAAGAAGUGAACAUAGACUUUGUGAUGGGUUUGCCUCAUACCCGCCAUCAACAUGAUUCUAUUUGGGUCAUUGUAGAUAGAAUGACAAAAUUAGCUUAUCUCUUAUCAGUCCGUACCUUCUAUUAACCCAAGGACUAUGUCAAACUCUAUGUUAGAGAGUUGGUCAGGUUAUUUAGAGUUUCAGUAUCCAUCAUCUCAGAUAGAGGUACCUAGUUUACCUUUCACUUUUAGAAAUCAUUCCAAAAGGGUCUUGGUACCCAAGUUUACCUCAGUACAUCUUUUCACCCUUAGAUAGAUAGUCAAACAGAAAGGACAAUUCAGACUCUAGAAGAUAUGUUAAGAUCCUGUGUUGUUUGUUUUAAAAGUAGUUGGUAUGACCAUUUUCCUUUGGUCAAAUCCGCGUAUAAUGACAGCUAUUAUUCCAGUAUUCAGAUGUCUCCGUUUGAGGCUCUCUAUGGUAGAAGAUGUAGAUAUCUAAUCGGUUGGUUUGGGGUAGGUGAAGCCAUAGUAGUAGGGUCUAACUUAGUGUUUGAUGCCUCAGAGAAGGUUUAGUUGAUUAAAGAAAGGCUUAGGGUAGGCCAAAGCCGAUAGAAAUCCUAUGCAAAUGUGAGAAGAAAGAUCUCGAGUUUGAGAUUGGUGAUUUUGUGUUCUUGAAAAUCUCUCCCAUGAAGUGGGUGAAAAGGUUCGGUAGGAAGGGAAAGCUCAGUCGUUGAUAUGGAAAUCCUUAUAGAAUCCUCAGCCAUUUUGGAAAGCUAGCUUACGAGCAUGAGUUGCCUUCAAAUCUAGCUUCAGUGCACCUAGUGGUCCAUGUCUCCCUGCUAAAGAAAUGCAAUGGAGACCUAGCAGUCAUAGUCCCCUUAGAGAGCAUAGAUAUUCAGAAUGAUCUCUCUUUCGAAGAGGUUCCAGUCCAUAUCCUCAAUUAUUAGAUUCACAGACUGAGGAACAAAAAAGUUCCCUACGUUAAAGUUGUUUGGCGGAAUUAAUCCGUUGAUGGAGCUACUAGGGAAGCAGAAGCAGAUAUGUGGACUAAGUAUCCUCACCUUUUCUCCACAAAUUUAUAAUAAGCUUAAGGUAAUAGUCUUCCUUCGCUUUACUCAGUUCCAUGUUUAGUUAUAGUUGCAAAUUUGGUAUUCAUUACCGUUGCAUAUCAUCUUUAUGACAGUCAUGCAUUCAUGAAUCAGUUCAGCCAUGUACUCAUGCAUCAGAUAUGAAUGUUCAGUUAGAUAACUCAGCUUAUCAGUAGUUUCAAUCAGGUAUUCCGCACAUCAUACAUGCAUGUUCAGUGCGUAAACUCAGUCUAUUAGUAUUUCUCAGCUUAAUCAGUCUCAUUCGAGGACGAAUAUUCCCAUGGGGGAGAUAUUAUAAUACCAUGUGUUUUUCUAAAUCAGCUUAACUCUCAAUAUAUGAGUAUUCCUAUAUAAAAUUUUUAGAAUACUCCAAAUUUUUUAGUUUAGAUCUUACCAAUGCGUAUAAAAUUCAGUCAUCUUUCCAACGAUAUAAAAUUCACCCAAAUCCGACAACCGGAUGAGAAGUUAUGGCAUAUUUUGUAAAAUAGUGUGCCACUAGGUGCAUCACCACAUCACGGAGACCAUCCAAAUGAAAAUUUUCAGUUUCCAGUGACCCAACGCUAUAAUCCCACAUCGUGGCGCAGUGCCAGUUCCCAAUUGGCAUUUUCUAGUUAAGCUCCGUAAAAGCAUCGAGCGUGUCAGGGCCAAAUUUUAGAAUUGUCAAAUUAUAGUGAGGCUCCAUGAUCGUGAUGCAUCGCGCCGAGAGCUAAUUUCCCAGUUGUCCCUUUUUGUACAGUUCAAAUCAAAUUCCAGUGGCUCGCCGCGAUGCCACCAUGUUACGGUGAUGCCUAAAAUUGAGAUUUUCAGUGAUGAAUCUUAACUUCUUUCCAGGGGUAAUUUGGUAUUUUUUUCAUGACCCAGAUCAGUAUUAAACACAUAAUUAACCCAUAAUUAACAUAUAUAUAUCAUUAUUCACCUAAUGUUUCUCCAAAUUAAAUUAUUCUAUCUCAAAAGGGCAAAACCCUAGCUUCAAGAAUCAAGAACAAAGCUCAAGAAAUCCUCCAAGAACCUUUAAGAAUUAAUCUUCUCAGGUAUGUUAGGAGCUCAUCUAUUGGUUCCUUACACCCAUAGAGUGCAAGAAUCCAUUUUUAAAACUACAAGCUUAUUGAUUCAUGAUUUACAUGCUUGAAAUUGGAUUUUAUUCAGAUUCAUGACGUUAAUUGAGUUUCAAUCCAUGAUUAAAUUGUAGAUUCCAUGAAAUUAAAAUAACAUGUAUAUUGAAUUGUGUAAUUCCAUGUUAUAACCCUUGAAUUAGCAGGUUUGGGUACUGUAGUUAAAAUGUUUAUUUGUUGUCCAUGAUUAUAUGCAUUAAGUUAUGCUCGCCAAGUGUUUGAUAGAAUGUCCAUGUAAACUAAAUAGUGAAAUCAAGACAUGCUAGCAUAUCUACAAGCUUAUCCCUACAAGUGUUUGAUAAAAUGUUUCUAUGAAUGAAUUAUGAACAAGUGAAUAUUGUUAUGCCUUCUCAAGAUCAUGCUAUGCUUUACUUUUCUUGCUAUCGAGUCCUGGGGGUAUUCAAUACCCAAAAAUCUAGCUGUUUACCUAGAGCUACAAUAGUUACAGAAUAGUCUCAGUCAGGUCACAAAAUCAUAGUACUCAAUCAAUUAACAGAACUUAGUAAACUCAGUCAAUUACAACACUCAGUAAAACUCAGUAUUAGUCCAGUAUAAUAAUCAGUGUCAUUCAGAUGGAAGUAGGACUUAGCACCGAGUGAACCUAAGGAUGGGGGAUCACCUGGCAAUAGAGGGGUUUGAUCCUUAGAAGUAGUCCUUCCAUUCUAAAACUAGGUAGCCGGCGUAGGUUGAGACGUUAAUCUUCCGUUUGAGGGUUGAUGAGGUGUUUUAACCUGCCAUUUGAGGGUACCACUAUUCUCAUUUAGGGCACCUGCCAGAUGAGGAUGACUCUUCAAUUGUAUUUACCCGUGUCAUGGUACUGACACCCUUCCAACUUCGGUUAUAGGUUGCACCCUAGUUCUCUUAGUUGGGGCAUGCUGGUUAGAUGACUACCUCCCAUAGUUUUAGUUUCAGUCUCAGUAUAGAACUCAGUUCAGUUCUAAUGAAUUAGGAUUGUUAGACACAGUCAAUCAGUAUCAAUAAUUUAGUUAUCAGUAAUCUCAGAUGUCAGUUACUCAGUUAUCAAACUCAGUACUCAGCUUCAAAAAGCCUCAUGUAUAUGCACAGUAUUGCAUACUUAGUAUUUUUACAGCAGUUCCAGUUAACCCUGUACUCUUAUUUAAUUACUUUAUAUCAUUCAGCCAGUUACUGUUCAUGCAUAAGAACGCCUGCAUUCAGCCAUACCUCAUCUAGCAUACCAAUACAUUCCAUGUACUGAUGCAUACUCUUUAUUUGCACUAUGAUGUCUCAUUUCAUAGGUUCAAAUGCUUAGGUUCCUAACUAUGCAUACACAGGUUAAGUUAGCAGUAUCAGAUUUAGUAGUGAAUCCUCAUCUAUCGAGGAUAUGCUUUUAUUUCAGUAUUUCAUAGUCAAAGUUAGUUGGGGGCAUAUACCAUCAACUCCACUUUUAGACAGUUCAAUGAGAGGCUUUUUAGACUAGACUAGUUCGAAUAGUAUUUCAGAUUUCAUAUGUUUUAUCAGAUAUCAUUACAGUGGUUAUUCUUUAUCAGUAUUCAAAUUAUGAACAUUAUGGCAUUUUAGUCUAUUUUAUGUACUAUUACAGUAUUAUCAUCUAGUGCUCAUAGCAGGUACUAGUCAUGGGUUAGCUUGUGAUCUUUCAGGGUCGUAAGCACCAUGUGGUGUCCGAGGUGUAGACUUAAGGCAUUACAGACAUAUAAUAUGAUUGAAGAAAUAGAAAUAAAAUUUAGUAGUGAAUCCUGUUAAGAUACUGAGGAUUCAAAGAAAAUUGAUGAUUAGAUCAUCAUCGAAUUAAACAAGGAGUGUAAUAUCGAUGAAUUAUCUUUGUGUCAUGGAGUUGCUUAAAAAAGAAUAAGUUCUAAGAUCUUGAAUCCUAAACCUUCAAACUUUUGCAUCAUAUGUGUGUCUCUGGAUAAUGAAUUUGUGGAGGAUUUCAAAGAAAGGGGGAGCUCAAAAACUUAACAUCAUAAAACUCAACAAGGACAAAUCAAUGAUAGAAAAUCUUCAUCAAUGGAAGAAAAAAGGGGAGUUGGUAAAAAACUACUAAGAGUUUUACCAAGGAAUGGUUCAAAGUUUCAUUUGAGUUCUUCUGCGACGAGUUUGGGAUAGCUUCCAAAAAAUUACUUUAAGGGGGAGUGUGAAAAAUAUCAAGAGUAGAUUUUUUGGCAGAAUGAAUAUCAUACUUUUCUAGUUAAAUUUGUAGAAUAGUCUAGUGAAUAAAUAUCAUAGUUUUCCAGUUAAGUUUCUAGAAUAAUCUAGUGUGGUAACUUGGAUAAGAAAUUUGUAAAAAUAUCUAGAGUAGAAAAUAAAGCACUAGAAUUUUCUUGUGGAUGUAUCUAGAAGAUUAUCUAGAAUCAUCCAUGUGAAAAUAUUAAUGGGAGUCACUUGUAUAUUUGUAACUAACCCCAAAACAAUCCAAUUAAAGAAGUCUUCUUCAAUAACAAAGCUUCUCUUUCAUAGCUUCUUCUUCUUUAGUUGAAUUUUUUUAUCUUAGUUAACGAUCUUGGUUGUUGGAACCUUGAAGUUUUGAUGAAUGACAAUAUGAAUAAAAAUAGUUGAUAUGAGUUAAUUCAAUGCUACUGGAAACUUCAACUUACUGAUCACAUGGGGAAUAGAACAAGUUGAAUUUGAUUCAAACACUUAAUGAUAAGGGAAAGCAAGUUGAGUUGAAAAAGGAGUCCUACGUAAAGAAGGAGUUUCACUUCUGAGCAUAUCCUGAAGAGUCCUAUGUGUAGAAGGAAAAAGAUUCUGCAUAUUGAAGAUGUCUAUGCAAGAUAGGAAACAUAUAAAUUGAAGGAAUCUUUGUUAGAUCAAUGAAGUUUUUGAUGACUGACACAUGAAUGGAACAUGUUACUUGACCUGGUCCAAGCAUAGAAAGGCAAGUUUCAGGUUUUACUCAUAGAUGCAGACAAAGAUUGCUAAAAGUCAGGAAUGAAUGAGCAAACCUAAUUCAUAUAUACUCAAGCUACUGAUCACGUGAGAAAUUGAAAAAGUUGUGAUUGAGUAAAAUACUUGAAGAUAAGUUGAUUUAAAGAGUUAAAUUUUGAAUACAAAACAAUAUAAGUUGUAUGUUGAAUUUAUUACAAGGUGGAUAGAAUAUUAAAACAAAGCAAGCUGCAUCAUUCAGAAGAUGAGUUAGUCAAGGAGUUCUACAAGAAAAAGAGUUCUACUCAAUCUAGGAGAGAGAGAGCCGGCAGCAACAAUAAGAGUGAAAGUAGUCCAAUUCAACAUAGGAAAGGACAUCAAAUAAAAGGAGUCCAAUACAACAUAGAAAAGGACAUAAACUAAAAGGAGUUCAAUUCAAGAUAAGAGAGGAUAUCAACUGAAAGGAGUGUAAUUCAAGAUAGGAAAGGAAAUCAACUAAAGGUCUCCAUUAGGGUUUCUUUAAAUACAAGGGAAGAGAUUCAAAGUAAGACACGCACUUAAAAAGAAGAAAAGCACAAUCGACAGAUUGACUUCAUGAAGUGUUAUUCAAUCACUGAAGAAGCACAUUGAAGAACCUGGUCCUAAGUAUAGAAUUCAACUAAGAGUUUUAGUUUGAUUUUUAGAGUUUUUCAUUGUGUUUGAGCUAUUAAUGUAAUAUUAGUUACAGUGUGUUAUAAACUAACUUAGGAGAUAGUCUUCGAGUUAAGGAAAACCCAGAGACUUUGGGAACGCAUACCUUGGAAGGUGUAUGCGUAGUUCAGAAUUAGAGUUUAUAAUUCCUAGUCGUUAAGUUAAAAGGAAUUAGAGUUUUUAAUUCUUAGUUGUUGAGAUAUAGGUAUUUUUUGGUUACAAGAGUUUCAUAAUCAGUCGUUGUUGAGGCUCAGAGUUAUUUAGUAAAGUUGGGGUUAAAUCCUUUAGAGGUACAGGUCAUGGUUUUUUACACCUUUUGAGCUGGGUGUUUUCCAUGUAAAAAUCAUUGUGUUCUUUACUUUCUAUUUUACAUCUUCUUUGAAACACGUCAGGAAACCUGUUCCAUUGAUAAGCAACAGUUUGGCAAAAAUAAGAUAAUCAGUAGGGCACAAACUCUAACAAUUGGUAUCGGAGAGAGGUUGUCUUAAAAAGGGAUAACACCUAAGACAAAGAUCAAUAUGAUGAAUCCGCACCACCUACUGGUCAUAGUGAAGGUCAAUCCACUAUUAGAUCUCUACUCUUUAAUAAUUCUCACGUCAUUUGGUGGAAAGCUAGUAUGGAAACUAUUAAGGCAUGAGAAGUUUUGAUCAUAGACAUAUGAAUGAAACAUAUUGUGCAAGGUUUUCCAUACAAGUGAAACUGCUUCGGACAUAUGGAGUGCAUGUUGAAAUCAUUACAUGCUAAAAUUAUUACAUAAACAGUGUUCACACGGCUAUAGGAAGAUAAUUGGAGCAGUUAGAUUUUGAGUAGAUCAAGAAGUCUACAAGGCAGAAGGAUAAAGUAAAAGAGUCCUACUCAAUUUAGAAGAAGGGGAGAUUGUUACAACAAGGAGUGAGUUACUUAAAAAAGUCCAAUAGAAGAUAUAAGUAAAGAAGAAAAAGGAUUGCAUCUGAGGGAGCAUAUAUAGAUGAAAAGCUACAUUCAAAUAACGAUCAUGCACUGAUAAGAAAAUCAACAAUCUGCAAAAUAGUUCACCAACUUAAAGAAGAACCUAGUUCACACUUAGUAUGUUUUAGACUGCUUGUAAUAGGAAGGUUCUUGAGUUGUAAUGAGUAAAUUGUUCUAGUCCCAGUAUUUUAUAAGCUGAGUUAGGAAUCACAUCUUCAAGUUAGGGAACUUAAAGUCUUGGGAACACUUAUCUUGGGAAGAUUUGUGUUUUUGUAGUAAUAGAAAUUAGAAGUUGUAAUUCCUUGUUUACAAGAAGUCUUGUAAUUGUGUUGAUUGUUGAGGCUCAAAGGUAUAGUAAACAUUGGGGUUAAAUCCUGUACAGGUACAGGUCGUGGUUUAUUACAUCUUUUUGAGCUAGGUGUUUUCCACGUAAAAAUUACUGUGUUCAAUUUUUACUUCUGUAAACCACGUAUACUUACUUGUUCCACAGAUAGGCAAUCAGUAGGGAUCAUACUCUAACAAAUGGUAUCAGAGCCGGUUGUCUUAAAUAAGGUUUGCACCUAAGAUCAGAUCAUUAUGAUGAAUUCAGCAGCUCCUACUGGUCACAGUGAAGGUCAAUCCACUACUAGACCCCCACUCUUUAAUGGUACUCAUUUCAUCUGGUGGAAAGCUAGGAUGGAGAUGUUUAUUCAAGGAAAAACUAUGAAAUAUGGGAUAGGAUUACUGAAGGUCCUACUAUCCCUAUGAUGAAAGAAAAUGGUGUGCAAGUCAAGAAAAUAAGGAGUGAGUUUACUGGUGAUGAUCUUUUGGCUUUAAAGAAAAAUGCUAAGGCAAAGAAUAUCCUAGUCUGUGGUCUAGGACCUGCUGAAUACAAUAGAAUAUCUACCUAUACCACUACUAAGCAAAUAUGGGAUGCGUUAGUAAAUUCCCAUGAAGGUACCUCUCAGGUAAGGAAAUUCAGGAUCUCUCUCCUUUUUAUUGAAUAUGAAGUGUUUAAGAUGAUGGAAAAUGAAUCCUUGCACGAUAUGAUGACAAGACUUACUAAUCUAACAAAUGAGUUAACCUCCUUGGGAAAAGUCAUCACUGAAGAAGAACAAGUAGAGAAGGUUCUAAGGGUGCUACCAAAGUCAAAAUGGAAUAUUAAAGUCACUACAAUUAGGGAAGUAAAUAAGGAUCUCACAGGUAUGACUUUGGAUGAACUUGUAGGGAAUUUAAGAACCUAUGAAAUGGAAGUUGAUGGCAUUAAGGAAUAGAAAGCUUCUAAAAAAAUCUUGGCCUUGAAGGCUUUUGAUAGUGAUGAAGAGAUUGAACUGGAUAAGAAACAAAUUGCCUUCAAACAAAAAAGUUCAGCAAGAUUUUUAAGAAGAAGAAGAGAACAGGUAGCAAGAAGUAUUCCAAUGACAAUCCAAAUGGAUGUUACAAGUAUGGAAGGACUGAUCAUCAGAUCAGAGAAUGUCCUCUCUGAGAAAUAAAAUGGAGGAAGGAAAGAGUUAAAAAAGAACAAAAGGCCAGGAGGAAGGAAAAGGAAGAACAUGCCAUGAUAGCUGCAUGGGUAUCUAACUCUGAUAAUGAUGAUGAUAGAUUUGAUGAGACAACAUUUAUGGCUUUUGGAGACUCAGACAUUUAGGAAGAAGAUGAUGCUUCUGAGGAAAGUUUACUUGAACUAAAAGAAAAACUGCAUUUUUUUCUAAGACUAAACUUGUUUCCUUGAUGAGUGAUUUAAUUGAAAAUUUCCAAGAAUUAACUUCUAAUAGGGAUGAAUUGUUCAACAGUCUUGCAAGUCUUAAAAUUGAUUUCAUUGACUUGAAAGUUUGCAAGAAAAAUGUUGACAAAGAAAAUUCCACUCUCAAGGAACAAAUUACACUGCUUGAGUCCUCAAAUAAUGAUCUUAAGUCUAAAAUCCUUAAACUGACUCUCACUGACCAUGGGAAAAAGACCAUAAGUAAAGAACAAGAAAAUACUGAACUUGAGUUAACUAAGUACAAACAAAAAUGGUAUAACUUGACUGAAAAUAUGGAUAAGAUGAGUCAAGAGGUAGCAAGAUUAAAAUUUGAACUAGAAAAGUCAAACAGAUGGACAAAUUCUUCAAGAAUUGUUCAUCAUGUUGGUAAAAGAUAUCACAAUGAAAAAGAAGGCUUGGGUUUUUAAAAAGAAGCUGAUAAUCUUCAAGACUUAUGUUAUAUUUGUGGCAAUCUUGGAUAUCCUAAUACUGAACGUCCUAUGGCUAUUAAAAGCAGAUAUCGAAGUCUACACCUGGCAACCAAACUUUCUCAGACCAAGAAAACAAGCACUAAAAUUAUUCUGAGAAACGAUUUAGUCUACUUACUUCCUACUUGGACUAGAAGAAAUUUAAUUCAUCCUUUUACUAACAAAACAGGACCCAAGCUUGUCUGGGUUCCUAAGUCUAACCAUUAAAGGGAAACAAAAGGCACUGGUACCUAGAUAGUGCUUACUCAAUGCAUAUGACUGGUGACAAGAAAAAGUUUCUUUCACUCUCUAAAAUAAAUAGUGGGGGAGUCUCUUUUGGAAAUGGAAAAAAGGGAAUCAUAACUGGAGUUGGAAAAAUUGGCUCAUCUGAGUUAAAAGCUGUGGAAGAUGUUUAUCUUGUGGAAGGAAUGAAGCAUAACUUGCUAAGCAUUUCACAAUUGUGUGACAAAGGUAAUAAAGUAAUUUUCACACCAAAUAAAUUGUGCUUACUGCAAGGCGAUACAAGAAUGUAUACAAAGCAGACAUAAUGGCAAUACUAGGAACUGAGUUGACUUGUCUAAGUGCAAUAGAAACUGAUCCCCUUCUUUGGUACAGAAGACUUGGACAUGCAAGUCUUAAACAACUGAACAUACUUUCCUCCAAAUACAUGGUAUUGGGACUACCCAAGACCAACUUUAAGGAAGAAAAGUUAUGUAGUGCAUGUUUAAGGGGGAAGCAGGUAAAAUCCUCUUUCAAGUCAAAGAUCCAUGUUAGCAUUACCAAAUGUCUUGACCUGGUUCAUAUGGACUUGUGUGGACCAAUGAGACAACAAAGCAGAAGUGGAAAAAGGUAUAUUUUUGUAAUUGUUGAUGAUUAUUCCAAGUGACUUUAUUUAUAGCCUCUAAGAAGAUGCCUUUGAUGUCUUUGAAAUCUUCAUUAAGAAAAUAGAAAAAAAACUGGGCACUUCAUUAGUUUCCAUAAGGUCUGACCAUGGAACAGAAUUUGAGAAUGCAAAAUUCUUAGAUUUUUGUUCAUCAAAUGGAAUAGAUCAUAACUUCUCAUAUCCUAGAACUCCUCAACAAAAUAGAGUAGUGGAAAAAAGAAUAGAACCUUGGAAGAUAUGGCUAGAACAAUAAUACUUGCAGCAAAUGUUGCCAAAAACCUAUGGGCUGAGGCAAUAAGUACUGCAGCAUAUAUCACAAACAGAUGCAUAAUCAGACCCAUGUUAGAAAAGACUCCCUAUGAAUUACUAAAAGGUAGAAAGCCUAACAUUUCUCACUUUAGAACUUUUGGUUGUAAAUGUUUCAUACAUAAUAAUGGUAACGAUAAUUUGGGAACAUUUGAUGCCAAAAGUGAUGAGGGAAUCUUUUUAGGUUAUUCACUUCAUAGUAAGGCUUAAAGAGUUUUAAACAACAUAACUAACUGUGUUGAAGAAAGCAUGCAUGUGAUUUUUGAUGAGUUUUGUGUUAAUACUAACCUACAGAAAGAAAGUGACACUGAGGAACAAGUUACACAACAUGUUCCAUCGACUGAAGCAGUAAAACUUGGGGGCACUUUCAUAGAGGGAACUGAAGCUGAAGGCACAGUGUUAGGGAGAACUGAGCCAUCAACUGCUUUAUAUCAUAAUAUUAGCAAUGAUCCAAGCAGCUCACUAGGCUUAAUCCCAAAAGGAUACAAGUAUCAAGGUUCGUACCCCAUUGAGAAUGUACUUACUGAUCUCACUUCUGGAAUCACCACAAGAUCUGGAUUGAGAAGUAUGUGGGCAUUCAAGUCAUUCCUAUCAGAAAUAAAGCCAAAGAAAAUAAGUGAGGCAUUGAUUGAUGUUGAUUGGAUCAUAGCUAUACAGGAUGAAUUUAAUCAAUUUGAGAGAAGAAAAGUAUGGAAUUUAGUUCCUCUUCCAAAAGAUAGAUCAGUCAUUGAGACUAAAUGGGUCUACAAAAAUAAAGUUGAUAAGCAUGGAAUAGUCACAAGAAAUAAGGUAAGACUGGUGGUUCAAGGAUACAACCAAGAAGAAGGAAUUGACUUUGAUGAGACUUUUACUCCUGUGGCAAGACUUGAAGCCAUAAGAUUGCUGGUUACCUGGAGUUUAUUUUUUACUAGAUGGAUGUGAAGAGUUCAUUCCUAAAUGAUAUUCUUAAAGAAGAGGUUUAUGUGAAGCAACCUCCAGGAUUUGAAAGUAGAGAGUUUCCAGAUCAUUUGUACAAGCUAGAUAAGGCUUUGUAUGGGUUGAAACAAGCACCAAGGGCCUGGUAUGAGAGAUUAUCAAAGUUUCUGCUGGAGCAUGGACACACUAAAGGUAAAAUUUACAAUACUCUUUUCUUAAACACUAAUGGAAAGGAUUUGUUAGUUGUGCAGGUGUAUGUGGAUGACAUUAUUUUUGGCUCAACCAACAUGAAUAUGACUCAUGACUUUGCUAAAAUUAUUAGUUGUGAGCUUGAAAUGAGCAUGAUGGGGGAGUUGAAUUACUUCCUGGGCCUUCAAAUAAAAUAGUCAGCAUUAGAAAUUAUGAUCCAUCAGCAAAAGUAUAUCAAAGAGCUUCUCAAGAAAUUCUCUAUGGAGGAAACUAAAUAAAUAAGUACUCCCAUUGCUACUGUUACAAAACUUGAUCUAGAUGAAACAGGUUCUGAUGUAGAACAAAAAUUGUAUAGAGGUAUGAUAAGGUCCUUAUUAUAUCUCACAGCAAGCAGACCUGGCCUUGUGUUUAGUUUAGGACUGUGUCCAAGGUUUCAAGCUAAUCCAAAAGAAUCCUAUUUGAAGUCUAUAAAAAGAAUUUUCAAAUUUUUGAAAGGAACUAGUGAUCUUGGGUUAUGGUAUCCCAAAGGUAGUAACUUUAAUUUGGUAGGAUACUCUGAUAUUGAUUAUGUAGGAUUUUUGGUGAACAGGAAAAGCACUACAGGUAUGGUAUACUUCUUAGGAUUAUAUUUGAUUACCUGGUUACAAAGAAGUAAAAUUCAGUAGCUUUGUCUACUGCUGAGGAUGAAUACGCUGUUGUUGGGUCAUGUUGUACUUAAUUGUUAUGGAUCAAACAACAACUUAUGGAUUUUGGGGUAGAUGUAGGUUGUGUUCUCAUCUUUUGUGAUAACAGAAGUGCUAUAAAAAUAGCCAAAAAUCCUGUCUAACAUAAAAGAACUAAGCAUAUUGCUAUCUGUCAUCACUUCCUUCAAAACAAUGUUAAAAAGGAAAUAUAUCAAUUAUGUUUUGUUCAAAUGAGGAACAAAUUUUUGACAUAUUCACUAAGGCUUUGAGUAGGGAACACUUUGAAAAAAAUAUGUUAGCAUUGGGGAUGAUUAAAAUUGUAUAAAUCUCCUUUAAUGAUUGAAUAGAAUAUGUUAGGCCUGGGUUAUUGUUGAUUAAUUCAGUCUUACACAUUCAGUUGUGUGUCCUAAUUCCAAGAUUUAAAGUAAUGUAAUAUAUCUAUGUGUCUUUUUUUAUACAUAGAUCAUCAAGGGCAAUAAGAGAAACAUGUCAUCUAUAUGGUUCUUUCUAUAGUGAUUAAAACUGCCAAAACCCAACAGUCAUUUUCUUCAAAAGGUUACCAGACCUUUCCCAUCCAUACUGAACCUCUACAUCAGCAUAUUUAUCCAAAAUCACAGUCCCUUCAUCUUUCAACUUCUUUCUCACUCUUCUUAAAUACGCCUCUAAUUUUCUCUCCUAUCUCAACUUCUCCUUCAACCUACGAAUAUUUACCAUACUAUGGCAUCUUACUCCUCUCCUCCUUCUUCCACAAAAAAUGACAUUAAUCCUUCUACACAACUUAUUCUCCACCCAAACAUCAAUUUACCCUUACAUAUCAAACCCUAAAUCCUUCUCAACCUAUCUGAUUUCCCAUUCUUCAAGACCUUACCAUACCCCUUCUCUCACUUCUUUCAAACCUUCCCUCUUUCCAGAACUCUUACCACUAUCAGUAGCUCCUCUUUAAAUCCUUGAUCGAGAUGACAUUCCAAUUGCCAACCUUAUUCCUAGAUGGUCAAGAUUGAAUCUGAAACAAAAAUCUUUAUUUAUCGCCAUUGAUGUCGAUGAUGAUACUUCUGAACACUCUUCUCCCAUCAUCCCUUCAUCUCAAACUCCACAUACACAAAGAAGAAAACAACAGGUAUAUGCUUGUUUGGAAGAGGCACUUAGGGCAAGUAAAAAAAAUGAGUCAUGCCUAAUGCUUCUCCUUCCCUAUGUGAUUCCUCUCCUGACAUUCUCAUUCGCUCCAAGAGAAAGCUGAAGCAGAAGCAUACCAUAGCUAAAACAUCAAAACCAUAUCUCUCUCAUAAAAUCGCCCCCUACCACUCCCAAAGCCUCCUUAUCUUCAAAAUCCACUAUCAAAGACUCUACUGACAAAGUCUCUACUGGAAAAGCCUCUACUCCUUCUAAAGAUUCUCCAAAAUAUGUAUCACUUCUGAAGAAACAGGUCCCCAAGCUUGGUCCUUCUGUCUUAUCUGCCUCACAUUCAGACUAUCUUCUUGACACUUCUUUUGUUCUUCCUGAUGAUUCUGAUGUUGAUAUUAAUGUUGAUACUCCUGCUGAUAAAGCUUAUCAGUUAGACCACGUUCUGUAUUUUAAGAAAUGAAAGAUGGUUAGAGGUAGAGUUGUCACAGGUUUUGGGGGUCUUGCUAUGGAAACUUUGGUAUCUAAAUUGAGGGAUUAGGGGUGGUAAUCUUUUCUUUUACACAGUAAUCAUCAAAAAAAGUUUGGAAAAGAUAAUGUGUAUGAAUUUUAUACACAUGGAGUUACGAUUGGGGAGAUGAUCUCAACCUCUGUUCAUGGAAAACUAAUCAAUCUUUAGCCUACUGAUGUAGGUAGAAUUCUAAGUGUUCCUACUAGAGGUUGGGGUCACUAUGUGAAAGGAUCUUGGCCUUCUCAUGACAAUCUUCCAUCCGCGCUUGAUAUCUGCAGAAAUUUUUUUGGAAAUCAUCUUCUUCCUUCUCAUCAUAAGGUGAUGAAAAAUGAAAUGUCUUCUCUCUAUAGUUGUAUUUUGAUAUGAUCCACAAAAUAAUCUUACCCAGGCAGGAAAAGUGCACAGUUUCAAGCUUUCUUGAUCUUACCUUAAUGGAACUAUUGGAUUCUAAGAUUCCAAUAGACCUUCCCCAACUCAUUAUUAAGCAUACACAAUGGGUACUCGUCAAAGAUAAGAAUGGUCAUGCUCUGCUCUAUCAGUUCUGGCUUCCCCCUUGUUUGAUGAUUUAUAUGUCUCUGUCAAGGUGUGGUCCUUACAAAUAACUAAGGAUGUGAUUGGACAAGUAAACCAUGCUAUGUUACCUACUGUUAUGCGACAUACAGACAACCCUAUGUAGAAGUUCCGAAAUACCUUAGAGGUAAAGCAGGGUGAGCUAGAGGUUGCACAGGCUGUAUUGGAGGCUGCCUAGGCUAUUCAUGAAUAUGAUAAGAGGGCUCUUGAAGCUCAAAUUGCUUCCCUCACAGCCACUUUGGAGAAAGAAAGAACUGAAAAUACUGCUAUCAUUUGAUCGUUGACCUCUUUUAUCUCCUCUACCUCCUCAAAAUAAACUCCAAAGAAACUCCGCCUUCGUCCCUUAGUUUUUUUUCUUUCUUCUUUGCUGCUUCUUGGUCCAACUUGUUUUUUUUUGUCUUAGUGGAUAAUGAUAAUUGUAUCUAUUUUUAUGCAUGAAAUGGACCUCUUUUGCUUCACUUGAUCUACUUCUGUUUAAUUUAAUGCUUAGUUAUCUUUUGCUUUGACUUUUGCUUGUUUUAGUGAUAGCCCCAGUGGCCAUGGAUUAUUAAACAGUUUUUCACUUAUUGGCUCAGCUUUUCGAUGAUGUCAAAAGGGGGAAGUAUAGAUUAUACGAUGCUUAUAACUCAACUGAUCUAACCUAUUUCAUUCUAUUGUGAUCCUUUUAUUGAAUUUCUUAUUGAGUAUGUCAAGUUCUUGGUAAUACUGUGCUGAUACGUUUGUCAUCAUCAAAAAGUGGAAAUUUGUUAGGGUAUAAGAAGUUUUGAUGAUAGACAGAUGAAUAAAACAUGUUGUGCAAGCUGGUCCAUACAAGUGAAACUGCUUCGGACAUAUGAAGUGCAUGCUGAAAUCAUUACAUGCUAAAAUUAUUACAUAAGCUGUCAACACAUGGAUAAGAAAAGGAUGUUCACAUGGCUAUAUGAAGAUAAUUGGAGCAUUUAGAGUUUGAGUAGAUCAAGAAGUCUACAAGGCAGAAGGAUAAAGCAAAAGAGUCUUACUCAAAUUAGAAGAAAGAGAGAUGGUUACAACAAGGAGUGAGUUACUUGAAAGAGUCCUAUAGAAAAUACAAGUAAAGAAGAAAAAGGACUACAUCUGAGGGAGCAUAUAUAGAUGAAAAGCUACAUUCAAAUAACAAUCAUGCACUGAUAAGAAAAUCAACAAUCAGCAAAAUCUUUCACUAACUCGAAGAAGAACCUAGUUCUCACUUAGUAUGUUUUAGACUGCUUGUAAUAGGAAGGUUCUUGAGUUGUAAUGAGUAAAUUGUUCUAGUCUCAGUAUUCUAUAAGCUGAGUUAGGAAUCACGUAUUCAAGUUAGGGAACUCAAAGACUUGGGAACACUUAUCUUUGGAAGAUUUGUGUUUUUGUAGUAAUAGGAGUUAGAAGUUUUAAUUCCUUGUUUACAAGAAUUCUUGUAAUUGUGUUGAUUGUUGAGGCUCAAAUUUAUAGUGAAUAUUUAGGUUAAAUCCUAUAGAGGUACAAGUCGUGGUUUUUUACACCUUUUUGAUCCGAGUGUUUUCCACGUAAAAAUUACUGUGUUCAAUUUUUACUUCUGUGAACCACGUAUACUUACUUGUUCCACAGAUAGGCAAUCAGUAGGGACCAUACUAUAACAGAAACAUUAAUUCAAGGGGAAUACUAUAAGUAUAGGAUUGGAUCACUGAUGGUCCUACUAUUCCAAUGAAGUUAGAAGAUGGGAAACAGAUCAAGAAAGUAAGAAGUGAAUUCACUCCUGAUGACUUAUUGACAUUAAAGAAAAAUGCUAAGGCCAAAAACAUUUUGUCUGUGCAUUAGGACCUGCUGAAUACAAUAAGGUAUCAUUAUGCACCACUGCUAAGAAAAUUUGGGAUGCUCUAGUAAAUGCUCAUGAAGGCAUAUCUCAAGUAAUAAAAUUAGAAUUUCUCUUUUCUUCACUGAGUAUGAGGCAUUUAAGAUGAAGAAGAAUAAAACCUUACAUGAGAUGAUGAAAAGGCUUACUACCUUAACAAAUGAACUGACCUCCUUAGGAAAAGCUAUAUCUAAAGAAGAACAAGUCGAGAAGGUACUAAGGGUAUUACCAGAAUCAAAGUGGAAUGUUAAGGUGACUGCAAUUAGGAAAGCAAAUAAGGAUCUUGCAGGCAUGACCCUGGAUGAAUUAGUGGGGAAUUUAAGAACUUAUGAAAUGGAAAUUGAUGGAACUAAAGUUCUAGAAGCCACAGAGGAUACCUUAUCUCUGAAGGCAUCUUACAGUGAUGAAGAAAUUGAACUUAAUAAAGAACAAGUUGCCUUUAUAGCUAAGAACUUUAGCAAAUUCUUCAAAAAGAAGAAGGGAAUAGGUAGCAAGAAAUGGUCAAAUGACAAUCUAAAUGGAUGCUACAAGUGUGGUAAGACUGAUCAGCAUAUCAAGGGUUGUCCUAUUGGGGAAAUAAAAUAGAGAAAGGAAAGGGCUGAAAAGGAAUUGAAAAAAAAAAAGAGGGAAGAAUAUGCAAUGGUAGCAGCUUGCAGAUUUGACUCAUAUGAUGAUGAAGUUGAUGAAGCAGCACUCAUGGCUCUUGGAGAUUCAGACUUGGAGGAAAAAGAUGAUGUUUCUGAGGUAAGUAUACUUAAACUUAAAGAAAAGUUGCAUUUGUUUUCUAAACCAAAACUUAUUUCCUUGAUGAGUGAACUAAUUGGUGACUUCCAAGAAUCAACUUCUGAUAGGGAUGAGCUGUUCAAUAGUCUUGCAAGAAUCAAAUUUGAUUUAUUGAUUUAGAAGCUUGCAAGAACACUAUUGAACAGGAAAACUGCUCUCUCAAGAAACAAGGAAAAAACAACUAGAGUAAAGAACAAGAAAAAGUUGAACUUGAAUAGGUCAAGUACAAAGAAGAGUGCAAUAAUGCAAUAGGAAUGGUGAAUAAACUGAGUCAAGAAGUCUCUAAACUAAAACUUGACCUUGAAAGAGCAACCAAGUGAACAAGUUCCUCAAGAAUUGUUCAUAUGUUGAGUGAAAGAUAUCACAGUGAAAACACUGGUUUAGAUUUUAGCAAAAGUCUUGAUACUUAUCAAGACUUGUGAUAUAUCUGUGGAAACCUUGGACAUCCAACCGCUAAAUGUUCAGUUUCUACCAAAAGUAGAUCCAGCAGUCUAAAUCUAGCACAUAAACUAUCUCAGACCAAGAAAAGGAUAACUAAACCUGGUCAGAGAAACAGGUCACUUAACAUGUUGCCUGCAUGGGCUAGAAGAAAUCUGAUUCAUCCAUUUACUUAUAAGAAAGGACCCAAGCUUGUCUGGAUGCCUAAAUUUAACCCCUAAUUUGUUUUGCAGGUGAGAGUGAAAGGAGGCAAGAAAAAUUUGUGCAUAAAUAAAGCUUGCUCAAGGCAUAAGACUAGAAGAAAAUAAAAUUUCUUUCACUCACCAUAUUUAAAGGGGGAAUAGAUUAUUUGAAAGAUGGCCAGAUUUUUAGUGCUCGUAUAUGGGGGAAGCAAGGGAAAUUUUAAAAAAAAAUUAAGAAAAGAGGAUGAUUGUGAAACUGAUGAGCAUGUACAGGAACAUGUUGUACGACCUGGUUCAACUGUUCUACAGACUGAGGGCAUAUUGACAGGGGGAACAACAAAUAAAGAAAUGGAUGCAUCAAUAAAACCAACACAAGUUGCUGGUAAUUUUGUUGGUAGUUCAUAAAAAUUGGAGUUGUCAAAAGAAUAUUGAGAUAUCUCAUAAGAAACAAUGGCUUGAGACUAUGAUAUCCAAAGGAAAGCAAUUUCACUUUUGAGGGCUAUAAAAAUAUUGACUAUGUGGGUUACUUAAUUGACUGGAGAAGCACCAAAGGUACUAAGUAGAGAGCAUUUUGAAAGGAAUAGGUUAGACUUGGGGAUGAUUAAAAUUGAAUGAACUCCCCUGAAUGAUUGACUAGAAUAAUCAUUUUUUUAAUAUUAUUAGCUAAAAAGUUAUUCUAUUCAGUCUUGCACAUUUAGUUGUAUGUCCCAAUUCCCAAUUUUUUACUUUUCUAACCUAAUUUUGUAUUAGAUUGUGAAAAAAAUAGGUACAAGCAAGCAAUUGUGACCAUAAAGUUCUUCUUAUCAGGUAUGUUCUACACUGACAUAAGCAUAGGCUGUCUAAGUUGAAAUAGUUGAGCACACAUAUUCAAUUCCAUACACUUCAUCCUCUACCUGUCUAAAAAGCUAAUGAAUUGUUGACCAAACUUUCUUUGAUUCUCUCCAAAUGGGUGUGCACAAAUGUGUUAAUCCUAUACUAUACCUUCUUCUUUCUUAACCAAAAUAUCAGUUGUGUACCAUGGAUUUGCCAAGAUUGAUCAUCAAUCACAUGCAGCAUAUGCUUUUGAAGAAUGAAAAGGGACAUGCUUUCUCUUUUAGUUCCUAAUUGGUUUUUUUUAGGACUUCUCAGUCCUAAAUCAGGUUUGACUUAUAAAAAAGAUAGAUGUUCUUGAACAGAUGAAUCAUGUUGCUCUACCUGUUUGAACAUGGAGGGCUAACACUCAUUUGAAAAAAAAUCUGAACUAGAAGCUGCACAAGACACUCAUGAAGUGGAAUAAGAGGUCCUUAAGUCUAGGAUCAUGGCUUUGAAGUUUGGUCUUAAUUGAUAGAGGGAUGAAAAUGUUGAAGUCAUUUGUCAAUUGACACAAUUGACAUCACCUGUUCAACCUUCCUCAUCAGCUUCUCACUAUUUGUAUCCUUAUCCAUGUACCACUUUUAUACCAUAUUUUUUAAUGCUCAAUUGUUUUGCUUUGUUCAGUACUAGCUUAGGAUUAAUGUGGAACAUGCUCUAUCAGUUAAAUGUAAUGGUUAUCUUUACUAAAUUGACUCAUAUUUUUACUCUCUUUAAUACAUUACUAGGUUGGCUAAAGACUUUGUCUGAUUGUCUUGGUGAUAUCCCAAGUGGCCAUGAGUAGCAUAACAAAUCACUUUGGCUAGUACAUUAUUGCAUUGAAAUGGUUUUUCGAUGAUGCCAAAAGGGGGAACAUAAGAAGGUUGUAUAAUGUUUAUAACCCAUAGACUAACUUAUUUCAUUCUAGUAUUUUAUACUUUAGUGCCUACAUGUGGAGAUAUUUGAAUGCACAAAGGCAAGAGGUUAGUCAUCAUCAAAAGGGGGGAAUAUGUUGGAACCUUAAAGUUUUGAUGAAUGACAAUAUGAAUGAAACAAGUUGAUAUGAGUUAAUUCAGUGCAACUGAAAACUUCAACUUACUGAUCACAUGGGGAAUAGAAAAAAUUGAAUUUGAUUAAAACACUUGAUGAUAAGGGAAAGCAAGUUGAGUUGAAAAAGGAGUCCUACAUAAAGAAGGAGUUUCACUUCUGAGCAUAUCCUGAAGAGUCCUAUAUGUAGAAGGAAAAAGAUUUUGUAGAUUGAAGAUGUCUAUGCAAGAUAGGAAACAUAUAAAUUAAAGGCCUCUUUGUUAGAUCAAUGAAGUUUUUGAUGACUGACACAUGAAUGGAACAUGUUACUUGACCUGGUCCAAGCAUAGGAAGGCAGGUUUCAAGUUUUACUGCUAGAUGCAGACAAAGAUUACUAAAAGUCAGGAACGAAUAAGCAAGCCUAAUUCUAAUAUACCCAAGCUAUUGAUCACGUGAGAAAUUAAAGAAGUUGUGGUUGAGUAAAAUACUUGAAGAUAAGUUGAUUUAAAGAGUUGAAGUUUGAAUACAACACAUUAUAAGCUGUAUGUUGAAUUUAUUACAAGGCGGACAAAACAUUAAAACAACGUAAACUACAUCAUUCAGAAGAUGAGUUGAUCAAGGAGUUCUACAAGAAAAAGAGUUCUACUUAAUAUAGGAGAGAGAGAGGCGGCAACAACAAUAAGAGUGAAAGCAGUCUAAUUCAACAUAGGAAAGGACAUUAACUAAAAGGAGUCCAAUUCAAGAUAGGAGAGGACAUCAACUAAAGGGAGUCUAAUUCAAGAUAUGAGAGAAAAUUAACUAAAGGUCUCCAUCUGGGUUGCUUUAAAUACAAGGGAAGAGAUUCAAAGCAAGACACGCACUUAAAAAGAAGAAAAGCACAAUCGACAGACUAACUUCAUGAAGUGCUAUUCAAUCACUGAAGAAACACAUUGAAGAACCAGGUCCUAAGUAUAGAAUCCAGCUAAGAGUUUUAGCUUUGAAAUUUAGAGUUGUUCAUUAUGUUUGAGCUAUUGAUGUAAUAUUAGUUUCAGUGUGUGAUAAACUUAAUUAGGAGAUAGUCUUCGAGUUGGGAAAACCCAGAGACUUUGGGAAUGCAUACCUUGGGAGGUGUCUGUGUAGUUAGGAAUUAGAGUUUAUAAUUUCUAGUCAUUGAGUUAAAAGGAAUUAGAGUUUAUAAUUCCUAGUUGUUGAGAUAUAGGGAUCAGAGUUUAUGAUUCCUAUUUGUUGGUUACAAGAGUUUUGUAAUCAUUCGUUGUUGAGGCUUAGAGUUAUUUAGUGAAGUUGGGGUUAAAUCCUGUAGAGGUGCACGUCGUAAUUUUUUACACCAUUUGAGCUGGGUGUUUUCCACGUAAAAAUCAUUGUGUUCUUUACUUUCUGUUUUACUUCUUCCUUGAAACACGUCAGUGGAACACGUCAGGCAACCUGUUCCAUCGAUAAGCAACAGUUAGGAGAAAAUAAGAUAAUUAGUAGGGCACGAACUCUAAUAUUAGGCUAGCAGAAGGUCUCUCAAUAACACUUUUCUUCUGCUAUUUUCUAUAGUAAGGUGAUUACCGUAGAUUACCAAUCAUUGCAAUGACCCUAAAUAGGAAUAUAUGGAGGUCAAUGAUUAAGAUAGAAAAUUAGUAGGUAGUCUCUCACUACUGUUAGUAUUGCUUGUCCUAUUCUUCAAUUNNNNNNNNNNNNNNNNNNNNNNNNNNNNNNNNNNNNNNNNNNNNNNNNNNNNNNNNNNNNNNNNNNNNNNNNNNNNNNNNNNNNNNNNNNNNNNNNNNNNNNNNNNNNNNNNNNNNNNNNNNNNNNNNNNNNNNNNNNNNNNNNNNNNNNNNNNNNNNNNNNNNNNNNNNNNNNNNNNNNNNNNNNNNNNNNNNNNNNNNNNNNNNNNNNNNNNNNNNNNNNNNNNNNNNNNNNNNNNNNNNNNNNNNNNNNNNNUUACAUACAAACCACUCUCCCCAAGCCAUCUCUAAUAUCUCAGAAUGGAUGUUUAUCCCAUUCCAUAGCAUUACUAAUUGGAUCAUAUAUAACAGCUUCAAUAUUCUUGUAUUCAUUCUUGUGUAUCAUAAGAGUACUUCCCAACCCUUUCUUGCAAGAGAGGCCCUGAUUUGGUUCUCCUUGAUUUGGCAAUCAGUUAAGUGAGAAUUGCUUCUUUCAUACUCUAUUCACCUGAAACCGGAAGAUUACAGAAACUCCCGAACCCUUUUAUUCCAACUGUCACUUUUCACGCUCUCCGUCUCUCCUCUUUUCAGGAUACUCCGGUCUUCCAGUAGAUUAUUUGGGAUUAUAUAAGUUGAGAAAAAGCAGUAAUAUGUACCUUUCUAGUUAAGCUAGUCAAGAUGAACAAUUAAUUAACUCUCUUCCUUCCCUCUAGAAUAAUACAUCAACCAUCAAAACAUCAUUCAACCUCGUUACAUAAGCUUAUAAUAACCAAACUCAUAAAUUGUUGGAGCCACUUCAGCUACAAGAACUAGGAUUUUUAACGACCAAUAUUAAUGAAGGUACAUGAAUCCUGUCCUUAUAAAUAUACUUAUGGCAACCAAAAAAAUUCAGUUCUGAAAAGCCAAUAUUUAAUUCAGCACUAACGAUGGUAUAAACUUUCCUUAAAACACAUAUUAUCCGGUCACAAAAACCAAAUUAUGAAUAAAAAAGAGGCGCUUCUUUUUUCCCAAUCCACCCUCCUCCCACCCCCUCACCUUUAGUUAAGAAAAUUCUCACAAAGUAAAUUUUUGUGGAGCUAAAAGGGCUGCUCGCCUCCAUUUGGUAUUUUUGUAUGACCCUUGUACCAUCGUAGAUCCUAUCGGAACUCCCCUGAUUAUAUACAAGACCACACCCACCAAAUUGAGGCCAACAACCGCUAAAAUGAGGGUCGAGAUAGAUCCAACAAAGCCGUUGUUAAAUGAGAGCUCCGUGGUAAUAAGUAAUGCACAGGGCAAAGUUGGAACUUCUAUACAAAGGAUUGAAUACGAAACCAUGCCCUCUUUCUGCUCGAAUUGCAAAGUACAGGGACACUCUGAGGAUAAGUGCAGGGACGCUCCGUUUAGCAUACUUGGGAACAUGCUACUAAACAGAGAAGUACAAAAAAUGAUUGGCGAGAUACAAAAAAGUGACAACGAAGAAAAAAUGCAGAGUAUAGCAACAUUACAAUGAAGAAAAUUGUCUGCUCAACUGCCCCGUAAAACAAAACAUCAAAUUUAUCAACAACUUGUCUCCAAGAAACUACCAGAACACAGGAGCAAAGAUUUGCAUAAGGUGAUUAGUUUACUUGAUAUGCUUUACUUGAGCCGAUGGUCUAUCGAAAACAAUCUCUUUACCUUCAUAAGGCUGGGGUAAGGUUGCGGACAAAUCACCCUCCCCAAACCUCACUUACGAGAUUACUCUGGAUAUAUGUUAUUGUUGUAGUUUUCCCUGCUACUUAAUUUUUCCUAAAAACUUGGUCAACUAUCUGAACUUCACUCUAUCUUGGUACUUACACUUAUACAUAACCAAACGCUGAUGUAUAUUAUUACUGAGCAGAAUUGCACUGAACUUAAGAAAUACUAAUAGAAUGUAGUGCAACAGUUAACUAGGAAUUAAGGGAACAGUAGAAGGAAAUCAAUAAAAUGACGUGUUGUGUUUAUUGGCUGGGCGUAAACAUUCGGAUAACACUAUUGAAAAACUAAAUCAAGUUGCAUAAGAUUUUAGAUUAAAGGGUAUAAAAGUUGGUUAACAUUUCAGGAUAUUUAUUCAUUAGCAUAUUCUAUAGCUGGAAGUUUUGAAAACCAAAAUUGUAUUUUUGACUAAAUGGGAUAAUUAUAGUCAAAACAGUAUCUUAAAAGGUUUUAGAAUUUCUAUUUAAAGUAAAUUUUGCACUAUUAUAAAUAGAGUUGCUACGGCUAUUUGGACAAGUACAGCGUACUGAUCAUAGACACGCUAAUUAAACACUAACAAAUAGUUCAAGACAACAGAUUCAUCAAGCAACACUAUGAUACUCACUAAAAUUUAUCAUUUCUAGCAGACACAAGAUGAACCAAUGGGAUUUCUUCCAUUACACCAUGGAUAUCCCCCAACUUGAUUCAAGUAGUUCCGCCUCUCUUCUCGAGUCUCCGGCUCCAUUAGCAAUAGUUCUCAUCUAAUGGAGAAAUUCUUAUAACAAACGAUGAUGAUGACAUAAUUGUUAUGUGGAACCCGAACACUGGGGAAGAAGAAAAAUCCCUUGUCCAAUUCGGAGUACCGACCGGAUGUUGUUCAUGGUCUUUAUAAUUUUUGCUAGUUUCCUUGUAUUGACAGCUACAAAAUAUUUGGAAUAGGACCUAGAGUUGUUGAUGGUGACAUGGAGAUUGAUAUAUUUUCAAUGAAAGGUAANNNNNNNNNNNNNNNNNNNNNNNNNNNNNNNNNNNNNNNNNNNNNNNNNNNNNNNNNNNNNNNNNNNNNNNNNNNNNNNNNNNNNNNNNNNNNNNNNNNNNNNNNNNNNNNNNNNNNNNNNNNNNNNNNNNNNNNNNNNNNNNNNNNNNNNNNNNNNNNNNNNNNNNNNNNNNNNNNNNNNNNNNNNNNNNNNNNNNNNNNNNNNNNNNNNNNNNNNNNNNNNNNNNNNNNNNNNNNNNNNNNNNNNNNNNNNNNNNNNNNNNNNNNNNNNNNNNNNNNNNNNNNNNNNNNNNNNNNNNNNNNNNNNNNNNNNNNNNNNNNNNNNNNNNNNNNNNNNNNNNNNNNNNNNNNNNNNNNNNNNNNNNNNNNNNNNNNNNNNNNNNNNNNNNNNNNNNNNNNNNNNNNNNNNNNNNNNNNNNNNNNNNNNNNNNNNNNNNNNNNNNNNNNNNNNNNNNNNNNNNNNNNNNNNNNNNNNNNNNNNNNNNNNNNNNNNNNNNNNNNNNNNNNNNNNNNNNNNNNNNNNNNNNNNNNNNNNNNNNNNNNNNNNNNNNNNNNNNNNNNNNNNNNNNNNNNNNNNNNNNNNNNNNNNNNNNNNNNNNNNNNNNNNNNNNNNNNNNNNNNNNNNNNNNNNNNNNNNNNNNNNNNNNNNNNNNNNNNNNNNNNNNNNNNNNNNNNNNNNNNNNNNNNNNNNNNNNNNNNNNNNNNNNNNNNNNNNNNNNNNNNNNNNNNNNNNNNNNNNNNNNNNNNNNNNNNNNNNNNNNNNNNNNNNNNNNNNNNNNNNNNNNNNNNNNNNNNNNNNNNNNNNNNNNNNNNNNNNNNNNNNNNNNNNNNNNNNNNNNNNNNNNNNNNNNNNNNNNNNNNNNNNNNNNNNNNNNNNNNNNNNNNNNNNNNNNNNNNNNNNNNNNNNNNNNNNNNNNNNNNNNNNNNNNNNNNNNNNNNNNNNNNNNNNNNNNNNNNNNNNNNNNNNNNNNNNNNNNNNNNCAAAAUAGAGUACUAGACAGAGUCAAAUAUACAUCAUAUUCUUAGAAUGUACAAAAAGACAUCCAAAAAUAGCAGAAGAAGGGGGAUCAACUGCGAACUGGAAAAGCUCACCCUAUCUGCGAAUUACCAGCAAGCCCGAGGAUAAUGUUAGAGGCGGUGAUUUGUAUUCGGAUCUGUAUCAGAAAAAAGAUUCAAAAGUGUAGCAUGAGUACCAAAACUAUGGGUACUCAGAAGACAUCAAAGGCCGACUGAGCUAAAUCACACUACAAGUAAAAUAAAUUACAAGAAUGUAAACUAAAUUCAGGAAUAAAGGAUAUAAACGGAAGAUAAUGGAUCAUACUAAAUGGAUGUGAUACACAUGAGAAAAAUAACUCAAGAAUGAAAAUAAUGUCUAACUAUAACCUAAGUAGGCCCCCAUAAGCUCAAAAGACACACAAAAAAAGAGAAUAACCCAAUCAAACACCCAUAAGUCCGGUGGGUACUAGAAAAUAGUAACACUAAUAUGAUGAUAAAAUAACCACAAUAGUAAGUGUAGUGCGAGCCAAUACAUAUUAAACAUUCCUGAUGCUCCUUCUCGGUCAUAACUCAAGUUUGUACCCUUACCGGGUUUACAAUGCGAAAUCAGUACCCAAAUUGAUCAUAAAUGAUUAACGCAAAUCGAAACUAGGGAACAAUAUCUUAAUAGUAAAAUGUUGUGUAUAGAUCAUCAAUACCAAACUUGAACUGAAGCUAGAGAACAAUACCAUACUAGCAAAAUGUCAAGAUCGAACUGCACUCUGACAAGUAACAAGAUAACUGCAAGGUGCUUGACUGAAAUUGAAACUAAUAAUUAAGAUAAAUGUAAUAAUGAUCUAAGAUUAUAAUUUCUCUUGAACUCAAGUAGUCAUAAAUUCCUAGGUAAGGUGGUCAAGUCUAUAAGCGAUACAAGAUUUUAGUCACUAAGCAAAGUGAUAUGGUUUAAAGUCAAAUACUACCCCAACUGGGGUCACAAGGCUAGUUAAGGCUCAACAAACUAACUAUAGGGUUUAAAGUCAAAUACUACACCAACCGGGGUCACAAGUCUAGUUAAGGCUUAACAAACUGAUUAAGUCAUCCUAAAAUUCACGAAUCAGUCAAGGUAUCAAAAAGAGGUAAUUUAUGCCAACAAAAGGCUAUUCUAGACAUUCUAUUAAAAACAAAGGUUAGGUGGAUGCACUGCCAAUCCCGAAAAAAAGCCUAAGGAAAACUCCUAUCCAAUUAUAGUCUAAGAAUUUUCAAUCCCAUCCCAAGGAACUAAGCGUACUAAGACUAGUAUUGUUGUAAGUAAAAUAGGUGUCUCAUGAAUUCCUCUUGUCAGGAUCGUGAUUAUUUCUGAGAAUCAGUUCAGAUUCAUGCUAGGUAGCUCAACUACUAAGGCUAUUCAUAUCGUGAGUAGAUUAGUGGAGCAGUAUAGAAAGAGGAAACAUAGUGUUUAUCAAUCUAGAGAAGGCUAACAUCAAAAUUUCCAGAGGUUCUUUAAAGGUACUUGAAGGCAAGAUGUGUUCCUAUGGCAUAUACUAGGUCUAUUAACAAUAUGUAUGAUGGAGCAAAGACUCGAGUGAGAAUGAUGGGUGGAGAUUCAGAGAACUUUCUUUUCUUGAUAGGGUUGCACCAGGGAUCAACUCUUAGUCCAUUUUUAUUCUCCUUGGUAAUAGAUGUAUUAAUUUUUAUUCAUGGGGAGCUACCUUGAUGCAAGUUAUUUACAAAUGAUUUAGUUCUAAAAGACGAAACUCGGGGAGGUGUUAAUGGUAAGUUGGAGGUUUGGAGACAAACUCUAUUGUAUAAAAUGUUUAGGUUGAGCAGGACCAAUACAGAAUACCUGAAGUGCAAGUUCAGUUAGUUGAUGCAUGAGAUGGGUGUGGUAGUGAAGUUAAAUUCCCAAUCUAUUCGAAAGAAAGAUAGUGUCAAGUAUCUUAGGUCUAUGAUCCAAGAAAAUGAAGAGAUUGAUGAGAAUGUCACAUACCGUAUUGACAUAGAGUGGAUGGAAUGAAGGCUCAUUUCUGAAAUCUUGUGUGAUAAGAAGGUGUACCCUAAAUUAAAAGACAAGUUCUACGAAAUGAUAGUCCGAACAGUUGGUUGUCUGGAGCAAAGUGUUGGCUUUGUAAGUAGUGUGAAUGAAAAAUGAAUAGGUAUUUUUUUUUAGAAAGACACCAGGAGAAAGGAUGCAAUUUGAAUAGGCACAUUUCACUUUGGAUGGUUAUAGCCUUUCUAAUGGGUUGUGACUUUUUUGAGAGUUACACCUUUUCCUACGAGUUGCACCUUUAUGAAGAGGUGCACCUUUCUGAAUCAUUGAUUCUUUUCAUGAAGCAACACCUUGAUGGCUAUAAAUACCUGAAUUUUUCUCAGGUAAAGACAAUUUUGAAUUAAAAAAUAAUAUUCUUCUUCUAAAAACUCUCAUGUGAUCAUAAAAUCAAUGAAUGUGUUCGGAGUUUCUGAUAAUUUGAGGUACCGCUAUUUCUAGAAAAAGAAUUAUUUUAUACUGGAAAGAAAGAUUCCAUAACCUCAGGUACUUGAGAGGAAUAAAUUCCUUAAGGACAUAUCGUGCAUUCGGUGGACUUCUUUGUACAGGUUCAUGAACAAACAACUUCAAAGAAAGAUGGAAGGAAAGAGCCUAAUGAAAAUGAGCUUGAAGGAGUAAUGGAGUUCUUACCAAAGGCUUUCAAGCUUGGAAAGUAUGACGACAAGUUGAUAAAAGAGUGGGAUUCGGGGACUAAUUCUUUUCAAGAAGGGAGGAUGAUACAAGUCGAACUGACUCCACUCUUUUGUUGGGAGCUUAUCGAUUAGUUGUGAAACAUAGGUUGCAAGUGAAUUAGCUUCACUCGGGAUCUUCGUAAGAAAAUUAGUGCUUGUAGUUGGAUUGCAUUUGAGGGCCUCAAUUUAGUAUAUUGUGGUUUGCUUAUGUUCCUUCUCUUGUGUCAUUCUAUCUGUACUUUACUUUUAUUAUUUUCAUUUCCUUUAUUUCCUUAUUUUGUGUUUUGUAUUUAGUGUUUUCCUUUAUUUCCGUUUUGUUUCUAUUUUCGUAUUUUGGUUCAUAUCAUUAGUGGAUUGCUGAAAAUAAAAAGGCAUUUCACAUUACUAGAAAGUGAGGAUCUGACGACAUUUAUUAAGUUUCUGUUUUCGUAUUUUGGUUCAUAUCAUUAGUGGAUUGUUGAAAAUAAAAAGGCAUUUCACAUUACUAGAAAGUGAGGAUCUGACGACAUUUAUUAAGUAACAUUUAAAACAAAUAUUAAGAAAUAAAGAGUUUUUCGACAUUUGAUACAAAAUGUCAAAAAAAAAAAACACAUUUGAUACAAAAUUUAGCAAAACAAUGACAUUUUAUACUAAAUGACAAAAAAUGAUAAUUAUACUGAAUGUGACAAAAAUAAUAGAAUUUUAUACUAAAUGUCGUAAAAACAAUGGCAUUCUAUACUAAAUGUCGUAAAACAACAUUAUUUGAUGCAUAAUAUCAAAUUUUUUUAUUUUUUGUAUUAAAUAUCAGUUUAUUACUCGAUAUAUCGAUAUUUGCAACGAUGGUUUAUCACUAUCCAAUUUCUCGAGUCAUGAUAGCAUCUACUAUAAUCCACCAGUAGGCAAACCAAACUAUAUCUCGAAACAAAAAAGAAACGGAUUAACCGGCGGAAGACAUGAAAAUAAAAAGUAAAGGCAUUCAAACAAGUUUUUAUAGGCAUUCAAACAAAACACGAAGUAACUAAAAGAAAUGGUAAAUAGAUACAAACGUCUUAUACAAUAGAGGGAGGAGGAAAAAAUAUAAAAAAUGAGAUCCCCAUGACCUGGUAAGAUCGGCAUAAUAGCCACUAAAUCAAAAUAGAGUACUAGACAGAGUCAAAUAUACAUCAUAUUCUUAGAAUGUACAAAAAGACAUCCAAAAAUAGCAGAAGAAGGGGGAUCAACUGCGAACUGGAAAAGCUCACCCUAUCUGCGAAUUACCAGCAAGCCCGAGGAUAAUGUUAGAGGCGGUGAUUUGUAUUCGGAUCUGUAUCAGAAAAAAGAUUCAAAAGUGUAGCAUGAGUACCAAAACUAUGGGUACUCAGAAGACAUCAAAGGCCGACUGAGCUAAAUCACACUACAAGUAAAAUAAAUUACAAGAAUGUAAACUAAAUUCAGGAAUAAAGGAUAUAAACGGAAGAUAAUGGAUCAUACUAAAUGGAUGUGAUACAUAUGAGACAAAUAACUCAAGGAUGAAAAUAAAGUCUAACUAUAACCUAAGUAGGUCCCCAUAAGCUCACAAGACACACAAAAAAAGAGAAUAACCCAAUCAAACACCCAUAAGUCCGGUGGGUACAAGAAAAUAGUAACACUAAUAUGAUGAUAAAAUAACAAAAAUAGUAAGUGUAGUGCGAGCCAAUACAUAGUAAGCAUUCCUGAUGCUCCUUCUCGGUCAUAACUCAUGUUUGUGCCCUUGCCGGGUUUACAAUGCCAAAUCAGUACCUAAAUAGAUCAUGAAUGAUGAACGCAAAUCAAAACUAGGGAACAAUAUCUUAAUACUAAAAUGUUGUGUAUAGAUCAUCAAUACCAAACUUGAACCAAAGCUAGAGAACAAUACCAUAAUAGCAAAAUGUCAAGAUCGAACUGCAAUUUGACAAGUUACAAGAUAACUGCAUGGUACUUGACUGAAAUUGAAACUGAUAAUUAAGCUAAAUGUAAUAAUGAUCUAAGAUUAUAAUUUCUCUUGAACCCAAGUAGUCAUAAAUUCCUAGGUAAGGCGGUCAAGUCUAUAAGCGAUACAAUUUUUUAGUCACUAAGCAAAGUGUUAUGGUUUAAAGUCAAAUACUACCCCAACUGGGGUCACAAGGCUAGUUAAGUCUCAACAAACUAACUAUAGGGUUUAAAGUCAAAUACUACACCAACCGGGGUCACAAGGCUAGUUAAGCUUAACAAACUAAUUAAGUCAUCCUAAAAUUCAUGAAUCAGUCAAGGAAUCAAAAAGAGGUAAUUUGUGUCAACAGAAGUCUGUUCUAGACAUUCUAUUUAAAGUAAGGGUUAGGUGGAUGCACCGCCAGUCCCUAAAUACAGCCUAAGUCAAACUCCUAUGCAAUUCUAGUCUAAGAAUUUUCAAUCCCAUCCCAAGGAACUAAGCGUACUAAGACUAGUAUUGUUGUAAGUAAAAUAGGUGCCUCAUGAAUUUCUCUUGUCAGGAUCGUGACUAUUUCUGAGAAUCAAUUCAGAUUCAUGCUAGGUAGCUCAACUACUAAGGCUAUUCAUUUCGUGAGUAGAUUAGUUGAGCAGUAUAGAAAGAGGAAUAAGGACAUUCACAUAGUGUUUAUCAAUCUAGAGAAGGCUUACAUCAAAAUUUCCAGAGGUUCUUUAAAGGUACUUGAAGGCAAGAUGUUUUCCUGUGGCGUAUACUAAGUCGAUUAACAAUAUGUAUGAUAGAGCAAAGAAUUGAGUGAGAAUGAUGGGUGGAGAUUCAGAGAACUUUCUUUUCUUGAUAGGGUUGAACCAGGGAUUAACUCUUAGUCCAUUUUUCUUCUCCUUGGUAAUGGAUGUAUUGAUGUUUAUUCAUGGGGAGGUACCUUGAUAUUUGUUAUUUACAGAUGACGUAUUUCUAAAAGACGAGACUCGGGGAGGUAUUAAUGGUAAGUUGGAGUUUUGGAGAAAAACCCUAUAGUCUAAAAUGUUUAGGUUGAGAAGGAAUAAUACAAAAUACUUGAAGUGCAAGUUUAGUGAGUUGACGCAUGAGAUGGGUGUGGUAGUGAAGUUAAAUUCCCAAUCCAUUCGAUAGAAAGAUAGUGUCAAGUAUCUUAGGUCUAUGAUAUAAGAAAAUUAAGAGAUUGAUGACAAUGUCACAUACCGUAUUGACAUAGGGUGGAUGGAAUGAAGGCUUAUUUCUGGAAUCUUGUUUGAUAAGAAGGUGCACCCUAAAUUAAAAGACAAGUUCUGCGAAAUGAUAGUCCAACCAGUUACGUUGUCUGGAAAGUGUGUUGGCUUUUUAAGUACUGUGAAUGAAAAAUGAAUAGGUGUUUUUUUUUUUUGGAAAGACACCAAGAGAAAGGAUGCAAUUUGAAUAGUCACCUUUCACUUUGGAUGGUUAUAGCCUUUCUAAUGGGUUAUGACUUUUUUGAAGAGUUACACCUUUUCCGAAGAGUUGCACCUUUAUGAAAAGGUGCACCUUUCUGAAUCAUUGCUUCUCUUAAUAAAGAAACACCUAGAUGGAGAUAAAUACCUGAAUUUUUUCACAGGUAAAGAAAAAAUUUUGAAUUGAAAAAUAUUCUUCUUCUUCUUCUAAAAACUCUCAUAUGAUCACCAAAUAAAUAAAUGUGUUUGGAGUUUUUGAAAAUUUGAGGCGCCGCUAUUUCUAGAAAAAAAAAUUAUUUUAUACUGGGAUGAAAGAUUCUAUAACCUCGGUACUUGAGAGGAAUAAAUUACCUAAGGACAUAUCAUGCAUUCUGUGGACUUGGCUCUACAAUUUUCUGGUUCAUCUUUUUUUCUUAAAGUUAAUUUUACUAUUUUUCCAAAAAAUAGUUUGAACUUCAUAUUGAUAGCUCUUCAAAUGUUGGAACUUGCAUUUGAAGUUCUUGAAACUUCAUUUUGAUAGUUCAUAAGUUGGUUGAACUUUUGUUGAAUUUCUUAACAUUUGAUUUUUUUUUUAAGAAAAUAGUAUGAACUUCAUUUUUGGUUGCUCAUAAGUUGUGUUGAACUUAUUGUUGAAGUUCAAAGUUGAAUAUACAGUGUUUAAACUUUAUUUGAUUGUUCAUAUAUUAUUUGAACAUGUGUUUGAAGUUAUUUUUAAAUAAAUACAGAUUUUACUGAUUAAACUUGAAAAAAAUAACAAUCUUUAGUAAUUUAUUGAAAAGAACUAUUGUUUGUUCUUGUUUGGUGAAAUUUUGUUUCACCGCGCCAAGUACUUUUGUAAUUUGUAUUGAGACUGAUUUUCUAGUGUCUAAAGUCUUAUGAUCUACUACUCUCUUCGUUGGAAGUGAAAUCAAUGUAAGAAUUCGGUUUGAAAAAUAUAAAAAAUUCAUCGAUUCAUUGAACUCUCUGUACUUUUGUGUUUCUAGAGAUUAAAACUUUUGUCUUUCUACUCUGUUUGAACUUAAUAGUGAUUUGAAGAUAUAAAAAAUUCAUCAUGAGUUAAAGUUCAUUCAGUUAAUGAUUAGAAAUGUUGGGUUCGAAAUCGAGAGGGCGUCAUGCGGAAUCAAUUAGUUACAAACUAUGAGAUGAUAAAUAAGAUGACAACAAAAAACAAUUCUAAAAACAUAAUUUUAUUUUAUGAUUUGACCAGUUGACCUACAUAUAAAACCUAAUAUUUAAAAAUAUAAAACUAAUAAGAUAUAAAAUCUCCUCCUAAGCGUGACUCUUAAAAGACUACAUCUUGGAUAUUAUUAUGUUAUAGUAUGAGAAGGGGGUCUUCUAUUUGUAGAUGCCCAAAACCACUCCUCCAAGAAAAAGGUUAGCCAAAUAUGAAAAAGAAUUAUAUUUUUUUUUCAGGAAAAGUAAAAGUAAUUAUGGUAACUUUUAUUUUCUUUCUUAGAAAAAGUAAAACAUAAAUAUAGUAAGAAAAUCAGGGCAAAAACCCUAACAAAUCUCCCCUUUUUGGUUUGAUUUUCUUCAAAAUAUUCUUGAUCCUCCUUCUUAUUGUGCAUGAUCUUCGUUCUUCUUAUAUAUUCUUCAUAUAUCACUGCUGCUUACCAUGAUUAAAAAUUAAUAUGGGUUAAAAUUGAAUACCUAUUAAAAGUAGAAGCACAGGUUGAUAAGAUUGAAAGUGAAGCCUUGUGCAUUGAAAGUGAGCACAGGUUAAGAGUGGAGCUCAUGCGUUAAAAAUAAAUACAUGAGUUGAAAGGUACCCAAUCAUUUAAUCAAGUAUUGGUUGAAAAUUGGAGUCCAUAAACAUGGGUUGAAAAUUGAUUUUGGUUUUAAAGAUGGAUAAGCAGCAAGAUUGUUGAAAUUUUUUUUGAAAUUUUUUCUCCACAUGUAGUUUGACAAAAAUCUUCAUUAUCAUCCAAAUUGUUGCAUCUUGAUUUUGAAAUCACUUUGAACCUGUUUAAUCUUAUCUCACCAUACCAUUGGACCAUUGAACCAUAAGCUCUAAUACCACUUGUUGGGUUUGAAAUCGAGAGGGCGUAAUGCGGAAGCUAUUAGUUGCAAACUAUGAGAUGAUAAAUAAGAUGACAACGAAAAACAAUAAUCUAAACAUAAUUUUAUUAUAUGAUUUGUCCAAUUGGCCUAAAUAUAAAAUCUAAUAUUUAAAAACAUAAAACUAAUAAGAGAGAAAAUCUCACCCUAAGCGCCACUCUUAAAAAACUACAUCGUGGAAGCUAUUGUGUUAUGGUAUGAGAAGGGGGUCUUUUAUUUAUAGAUGUCCAAAACCUUUCCUCCAAGAAAGAGGUUAGCCAAAUAUGAAAAAGAAUUAUAUAUUUUCUUUUAUGAAAAGUAAAAGUAAUUAUGGUAACUUUUAUUUUCCUUCUAAGAAAAAGUAAAACUUAAAAAUAGUAAGAAAAUCAGGGCAAAAACCAUAAUAAGAAGAACAUAAAAACUUCAUCGUUAAACUAGAAACAAGUUGGUGUUUAAAGAUUUUAGAACUUUAUAAUUAGUAUUCUGAUAUACUAAGUCUGUUGUCUCUUUAUUACAACAAAAUGUCUGCUGAAAGUCAUGCAAAUGAUGGAAUGGCCAUAAUUAAAAUUAAAUAGGCCAAAAUUAUAAUGCAAAUUAGCCGACUACUUGUCAAUAUGACCCAAGAAUUGGCCAAAAUAACUAAAAAUUACCCAAGCCUAGAACUUAUAUUUCAUUUAUUAUAAAAAAUUUCACCUCCCUAAACAUAUUACAUUAAUCUCACUUUUUAACUUUCUCUCUCCAAAAAUACAUAUACAUAGAAUUCUCUUUCACUCUCACCGUUUCUCCCCUUAAAAAAGGCUAGAAUCAAGGGUUGGUUUUCAUGUUUGAAAUCAAUCAUGUUUGAGUCCAACUGCUAGUCAAUGGUAUUCAAUUUCAACUUAAUCUUCUUUUAACAUUCUCAAUUUUUAAGAUCUGAGGAAUAUUAAAAUUUUUAUUUUCAUUAUCUAGUCGAAAUUUUUCAAUUUUUCGAAAGAAGAAAUUAUUGCAUGUUUUUAUUAAGUAAUUUUUUUGGGUUUCUACUUUAUCAAAUCAUAGUUGUAAUAUCAGCAUUAUCUUUUUUUUCUUUUCAAAAUUGUCUAUUUCAAGUACUAAAUUAACAACUUAGUUAAUGGAUGAUUCUCCUUCGUUUAGUUUAGGAUUAACUCAAAUACCGAAACAACAAAUCUGUUAGUUGAGUUCGUUCCCGAAGUAUUUAAUUACAAGGAACCUAACUUUGUUGAAAACAUAUCAAAAAAUCGUAACGACCCCAUCAAGAUGAAAUAGAUUAACAAAUCUAUAGCUUCAAAGUCAAAAAAAAUAAAUUAAAGAAUCGUCAAGAAAAUUCAAAAAAGAUGAUAAUGGACGGCCAUGUUUACCAAAGAUAUUUCGGGUUUUUCAAUUUUGAUUUUUUUUGUUAUGGGUUUAUUGUGUUUUUGUAAGUAAUUUGAGGUUUUAAAACUAUUAAUUAAUUAUCUGUGGUUGUUUGUUCUUAUGGAGUUGUUGGCGUUUUUCUUAAGUUUGAAGUUAUAUUAGAAACUGGUUGUGCGAAUACAAAAUAACUCUUUAUAUAUAUUCUGCAUAUACAUAUUUGUUGAUGUGUUUGGUCGAAAUAUAUUGAUAUUUGUAGUUCAUAUACAUAUGGGGUUACUGGUGUAUAUAUAAGUAAGUAUGUAUGUAUUGUAUACAUACAUUAUUCAUUGCAUGUUGAAUAUAUACAUAACUUUUGUUUUGGAUUUUAUUGUGUAAUGCGUGUUUGAGGCAAUGGAUAUUAAUAUGUAUAUGUAAAACUUAUACAUAAGUUUCAUAUGUUAUUAAACCUGUAAUGAAUUUCCUAGUUCAUAUACAUCAUAUUUUUUAUGCAUAUAUUUUUAGUUUUCUUAUGUGUCUAAGGCUAUGGACAUUAGCUAUGUAUUUGUCUAACAUAUACAUGGCUUACUAUAUGUUGUUAGAUGUGUAAUGAAAUGUCUUGUUUAUAUGCAUCAUUUUUAUUGUCCAUAUACGAGCCUAGGUGUUAGAUGUUGUUAGAUGUGUAUUGAAAUGACUAGUUGUUAUGUACAGUAUAUGUUUUGACCAUAUAGGCUCACAUAUGAUGCCUUUUUCAUUUCCAAUAGGGUAUGAAAUAUAAAAUAAAAAAUGUCCCUAUGUAUUCCUUGCAUUUUGGUAGUUAUUGCAACCGCGAAUUUGGAUUAGAUAUAAAGAAUUAUGUUGGUGAAAAAGUUCACAAUCUUAUCCGUCAAAUAAUAUUUGGUGCCUUGCUACAUAUGCCCUAAUAUAAUUUUUAGGAUCAGAUUUCCAAAUGGUUACUUAUGCUUGAGAUAGAGCAAGAUAUCCCGGAUGAAAUUCACGUUUACGUGCAGGAAAUAUUCUCAAGUUUUCUAUUACUGAGUUUGCUAUAAUAUCUGGACUUAAAUGUAUAGAGAACAUCGAGGAACACUUGUAUACUGAAUCAUCUGAGUUUGUAUUUAUGGAGAAGUUUUUCCCAAAUUCAAAAAAUUAUGUCAAAAAGUAUAUUUUUGUACGGCGAUUCAAGUUGAAAAACUUCAACAAUAAUACCAAUUCUUUGAACAUGUCUAUCCUUUACUUUAUUCAUACUUUUGUGUAUUCACAAAUACGUGAUUGUAGUAUUAGCAGGUCAGACUUUAUGAUGGUGGAGGAUGGAAAGUACGGACAAUUUCCAUGGGGGAAUACUUUGUUUCAAAAGCUGAUUACAACGUGGAGAUAGGAUUUCUUUGAUGAAAAACAGCUAUACCAGAUCGGGGGAAUACCUCAUGUGCUAAAUGUAUCGAUGUAUGAAUGUUAUUCUGAGGUAUACAGUACAAUGCUGAGCGGAUGAGGAAUGUAAUUCCAAGAAUUUUUAACUAAAAGGUUGUUGGGAUUAAGGUCAAUUAUAAGAAGUUCGUAGAUGGUAUAUUCAGCAAGGUAAGUAUUUAGUAUUUUAUUUUGAGUUAUGUUUUUAUUUCACUCUGUUGACAAUAAUUUAUCGCCAACUCGUAAGAAGUCCAAAGGUUUGAUUUACCAAUGAUUGAGGGAAUUGAAUUAAAUGAUGUUGAAUCUGCCUUCUCAUAUGAUACUUCUUACAAUCGUAGUGGUAAAAGGCCUUUUGUCGACAUACAUAAUCAUUCAGACUCUGAUCAUCAAGGUUUUAAGGAUUUCAGUACAGUCCUACCAUCGAAAAUCUAAAGAAAUACAGGUCUGAGUACUGAUGCAUCAACAUCACAACCUACGAAGAGGAGGAGGACAGUCCAUUUUGAUGCUAAAACUGUUGCUAUGCAAGAUCGUGAAAAAAUACCAUCGUCUUCUUCAAGAAAAAAGAUGCCAAUAGACCAAACACAAACUUCUGAUUCAGAGCGUGUUGAUGCACCAAAGACAACUCCAUCAUCAUCCAGCAAGUCUGCUCAUCAGGCCACUUUUGAUGAAAAGUGGAAGGAGAUAAAGUCGUUCUUACAAUCUUAUGUAAGUUUAUCCAUAUGGUAAACCAUAUGUAUAACCAAAUUAUGAAAAUAUUAAGAUGUUUGUUGUCGUUUUAUAUGUAGGUUGACCAAAAAUGCAGCUUUCUUCAAGAACAAAUGGUUAAACAAUAAGAAGACUCAAACGACAAAAAUGGAUAAACAACACACUGAACUCAUGAACAUGUUGAAACACAACAAACACACCGAUGAAAAGGUAAACUAAAUUGGUUUUACCUUAUAUAAGUAACAAAUUUGUAUUUCUAUUUGGAUUAUAUUUGUUUCUUUAUCAUUUUUCUGGUUUAUAUUAUAUUUUGGAAAAAUUAUUAUAUAAGGUUGAUAUACAUCAUAAAUUGUUGUAUGCAUUUUUUAUUUUAAUUUCAUUAACAAUUGCUCACAUAUAUAGACUACUUAAAUGUACAAGAACUAUUUUAUGUGUAAUCAAACUUCAUAUAUAUAUUCUUAAUUAUACAUAAUCUGUGUUAUGUACAUUAAUCAAUAUCUAUAGCACAGUUAUGUAUAUUGUUUAAUAUACAUAACUGUGUAAUGCAUAUUUGAUAAUAUACAUAACUAUGUUGUGUAUAGUAGGCAACAUACAUAACUGUGUUAUGUAUAUUAUCUUAUUAUUUAUGCAUAUUAACUAAUUUAUUUUGGAUGGAACUAAUAUUUUAUUUAUUUAAUUAGGAUGGUAAAGAAUCAAAUAUUUGGGCAGAAAAGGAAACAUUUAGGGUAAGUUUACGGUUGAAGCAUUAAAGGUUAUUUAUGUCAAUUUCUUUAUUGAAAUUGAUUUUUUCAAAUUUAUUCUUACAUAUAUUUCACAACAAAAUCAACAGGAUCAUGAUGUGGAAUGUUCAAAAAGGGGAGAUGUACCAUCAAAAGAGUAGUUUGAUGAGAUAGAUUUCUUUCCAAUAGUGGAAGACAAAGGAAAAGUGUAACGCCCCGCAAUUUGGGCUACAAUAUUGACCAUGAUUUCGAUGCGUUGUUAAUUCUGAAUCCAUAAAAUACUAUGCCAAUAUGGCAUGUUAAUUAUCGUGUAGCAUGUGAAUCUACUCAAUCUUGAAUUUGGACCAUAGAGGUCCUUCAACUCAAGGACGAGUUGAAACUAUUUCGAUCGACUAAGUAUUAGUGGACUUUGUAAAGUGUGUCAGCUUCCAUCGACCAUAACUCUCUGUAUAUGUCGAAUUAGGAAGCCUACUAUGUGUCAAAUGAUAGGUAUUCUAGUUAUAUUUCCAACGAUACCAAUUUGGCUAAAAUCCGACACCCGAGCAAGAAGUUAUGGCCUUUCAAAGUGAUAAGCGUCGCCUAACCAAUUGCCCAUGGCCACUGGAAAGCAUAGGUAAUAGCCUAGGUGGCGCCUAUGUAAACAUAGGUGAUAGCCUAGGCGGCGCCUAUGUGAACAUAGGCAAUGGGAUGGGCGGCACCUAUGUAAAGAAUUCUAGUGAGUUAAACGCUCCGUGUUGGGGACAAAGUGGUCCUUUUUCACCCUUACUUAGCCCUAAAACACGAAAUUUAAUUCCAAGGACCCCAAAAUACAUAUUCAUUCAUCAAAAGUGCUCAAAUAUUCUCCUUAGGGUUUCAAAAUAAAAACCCAAAUAGCUCAAGAUUUGACCGCAGGUUUUCAAAGAUAAUUACAUAUUUGGAAUCACCAAUCCGCAAGCUUCAAGAAACAUCUAUUAUCCUUGGAAAUAAAGGUAUGUAGGGUUAUCGAAAAAUCUCAUGGGUUUAGUUUUUAUGAACAUGCAUGCUUUUAAAUGGGGUCUUUCAAUCAAAUGUUGAUAUCUUGCUUUCAAUAUGAUUUCUAAGUCAUUUACUUUAUGUCAUGGGAAUUGUUUGCCUAUAUACUUCAAUGGUUGAAAUCAUGCAAAUGUGAUUUGAGAUUUUUCAUGGAAGUUUGAUAAAUAUGAAUGAUAAAUUGCUUUCAAAUUCCCAUGAUAAUGUCUUAAUACCCUAUAUUAUAUUGUGAUCAACAAAAGAGAGCAUGAAUUUGAAAUAAAUAUUGUUCACCACUUGUAAAUGAUGAAGCACCUUGGUUGUUACAUGGUUAUGCAUAUGUGGAAGUGAUAUUGAGGACUUGCAAGUCGGGUAUGACGAUACCCUACAGAACAGGAUAUGUGAUUGAAUCAGAUGAAAUUUGAAUGCAUUGAUUUUACAUGAGAAAGGUGGAUGCCCAAAGAAGGCAUUUAAGAUAUAAGGGCUCAUCGCUGGAAAACGUGUUUAUCGACAUGGAAUAUUGGUACCAGGCUAAGUGAUCUUGUGUACUUGACUUCAUGUCAUUCCUAAAUUGGGACUAUAGAUAGGAGCCUGGGUUAAGUGAUCUUGGGCACUACCAUUGGGUCGAGACAUAGAUAGGAGCCUGGGUUAAGUGAUCUUGGGCACUACCAUUGGGUCGAGACACCAUGCUAUGUGAUCUUGUGUGUCUCUCCCUCACUUGUACUCCAAUCUCGGCGGCAACUGAGGUUAGAUAGUUGGUGUAAAUUAUGUAGGGUUUUCCACCUAGCUCCGUUGCAUUUCAUUGUUAUUGAGAAAACCAUUGCAUUACACCCAUGUGUUUUCAAAUGAUUUGUUAUGAAAUUUGCUUUAUAAUGGCUCUCAACAAUGUAUUGUAAAAUUAUUAUAUUUUGUUUUGAUAUCUCUGUGUGCAGGUACUUUUGUGUUGACCCCGCUCCCCUCUCCAACCUCUCAGGUUCAGAGGCCCAGUCUAGGGGUCAAGAGAAUCAGUAGAUCAUUCAGACAGAAUUAUAGAGACAAGUGGUAAGCAUUCUAUGUUCAAAAGGUCUUAUGUCCUGCAGUCCUUUUUUCUUAUAUUCAGUUUUGGGGUCUACUGGGGUCCUUUUCCCAGUUUAUAUACGGUUACUUGACUCAGUCAUUUGUUAGAGAUUUUCGCAGAUAGUUAUUUAGAGGUUAAUUGAUGUUGAGGGAACCUUAUCUCCCUGUUAUUGUUUCUUUCAUAUUUAUGACCAUAUUUCCAAAUUAUUGUGUCUUUCCGUAUUACUUUGAUCAUAUGAAUUAGGUACAUGAUUACCAGAAAGAUAGGGGUGUUUCGAGCCUCCAUGGUUCGAAAUGCUCGUCACGGCCCGGCCCUAUUUAGGGUUAUGACAAACUUGGUAUCAAAGCACGGUUCAUGGUCCCAGAGUGUCUAUGAAAUUGCGUCAGGUAGAGUUUUGUUUAUGAGUGUGUAGCGCGUCACACUUAUAAGCAGGAGGCUGCUAGGCAUUUAGGAAAUAUUUCCCUUCUUUGUGAUUUAGUUCGUGCUUCAGAGUCUGAAAUGUCCCCUAAUAUAUAAUCAUUUGUGUUUCAGAAACACAGUUAUGCCUCCACGUCGUAUCAUCGAUCAGAAUGCUCAGGCAGAUGAGGUCUGUCUCACCCAUGGGAUGCGAACCCGUAACUGAGCUCACACUCUAGAAUUUGUCCCUACUCCGAGAGUCCCUCUAGUCCCGACCAGUCCACCUCGGGCUUCGCGGACUAAUGCCAACCGUCUCCUAACUGCUGAGGGAGAUAUUUCAAAUGCAAAAUUCUCAUGGUCCAUUCAUAUGCUGACACAGUUGGUAGCUAACCAGGCUCAAUGAUCGGAAAACAAUCGAAAGAUGUUGGGUCUACACCUUUUACAUCUGAGGCUACUAAAGUCGGACAUUUCAUGAAGAUGAACCCACCUAAAUUCAUUGGCACCAAGGUGGACAAAGUUCCACAGGUGUUCGUGGAUGAGAUGGAAAAGAUCUUUAAGGUGAUGCAUAUGGAUGAGGUUGAAGGGCUGGAUCUAGCAACCUAUCAGCUCAAUGACGUUGCGAAUCAGUGCUAUGUCGACUAGGAAGAUACAAAAGGUGAAAGUGCUGAGCCUACAGUUUGGGGCAAAUUUGUGGAAGCUUUCCUUGAUUGAUUCUUUCCUCUGGAGUUGAGGGAGGCCAAAGAGAAAGAGUUUAUGAAUCUGAAGAAGGGUAGUAUGAGUGUCCAGGAGUACACUUUGAAGUUUAAUAAACUAUCCCGCUAUGCACCAGAGUUGACUAAUAAUAUGAGAGCCCGGAUGAGGAAAUUUGCAUCUAGCCUUGUUGAUAACCUGGUACUUGAGUUCCAGGGGGAUAUGUUGAAUAAGGUGUUAGAAUUUGCUCGAUUGAUCAUUCAUAUGUAUCAUUGAAAGAGAAGAAGAAAAAGAUUGCUGAAUCUAGAGAGAAAGACAGACAGGUUAAGAGAGCUAAAUUUGCGGACUACCACCAGAGUCAGCUGAAGAGUGGUAAUUAUGAUAAUAAGUGGUCAAAUAAGAAGAAGUUUUGGAAUAAUGCACAGUCAGCAGCCAGUGCUCCAGCACCCAGACCACCGACAGAUAGACAAACUCAGAGUUUUUAGACUCCUCAUGGUUCAAAAGCUCUAGGCACACAGUCUCAGGGCAGUGUGGCCCAGCAGUGUUGUACUUAUCCAUGGUAUGAGGUUUACUGAAGGAAUCAUCCAGGGAAGUGCUGGUUUGAGGGGAGAAACUGCUAUACUUGUGGCAAAGUGGGUCACCUUCAGAGAGAUUAUCCUUCUGCUAGAGUAAAUAUGGGGGGUAAGGCUAAGUCCCAAGCUGGGGGGGGGUAACUAAGUCCCAAGCCACCUCCACAGCUCCUUUUCCUAAGGGUGACCCUUCAGCUGUCAGAAGCGAUCACAACCGGUUAUAUUCUUUAACUAACCACCAGCAGGCGGAAGAUUCACCAGAUGUUGUCACCGGUAUGUUGUGAAUCUUUUCUCGUGAUGUUUAUGUAUUGCUUGAUCCCGGGUCUACUUUAUCUUUUGUGACCCCUUAUGUGGCUGUUGGUUUUGGGUUUGAGCCCGAAGUUAUUGUAGAACCAUUCUCUGUUUCUACUCCUAUAGGUGAUUCUGUUGUUGCUAGAAGGGUAUAUAGAAAUUAUGUCGUGUCUAUUCAUAGUAGGGAAACUAUGGUAGACCUUAUCGAACUGGAUAUGAUAGAUUUUGAUACCAUCCUUGGGAUGGACUGGCUCCAUUUGUGUUAUGCCACCCUUGAUUGUAGAACCCGAAAGGUCACUUUUUAUUUCUCGAAUGAGACACCAAUUGUAUGGGCAGGGAGUUCUGUGGAACCUAGAGGUCACUUUAUCUCUUAUCUUAGAGCCUGAAAGCUUAUCUCCAAAGGUUGUAUGUAUCAUCUAAUCUAAGUAAAAGAUUCAAAAGUUUGAAACCUUCCUCUGUAGUCAGUCCCUAUAGUGAAUGAAUUCCCAUAAGUCUUUCCCGAAGAUCUCCCAGGGAUACCCCCUGAUAGGGAGAUAGAUUUUGGCAUUGAUGUAUUGCCAGACACUCGUCCCAUUUCUAUUCUGCCAUAUAGAAUGGCUCCCGUGGAACUAAAAGAGUUAAAGGAAUAGCUUGCAGGCCUUCUAAACAAAGGUUUUAUUCGUCCUAGUGUUUCCCCAUGGGGUGCACCCGUGCUCUUCGUGCGAAAUAAGAAUGGGUCCCUUCGGAUGUGCAUAGACUACUAUCAGUUGAAUAAGGUCAUGAUUAAAAAUAAAUAUCCUCUUCCUAGGAUUGACGACCUUUUUGACCAGUUUCAAGGUGCCAUGUGUUUUUCAAAAAUAGACCUUCAUUCGGGUUAUCAUCAGUUGAAAGUUAGGGAGUCAGACAUACCCAAGACAGCCUUCCAAACUCGAUAUGGUUACUAUGAAUUUCUAGUCAUGUCCUUCGGGUUGACUAACGCCCUUGCAGCCUUUAUGGAUCUUAUGAAUAGAGUGUUCUGUCAGUUUUUUGACCUGUUUGUCAUUAUAUUUAUUGAUGAUAUUCUGAUCUAUUCUAAGAGCAAAGAGGAUCAGGCCAAUUACCUUCGAAUUAUCCUUCAGACCCUUAAGGAUCAUCAGUUUUCUGCCAAAUUUUCUAAGUAUGAAUUCUAGUUAGAUGUUAUUGCCUUCCUGGAGCAUAUUGUGUCCAGUGAGGGGAUAAGAGUGGAUCCCUAGAAAUUUGAAGCAGUGAGAAAGUGGCCCAGACCCACGACUCCAACCGAUAUUUGGAGCUUCUUGGGUUUGGCGGGGUAUUACAGAAGAUUCAUAGAGAGUUUUUCUUCCAUAACUGCUUCGCUUACUAAACUGACUCAGAAAAAGAUGAAGUUUGUGUGGUCUGACUUGUGUGAAAAUAGUUUUGAGAAAUUGAAGGACAAGCUGACUACUGCUCCUGUUUUGACCCUUACCGAAGGUGUAGAUAAUUUUGUGGUUUAUUAUGAUGCGUCCCGUGUGGGACUUGGUUGUGUAUUGAUGAGCGUGGAAAGGUGAUAGCUUAUGCAUCUAGGCUGUUAAAGGUGCAUGAGCGCAACUACCCCACUCGUGACUUAGAGUUAGCAGUUGUGGUGUUUGCACUUAGAAUCUGGAGGCACUAUCUCUAUAGAGUGUAUGUUGAUAUUUAUAAUGACCAUAAGAGUUUACAAUAUGUUUUCUCACAGAAAGAAUAGAACUUCAGGCAGAGGCGUUGGAUAGAGCUUUUGAAAGACUAUGAUAUGAGUCUGCAUUACCAUCCGGGCAAGGCAAAUGUUGUAGCCGAUGCCCUUAGUAGGUUGUCUAUGGGCAGCCUUUCUCAUGUAGUAGAAGGAAAGAAAGAGAUAGUGAAGGAUAUUCACCGCCUUGCAAAUCUGGGAGUGUGACUCUUGGAUUCCAAAAAUAGAGGGGUGAUUGUUCAUGAGCUAGCUAAGUCAUCUCUUUGUACUGAAGUUAAGGAGAAGCAGGUUGAAGAUCCCAUCUUGAUGCAAAUCAAGAAAGAUCCUGCCUUUAUGGAAGUGGGAGAUGAUGAACAUGGACUUCAUUACAGGACUUCCGAGAUCCCAAAACCAGUACGAUUCUAUAUGGGUGAUUGUAGAUCAGUUGACCAAGUCAGCCCACUUUUUGCCUUUGAGGACUAAUUAUUUGGGAGAGGUUUAUAAUAAGAUUUAUAUUGAGGAGAUAGUUCAAUUGCAUAGGGCACCAGUGUCCAUUAUAUCCGAUAGAGGUACGCAGUUUUUAUCUCAGUUUUGGAGAUCCUUUCAGAAGGGUUUAGGUACACAAGUGAAUUUGAGCGCUGCUUUCCACCCUCAGACGGAUGGGCAAGAUGAGCGUACCAUUCAGACCCUCAAAGAUAUGUUAAGGGCAUGUGUCAUUGAUUUCAAAGGUAGUUGGGUAGAUCACCUGCCACUGGUUGAAUUUGCUUACAAUAAUAGUUACCAUGCCAGCAUCAAGAUGGCUCCUUUUGAGGCUUUGUAUGGGAGGAGAUGUAGGUCUCCGAUAAGAUGGUAUGAAGUGGGUGAGACUCAAUUGUAUGGGCCUAAUCUUGUUCAUCCAGUGAUGGAGAAAGUGAAGAUCAUUAGAGAAUGACUCAAUACUGCUCAGAGUCGUCAGAAGUUCUAUACCGAUGUUCGGAGAAGAGAACUAGAGUUAAAAAUUGGUGAUUGGGUAUUUCUCAAGGUUUCUCCUAUGAAAGAAGUUAUGCGGUUUGGAAAAAGGGGUAAAUUGAGCCCUCGUUAUGUAGGGCCAUAUCAAAUUUUGAAAAAGAUUGGCAUAGUUGCAUAUGAGUUAGAAUUGCCUGCAAGUUUGGGUUCCGUUUAUCUGGUAUUCCAUGUAUCCAUGUUAAAAAAAUGAAUUGGAGAUCAUUCUAUGGUAUUGCCAGUAGAGGGUAUCAAAGUGACAGACUCCUUGUCUUACGAAGAAGAGUUCAAAAGUUGAGGGGCAAAGAGAUAGCCUCAGUAAAGGUACUGUGGAGGAAUCAGAAAGUUGAAGAAGCAACUUAGGAGUAAGAAGAUGACAUGAGAAUUAGAUAUCCCAAUUUAUUUACUUCGACGGAGGAGGAGAGAGAAGGUACUAUUCCUAUCUUGUCUUUCAUAGUCCUUUAUUUUGCUUGAAAUUGUGUCUGUCUGUGUCCCGCAUCAUCAUUCAGGGACGAAUGAUCCUAAAGGGGGAUAAUGUAACGUCCUGCAAUUUGAGCUACAAUAUAGACCAUGAUUUCAAGGCGUUGUUAAUCCCGAAGCCAUAAAAUCCAAUGCUAAUAUGGCAUGUUAAUUAUCGUGUAGCAUGUGAAUCCACUCAAGCUUGAAUUUAGACCAUAGAGGUCCUUCAACUCAAGGACAAGUUGAAACUAUUUCGAUCGACUAAGUUUUAGUGGAUGUUGUAAAGUGUGUUACCUUACAUUGACCAUAACUCUCUGUAUAUAUCGAAUUAGGAAGCCUACUAUGUGCCAAAUGACAGGUAUUCGAGUUAUCUUUCCAAUAAUACCAAUUUGGCUAAAAUUCGACACCCGAGCAAGAAGUUAUGGCCUUUCAAAGUGAUAUGCAUCGCCUAACCAAUUGCCCAUAGCCACUGGAAAGAAUAGACAAUAGCCUAGGCGGCGCCUAUGUAAACAUAGGCGAUAGCCUAGGCGGCGCCUAUGUGAACAUAGGCAAUGGGAUGGGCGGCGCCUAUGUAAAGAAUUCUAGUGACAAACACUCCGUGUUGAGGACUAAGUGGUCCUUUUCCACCCUUACUUAGCCCUAAAACACGAAAUUUAGUUCCAAGGACCCCAAAAUACAUAUUCAUUCAUCAAAAGUGCUCAAAUAUUCUCCUUACGGUUUCAAAAUAAAAACCCAAAUAGCUCAAGAUUUGACCGCAGGUUUUCAAAGAUAAUUACAUAUUUGGAAUCACCAAUCUGCAAGCUUCAAGAAACAUCUAUUAUCCUUGGAAAUAGAGGUACGUGGGGUUAUCCUAAAAUCUCAUGGGUGUAGUUUUUAUGAACAUGCAUGCUUUUAAAUGGGGGUUUUCAAUCACAUGCUAAUAACUUGCUUUCAAUAUGAUUUCUAAGUCAUUUACUUUAUGUCAUGGGAAUUGUUUGCCUAUAUACUUCAAUGGUUGAAACCAUGCAUAUGUGAUUUGAGAUUUUCCAUGGAAGUUUGAUAAAUAUGAAUGAUAAAUUGCUUUCAAAUUCCUAUGAUCACAUCUUGAUACCCCAUAUUAUAUUGUGAUCAAUAAAAGAGAGCAUGAAUUUGAAAUAAAUAGUGUUCACCACUUGUAAAUGAUGAUGCACCUUGGUUUUUACAUGGUUAUGCAUAUGUGGAAGUGAUAUUGAGGACUUACAAGUCGAGUAUGACGAUACCCUACAGAACAUUAUAUGUGAUUGAAUCAGAUGAAAUUUGAAUGCAUUGAUUUUACAUGAGAAAGGUGGAUGCCCGAAGAAGGCGUUUGAGAUAUAAGGGCUCAUCGCUGGAAAAUGUGUUUACCUAUACAAAAUAUUGGUACCAGUCUAAGUGAUCUUGUAUACUUGACUUCAUUUCAUUCUUAAAUUGGGACUAUAGGUAGGUGUCUGGGUUAAGUGAUCUUGUACACUACCAUUGGAUCGAGACACCAUGCUAUGUGAUCUUGUGUGUCUCUCCCUCACUUAUACUCUAAUCUCGGUGGCAACCGAGGUUAGACAGAUGGUGUAAAUUAUGUAGGGUAUUCCACCUAGCUCAGUUCCAUUUCAUUGUUGUUGAGAAAACCAUUGCAUUACACCCAUGUGUUUUCAAAUGAUUUGAUAUGAAAUUUGCUUUAUAAUGGAUCUCAACAAUAUAUUGUAAAAAUAUUAUGUUUUGUUUUGAUAUCUCUGCGUGCCAUACUUUUUUGAUGACCUCCUCUCCUCUCCAACCUCUCAGGUUCAGCCCAGUCUAGGGGUCAAGAGAAUUAGUAGAUCAUUCAGACAGAAUUAUAGAAAUAAGCGGUGAGCCUUCUAUGUUUAAGGUCUUAUGUCCUGUAGACCUUUUUUCUUAUAUUCAGUUUUGGUGUCUACUGGGAGCCUUGUCCCAGUUUAUAUAUGGUUACUUGACUUAGUCAUUUGUUAGAGCUUUUUGCAGACAGUUGUUUAGAGGUUAAUUAAUGUUGAGGGAACCUUAUUUCUCCGGUAUUGUUUCUUUCAUAUUUAUGACCAUGUUUUCGAAUUAUUGUGUUUUUCCGCAUUAUUUUGAUCAUAUGAAUUAGGUGCAUGAUUACCAGAUAGGUAGGGGUGUUUCGGGCCUCCAUGGUUCGAAAUGCUCAUCACGGCCAGGCCCUGGUUCAGGACGUGACAAAAAGAGUUACUUUUAUAAAAAUUCCUUCAUUAUUAUCAUACAUUGAUAACAUCAAAAUUUUUCUUAUACAUAUGUAAUACUAAUGUCAUCAGGAUGAUGAAGUGGAAGAUUUUAUAACGGGAGUUGCUCCAUCACUAGACAAUGUCGAGUAGAUGCAUAUCGUCACAAGAUUGAAAGAGAAAGAAAAAAAGAUAAUUUUUCCAAAAUAAUAGUUUCACAUAGGUAGUUUAAUUUAUGAUAUUAUCUUUAUUUUUUUAUUUUUAAAAACUUAUGAUAUAUUGUUAGCUUAGUUUGUUGUGUAUUCUAACUGAUGUGUCUGGUAGUUAUAUUGUUAUUACGUUGAAUAUGUGAUAUGUGAUAUGUAUCCGUUUAUAAUAUACAUAUAUAAUACAUCACAAUGAGAACGUUAUCAUAAACAAUGCAAUGCACAUUUUAAACUUUUAGAUUGUCGGCGAUAUUGAUAAAUCAUUAGACAAAGUAUUUAGUGAUGAUAUAAGGGAGGAUGCUAUUGUUGAUGGGAACCACAAUCAUGUACAAAAACAAUCUGAGGUUAGAUAUCUCAUAUUUUAAAACUUAUAAUUAAAAUAAUAAAUUAAUUUUGUUUUGUAUAUGUUUUAUAUUAUCUAUAACGGAAUUUUGAAGAUUUUAGUGCGGAUGUUGGAACUUCCGUAUUAAAUGCUCUUGUCGAAGAAAUGGUAAAUCAGGAAUCGGAGAAUAUUGGAACUGCCAAAUUAAAUGCUCUUGUCGAAGCUGUGGUACAUUAAAAAUUGGAUUACUCCAAAGUUGAAACAUCUAUGACAGAGAAUAUCCAUAAAGAUCAUACGGUAAAUACAUAAAGUGCAUUUUUUCUAAUUUUAGUGUCAAAUUUUAUAUACAUCACACUAUUUUUACUAACGCUUUUAAACAAAACUAACAUUAUACACAUAAAAUUUCACUUGUAAGAUGUUUACUUGAGUACCAUUCCAGAAUCUGCUCAGGCCGAGAUAGAUGCCAUAAUGGAAUGUUUGGCAGCACCGGUGGAUGACAUUUCUCUUGAAGUUGUUAAAUCGAUAGAAGAAACUGUUAGCCUACAUUCCAUAUAUGAUAGUUAGAUUCCUCCAGAUUUUUCUGAUGCAGUUGUUGCAGCUCAUCAACCUGCAAAAAUCCCUGCUAAGAGGACCAAGACUAAAUCUAAAUUUUUCAAGUCACCAUACCUGACAGAGUAUGUUUUUUGUUCAAUGUCCCUUGAGGAUGAAACAUAGAUUUGAAACACAAAUUCGCAUUUGAAGGUUUUGUAUUAUCUGACGAUAUGCCGAGGGGUAUCAUUGAAGAGUACAAGAAAUGGGUUGACGAAGGUCUAUUGAAAUUUCAUGCAAAAAAGUAAGUUUUAACAUUAUUAAACUGAAUAUUUUUUUAUCAAUAUGCAUAUACAAUUUAUAUUUUUUUUUCUUACUAAAAAAAUUUAACAUUUUAUAGAAAAAUGAAUGAUGACCACUACAGAGCAAAAGCAUCUUCUCUUGGAGUUCAUGAAAUCAACUUUGUUGUUGCUCAUGCUCGGUCUAAAAAUUGGUUUUUCUUGAUGUUACAAACAACUUCAUGCUAGAACGAUGAGGUAUUUUUAAUUUGAAUUUUCUUUUUAAAAAAACUUUCAUAUUUACAUACAUGUACGAAAACUUAUUCAACUUACAUGUACAAAAACGUGUUAUGUUUUUUGUCACGGUAUGUUGUACAAUGUUUAUGUAUGUGCAUCAAUUUUAUGUAAAUGUGUUCCUGUUAUGUAUGUUAUUAACCAGUAUAUGUAUAUUUAUGCCUUACUGGAUAGUUUAUGCAUGGCCCGUUUUGGUAAUUAUCUAUAUAUAAGCCUGAGUGUAAAGUAGAAUGUUUGUAUGUAUUUGCUAUAUGCCUGUCUUAUUUUAUGUAUGCAGAUGCUUCUUGAUAUGUAUGUGCAAAGGCUAAUGAAUAUCUUCUUUUGUAUAUAUCAGUCUAAUACAUAUACGCACUAACAGUUUAUAAAUACCUCUGCUUGCAUGUUAGGUAUAUUAAUUCCAUAAUUAUGUAUACUCUUUGUGGCUCAUAAUACUUGGUGUAAACAUACAAAUAUGUUCAGAGUAUAAACCAACAUAAUGUAUCUUCUUUGUAUUUCAUUUUUGUAGCAUAAUGAUGUGAUAUUCUAUCACCUGUGCAAUAAAUCGAAAUUAAGGAUUGAUCAAGAAUAGAGAUUCACACUAUAAGAAAAACAGCCUUUAGGGAAGGAAAAUCUGGUCCCUAAAAGUCCAAUUUUGGUCGCAAAUACCCCUUUAGGAUGGAAAAAUGCUCGCCGCGGCUCGUCCUAAUAGUCUUCGUAGCUAAAGGUCAAUUGUGACGAGGUGUUCUAUCUGGUCGUUAAAUGUUAUUAGCAACGGUAACAUUUUCGGUCCCAAAAAUACUUUUAGAGACCGUAUAUAUCAUCCCAAAUAUAUGAUUUUCAUUUUAAAAAAGUAGUUAUUUUGUGGUCGCUAAAACCUUUUUGCGACGAGUAACUACCUUGUCCUAAAUUACUCUAUUUAAACAAGAAAUUAACUCGUCCUUGAUUAAUCUUUAGAGACGAGAACGAGAAACCAACCAGUCCUUAUUAACCUUUACAGACAAGCAACUAACUCGUCCUAAAUUAAUGUUUAGCCCAAACAAUAUUAUAUUUAUAUCUAUAAUUUACCACCAAUGGUAAGUACUAAAACUUAAUAUCAUAAAUGAAUAUAUUUCACUGUUAAAUAUAAAAUUAUUACUGAAAAUGACAAAGUAUAAUAAAUAUAAUUUUAAUAUUUUCUAAACAAUAAAAAACUUAACCAAUCAAUAUCCCGAUCUAGAAUAUUGUCAAUAGUUUCAAUAUUUUUUAAACAAAAAAACUUAACAAAUUAACAUCCCAAUCUAGAAUAUGAUGUCAAGCUUUACAUAAUGUUCUUAGAUAAAUAAUAAUAAUAUUGUGCAUCAUCUAAACUUACAUCUUCUCUUGUAACUUCAAUCUUCAAAAAUCUGUCAAAACAAAGAUUCGAAAAGUCAAUCCUUUAGUUAAACAACCAUGACAAAGGCUCUUGCAAAAUAGCAUAACAUGAUAGAGUUGCAUGACAUGAUAUUCAAGUUGAUACAAGUGGAAUAAAGUGGGUAACUAUUGAGCUUUAAUUUUUGUGAAGGUCUCGCUCAUUUAGGAAGGUGAAAGCAGUUUGCUAUUUUCUUACACCACAUAUAUUCUUAAAUAAACCAAACUAAAGGUAAAAAGACCUUUAAGUGGAGCUGUUUUAUUACACCACAUAUAUUUUUCUUGUAAUAAUGUAACUAAAUCUUUCCAGAGACAUGUUUUAUUAGAGAGAAAUUGAAGAAACAAAACAGUUUCAAUAAAACACACAAGCAGCAGCAGGUAUAUGGAUCUACUAUACAUUAUCUCUCGAAUAAACACACAAGAAGCAGCAGUAUGCUAUUGUUACUCGCAGCAGGUAGACACACAAGAAGUAGCAGUCCUCUGUUUGUCGAAUAGACACACAAGAAGCAUCAGGGCGUUACUGAAAAAUGUCUACACAAAUCUCUACUGAAAAGAAGCAGCAGGGCACUACUUAUAAGUUCACUGUGGCAGAAGCAGCUUGAAAUAUCUACUCAAUUCAUCACUUGGAAAUCUCUACUGAAAAUCCAUCUUAGUGUAUUGUUACUCGCAGCAUCACUUAUACAUCCACAUUUUCAGUCAUACAUCUUCUUUGUUUACAAAAAUACACUAUGUCAAGCAUCUCAUUUACUUAUAAUCGAAGCAUCACCAAGAAAUACUCAAGCCCCCCACACCCCAAUCCCCAUACUCAAGUCAAAUUCUAACAAUGCUAUACAUGAAAAUAAAGGUAAAUGCAGCCUAACAUAAUUCUCCAACAAAGUUCAAGGUAUAAUCUUGAUAAAAUGUAAUUAAAUAAUAACCAAGUAAAAUAAAUACUUACUUGGACAACAAAAUAAGCUAGUGUCAUUCAAUUGAAAUGGGUGGGGUCGUAUGAGGGAUAUGAGAUUGUUGAGAAGAAAAAAAUUCUUGCGUUUUUCUUAUUUUUUCCAUCUCAUCUUCUAAGGUUGACAAACGAUUAUUCAAUGAUUUGUUUUCCUCAAUCAAGGAUUUAUUGUCCUCUCAAAUUGAAUGUAGAGCAGACAGUAAUUUAGUCUUUGAAGAAGUGACCCCUUUCAUAUCUUUCGCCUUUACUCCACCGCCAAAGCAAACUACAUGACUACGAUUUUGAGGUCCCCAACAUUUUUCUACAACCUCUAUGGUAGGUAAAGAUGGCUCUGCUUUCACAAUUUCUUCAAUCUGAGCCUACACGAUAAAUAAAAGGACAUUUUCAAUCAGAACCCAUAAUAAUUUUUAGUAAUUUACAAAUUUAAUUUACCAAACGCACAUGUUUUUCAAUUGCUUCAGGUUCAACAAGCUUUUUCCUUUCUUACGAGUCUUAUAGAAAAUAGUCCCCGAAUCCAGAGGAUUGACAUCUUUUCCACCUUUUACAUCAAAGAGACUAUGUCAAAUAAUACCUCAUAAGUAUUUUAUUAUGAAAAUAAUUUUUGAUACUACCUACUGAUACAUUAUCUCUCGAAUAGGCUUGCUACCAAUAUGAUGGAGCAUUGUCAAAUUAGCUCGGUUUGUUGUAUUCCUUUUGCUUCUCGCCUGUAUUAUUCAAGUUUUUGAGGCUAUUUUCUUACCCUUUUUAUUCUUUGUCUCCCUGCUAUGUGCAUCUACUUUCCAUCUAGGCGUACCACAAAAUUUGCAAGAAUCAAGUAAGCUAUCCUCCUUCAAAUAUAACAUGCAAACGUUAGUACAAGCAUCAAUCUUGUUUUAAGAAAGCCCAAGCUUUCAAAUUAUCUUCUUUUCCACGUAAUAUGAAUUUGGUAAAUUAGCUCCAUCAGGUAAUAACUCAUCUUUUUUAACAUUAAGCAUCAAUCUUGUUGUAAGAAAUCCCAAGCUUUCAAAUUAUCUUCUUUUCCACGUAAUAUGAAUUUGGUAAAUUAGCUCCAUCAGGUAAUAACUCAUCUUUUUUAACAUUUUCAAUAGCAUGGUAACUGACUCAUUGCUCCAAUGACCCAUAUUUUUGAUGUGAAACAAUUUAAUCAAAGAUGAAAACUUUGAAACCUUUGAAUUUUGAUAUAAUGGAUGCUCAAAAUCCUCCGAAAAGCCUAUAAAACUUUUCAGCAUCAACGUUUGGAUCCUCCCCAAGUUUAUCAUGAAAACCAGUUUAUGUACCUCCUCCACCUUCAGAAUUAGGAUAUAAAUCUCUCAAUAGUUCUUGUACUUCAUCUUCAUCUUCACUCUCAAAAUUAUCUAUUGCAUCCUCAUCUUCGGAGUCUGAUAGUGGCUCACCUAACUGUUCCCCAUGGUGAAACCAAAAGGUAUAAUUUUCAAUUAUUCCAUGGACUUUCAAGUGCAUCUCAAUCAUUUUAUGAGCUUCUAAUGUUGUAUUACAACACUUGUAACAUGGACACCGUAUUUCACACUCUUCUUUUUUUUCCUGGAAAACAUAAUUCACAAACUUUUUCGCCCCGUCUAAGUAGAUUUUGUCGGUUUGAUUAUAAAGAAAAAGUUGCAUCCAUUGCUUACUAGGUGUCAUAACCUUGGAGAAUACGUAAAAAUUAGAUUAAGAAGAAAUAAAUGAUAAAAAAAAUUAUUAUAUUCACAUAACUUGUUACCAUCACAUUAUUAUAUCUUACUACAUCAGGUAUUUCAACUUUAAAGAUAACACGAUCUCCUCCUUAGAAUAGAACUAUAUUAUUUUUGUAAAAUUUAUAGACAUUUUUCGAAAUUGUCGAUUUACUAUCCAAACAAACAUAUAUUCAUCACAGACCAAAAAAAUUUAUACAUCUCCGAUAAAUUUGCUAGUGCAACAACAAUAACCAUGACAAAAAUACAAAUCUAUAUGAAAGACAAGAAUAGAGCGAGAAAGUGAUGUUUGAUGAUAAAUUUACUGACUCCCAUAAUGGAUCUGCAAAUAAAAGCAGUCACUGAACAUUUCACAAGUAACUAGUGCUAAAAAAACAAAAUUUUUAUAUAUUGGAUCCAGAUAAGUUUGAACGGGGUGACACGAAGUCAUGAACAAUGAGGAUUCAUAUAGCCAACCCCAAGUAGUUUAAGAUUGAGUAGUAGUUGUUGCCUAAAAGCUAUAUCUAAAUUUUCAUUAUAAAGGAUUAAAAGAAUAAAAUGGGUUUUUUCCUUUCCCUUUUCUCUUUCUUCUUUUUUUAUGAAGUAAGGAGAACAAUACAACGAGAUCUCUAACUUGGAAGAAGAAUGAAAAGAUUCUACGAAAUUUUAUAACUUGAAAUAUGUAGAAGAUCAAAAAGUAGCAGUAUAGCACCGAACAAAAUGCAAGCAAGUAAUUAAAAUAAUUCAAGAGAAAGAAUGAGACUACAACAUUGGGAUAGGUAUAGUUUGUCUCAUUACACCAAAUUCCUACAAAAUAUGUUACCAUUUGUUUCAUGGAUGGAAGUUUGCAGCUUUGUUAUUUAACUUAAUUGGAGAUAUUAUAGUCACUUGUUUAGAUUUCACCAUUGAAGAUGAGGCUAUGGUUUGCCAUUAGAAUGAUGUACAUGGACGUUUAUUGAGGGGCUAUUUUUGUUGUAGAUCAAUACAUUGACAAUGUUGUUCUUCAUGAAGUUCAUUAUUUAGGUUUUGAUUAUCGGUAAGUGUGGCAAUGUAUUUCUAAAUAGUUCCAUAUACUGCACUAUUUCUACUAGCAGGUUACUAGUAAUAUUGCUCUUCAUGAAGUUCAUUAUUUAGGUUUUGAUUAUCGGUAAGUGUGGCAAUGUAUUUCUAAAUAGUUCCAUAUACUGCACUAUUUCUACUAGCAGGUUACUAGUAAUAUUGCUCUUCAUGAAGUUCAUUAUUUAGGUUUCGAUUAUCAGUAAGUGUUGCAAUAUAUUUCUACAUAGUUCCAUAUAGUGCACUACUUCUACUAGUAGGUUACCAGUAAUAUAAGGUAGUUUUUGAUGAGAGCAAAUAGAUGAAUUGACAUUAGCCGUUUACAAUGUGUAAUUUAAUGCUAAAAUUGAUAUGAUUAAAAUCUAGAUAGAGUUCCAAUAGUAGAAUCCAACCAACACACAGAAAAUGAUUCCAAAAAAAUUAUUUAGUGCACCUACCAAAACAUGCCCAAACUCAAUAAUUAUAACACAUUGUAUUUUGAAUAGAAUGAUCCUUUUUUCCCUUUGGUUAUUAAAGUAAGAUUCUUUACUUAAGAAAUUAAAAAUUAAACCAUACAACAACAUACCCAAUGUAAUCUCACAAAGCGGGGUCGAUAAGAGUAGAGUGUACGCAAACCAUACCACUACCAUGCUAUUUCUGAUAUACCUUCUACUCAAUUAAAAAACAGUUCCAACCAGUAUAUAGAAAGUAAUAACGGAACUGAAGACGGGCAUGGCAAGUCAGCAUCAGCAGAUUAAUCUUAAAUUAAUAUAGUUAAAAGCCAAGAAACUAUAAUUCCCUAAUAUUUAGUGAACCUAUUAACACACUUAAACUCAAAAACAAGUGCUAUUGAAGUAGAAACUCCAAUUUGAAUCACAUUUUUUUAAAUCAGAAAUUAAAGUAAGAUUCUUUACUAAAAAGAAAAUGUAACCAAGAGAAAUACCAAUAAAAUAAAAUAAAAAAAUAAGUUCAUGUUAGGAUGAUAAAUUUCAUGUCGAAUUAUAAUUAAAAAUUAGAAUAAAAAAUAAUUUAAUUCUUUAAAAAAAGGGUGGAGAAGUAAGCGAACCUGUAAGAGACGUCUCUUCUAGAAGAACCAAACGAGGAGUUUUGAUGAUAUUUCAGAUACCCACUUGAAUUUUCCAUUAAUGCAACCCAACAAAAAAAUAAAGACAAUUAGCAAUGGCGGAAUUAGUCAAGGUGAGCGCAUAUUUGAAUAACUAGCCAUUUGCUUGGCGACAAUGAUCCCUCUAAAUAUUACAUACAGUUUUUUUUUCUCUAUUGUAAUGCUUUUAUAAAGAUUUCAAUUUGGUAUGCUUUAGUUUUUUCAUAUGUCUAUUCAUAAAAGUGUUUGCUUCGACUAACUAAGUCAUGAAUUAAUUAAGGCCUCAGAAGUUUAAAAAUAACUUUGAAUACAUUGAAAUCAAACCCCUGAUGCCAUAGAUAGCUCUUAACAAACAUAACUAAUUAUUGGUGGAAACAAAUGCCUUAGAUAGUUCUUAAUAGAUGUUGAAUGCAUUAACCUCAAACUCUGAACUGAUAUCGUAAAUAACUCUACAUUUGCAAAGAAAUACAUGACUACCGUAAGCUUUUAGAGGAAAUAUACAUAAAACAAUAAUAUGUGGUUAAUUGAUGAUCUAGUUAAUAUUAUAUUUGACAUAUUAAUCAUAUUAUGCCUUAAUAUAUGACUUCAUAAAAUUUUAUAAGUUUCACAGUAUAAGUAGUUGGAUAACUACUAAGUUUCAGUCCAACAUUCUUUAUCUAUGAUUUCAUUGAGCAUCAGAAUAACCCUAUUAAGCAUUCAGUUUUUUUUCCAAAGCAUCAGAAUAACUAAUAAAAUAUAUCAAGAUCGGGAAAAUAGACGCAGCUCCAAAAAUGAAUCCCACUGUUUCUUAGUGGUAGAUUCAAAAUCUUAUCUCUGUUAGUUACUGGGAAAGACCCACUUAGGUAUUCCCAAGUUCUUACAAAUUAGCUUCCUCCGAGCUACUUUAAUUAUGUCUCCGCUGAAUUUUUUAUACAGUUUCUUAAUGCAGAAAGAAAGCUGCUGAUUAACUUCAUCAAAAGAAUAUCAACAAUCGAGUAAAAACAGAAACUAGUUACACAUGAUCCUAUAAAUCCAGCUACUACUACUAUGUCCUUUAUGAACAUUCCCUUUGCAUAUAAAGAAAGAACUUGUUUUAACACAUGAAGUGAAGUUUUGCGUUUCACAUGCACUUGAGGGACUGAUCUUCACAUACGUUAGAUAUUUCCAACUUCACUAGAACUUGACAAAAAGACAUACAAGAAGAAUUAACAAUGCUUAUAUCAUUAUGCUGAGCAAGAAUUGUUACCACUGUCUAGUUAAAAAUUUGAAAGAAAUAAAACAGCUAGCAAUUGAAUGUUUUCUAGCACAUUUAAAUAAAUUACAUUUCUUUCAUAUUAAUAUUAGCCAACAUGUGAAAAAUCACAUCACUAUAAAAAAUAAAGAAUCUGCGCCAAUCACAUAAAGAGCACAUAUAUAAUUCAAACAUCAGCGGCCUCCAAUAUGCUAUGUUUUUGCUUAUGACGUUGACGGUCCAAAAGGGGAGAAUAAUGCAAAGGAUAGACUGCUCAGCUAGUUGGGCAUGUGUUUUCAUGGAUAGUAAUAGGAAAAGACACUGUACGUGAAAGGCGUGCAAACAAUAAAUUGUAAUCACUUCAGUCUCGUCUUUAAUCUCCUCAUAACAAAUUGGACAAGUUUCAUCUUUUAGAUUUUUGACCUGACAUGGAGAUGUAAUCUCCCCAUCACAUGGCUGGAAUUAAAUAAAUACUCUGGUUUCAUCCACCUCAAUGGGUGGCCUCAUUGAAAACCUCCCACCUUCACCAGUAUAUUCCUAUAAGACUUGAACAAACUCAAGGAUAUCCUUAGUGCACUUACAAUAUAGUAUCAUUCCCAUAAUCAGCACCACUCACCUCACGUACAGUGAAAACCCCCUCAUCUUCCUUAAACCGGCGAUUGAAAGGUAUAUCAGAAGGAUUAGGUGAAAUGUUAAGAGCAUCAAUAUCCCUAGUACACUUGACCCAGUGAUUUUGUGUGAUUUCAGCGACGGCUCAUACUACAACUUCACUUUGCUCUAAAUAGCCCUACUAAAUAAAACUUGAAGACACUUCAAAAUCUUCAAAUUAUCUAUGAAUUCCAAUCUAGUAACCUUUUAACUAAUUAUUAAAAUGAGAGAGAGAACAGAAAGAACAAAAACAACUGGAAUCAAACAAGUAAUUGAAGGAAGAAAUUGUCGAAAAUAAAGUGAAACCAAACAAACAACUUGCUGAAUAAGAUAUCAUACUUGAGCUGCGAUGGAAGCUACGAUGGAAAUUGAGAUUAGGGCAAAAAUUUGAUGGCAAAACAAAAUUGACAAAGCUUUGAGCGAUGGAAAGGAGAGUUAGGGCAAACGUAAAUUGAACAAGAAAUUCGCAAAGCUACCUUGAAAACAAUUAGGGCAAAGCUUAUAAGGACGACUUGUAUUUUGAAUAGAAAACAAAGUUUUUUAAUUUUCUUUUUGGUACCAUUGAAUAUACUAGGAGUAUAUGUUUUAGCGGAAAAUAAAAUUUUUAAUUUUUUAUUAAAAUUUCCAUUAAAGUUUGGUGCCUAAUUUCCUGCUCAAGGCUCCAAAUUAUCAAUAGGAACCAGUUAAUAAUUUUUUAGGACCACAUUUUGUACCUUCCCAAAUAAAUAUACAAUUAGAGACCGGCAUUUAAUCUCGUCCUAAUAAGUAUAUUUUUAGAGACCAAAUAAUUGACUUGUCCCUAAAUGUUGGUCUUAAAUAGUCAUUUUUCUUGUAGUGUCACAAUAACAAAAUGCUUUUUCAAGAGCUAUAUUGAGAAGACGUACCGUAGAUAUUAUCCUGAUGAUUGAGAUACGGUAGUUUCUACUCAGCAAUAUUAUGCUCAGUCUGUUGUUGUGGCCCAGAAUGAAGAGGCAAUAAAAAAUAUAUUUAAGGGAUUUUACAUUCCAGUUGGGUUACAAUGACACCUAGUUAAUGAGGUGUAUGUUCCAGUCAAAUGCAAUCAAAAGCUUCACUUGGUAUUAGCUGUUAUUUCUAUAAAAGAUAGACGCAUACUUGUCUAUGACUCACAGUCCAAUCUAAGAAAUAUGGACUUAUCGCCAGAGAUUCACAAGUUGGCGGUGAUUCUGCCAGCAUACUUGUCCACAAUGAAUUUUUUGAAGAAACAUAACGUAUAGAUUGGCCAAAUCUUGAUGCAUAUAGGAAUAAAAUGAGUCAAAAGGACACAUUUAGUGAAACAACACCCAUUUGAGGUUGAGUAUAUGCAAAACAUUACGCAACAAGAAUGUGACAGCUUGUAAGUAAUCUUUAUAUUAUUUUAUAUGAACUAUUAUUUACGAUGUGUUAUGCGAAAUAACAUGUUUGUUUUUAUGCAUCGUGUUGAUAGCCAAUUUUGGCUCUCUAUGCCUAAAAUUAACACAUUUAGGCUUCUUGAUCAUUAAAUGGGACAAAAAUAUAAUUUUUCACAUAUUUUUAGCAAUUGUUAAUAAAUUAUUGAUAAUCAUCAUUAUUUUAGUAUUUUUACUCAUUUAUUGUCAUAUUUUAGUUUUACAUAAUUUAUUAAUAAUUAUUUUUAAUUUCAUAAAUUUUAGGAUUUUUAUCAAUUUAUUAUUAUUUUAAUAUAUUUUCCAGUUAUCUGCAUACGUAUACAGCAUAGCACUGCAAUUCUUUACUUCGUAGUAUAAUUUUAAUUAUUUAUAGCAUGAUAUAUUUUUUAUUUAUUGUUUAUAUUUUAUUUUUGUAAUUAUAUAUCGAUCUUUAUAUUUUUACAUAUUACUUAAGGCAAUAUACAAGCAAUAGUGUCAGCUCUGUUAUUUUAAUACACAGAGUAAAAAUCAUCAAGUCAACGUCAUGUCAACUUUGUAAAAGAUAGACAUAUGAGUUGAUGGAUUAACAUUUUUAUCUAUUAAAUAAUAACUCAUGGUCUAAAGGUAUGCACUAAAAGGAACAAUAUUUUUAUUUAUUGGUUAAUAGAAUGGAUUUUUUUUUAUUAUAAAUAAUAAAGGGAGGGGUUAUUUUUUAUUAUCCUCAAUACACAAUACACCGCAAAUUUGGCACUCUUUUCUCUCCAUCCUCUCACUGUCAGAGCUCACCGAAGCUCCGACAAAACCACUCCUUAAACCCGAUCCACCAUCAGCCCCCUUUUUUUUUUAUUUUUUUUGACCAAAUCCACUCCAAACCAGCAACGCCCUCUGUUUCCUCCUCCAUUUUACCGCUAGCUUGCCAGAGGUGGUGACCGGCGAGCUUUGAGCUCCAGCCGCGCCACCACCACACCCCUCUCCCACUGAUCUCUCUUUUUCCCUCUCCCAUCACUGCACCCUUUUGCCACUGCCCAAACCGUGAUGGGCCAGAUCUGUCUGAAAUUUGUAUAGCUGGUGUUGCUUCGAUGAAAUCGUAGAAGCAACAUCACCACUUUUCCCUUUAUCCUUUUUGUUUUGCUACUGUUGCACUAAUAGCGACCAGAUCUGGUCGGACUUUUCAUGGUUUAAGUGUUCCUCCGAUCAGGCAGACAGGAUGUCGUCUCCAGUGACCUCUUCUUUAAUAUGUAUUUAUAUAUGUUAUAAUUAUUUUUCUUGAUUUAUUUGUUGUUGUUCAUUAUAUCAUUUCUUUUCAAUUUUAUCAGAUUUGUGGUUUGUUCGGGUAUUUUGAUUGUUACUUGCUAGUAUCAUGGUUGUGGAACAGCUUUGCUAGUUUUAUGUCUGUUAUUACCUUUAUUUUGGGGCUGAUUAACAUUCUGUUUUGGAUAAUUACAUUACAGUUUACCCCUUAUAAUUUUAUUACACUAAUAAUGAACAAGAUACUACACAUUUAGGGCGAUGAAGAAAUUCUUUGUCGAUUUUCGAGGCCUCCAUAAAUAAAAGACGGAUAUUACGUAUACAAAUACAUAAUAAAAAGGGUUUUAUCAUUCGUAUUUUGGAAAGACGAUUUAGGACGAUCGAUCAAUUGAGCAACCACUUCGUAGCCAUGGCACAUCUAAAAUUUAAUCCGAGCCCAUCUUUUAACAAAAAUUAUAUUUUUAAAUACAUAUAUGCACACAUACCUUUUAAAUUUAUUUUGAUAAUUAUUUAUUUGUUACUAACAUUUUUGUUACAAGUGUUUAUAUAGGUGUUUGAGAAUACUCGUUGGGAAAGACAUUUAAAGAAGAUUUUAAAUUGUGUUGUAUUUUUAUAUUUUUAUACUUGUACAAAUAUUAUCAUAGUGAAAAUUUUAUUUUUGGGGUGUUGGGUGUGUUAUUCUUUAUUUUACGCGAUUCUUAUCACGUGUUAGGCAAAUUUAGGUCGUUAACAUUUAUAUUAAAAUUGAUUUAGAUAUUUAAUCAAAUAAUUCACAUUUUUUUUACAUUAACAAACAUUACGUAUUCUUUUCCUUAGAAUAAUUUUUCUUUAUUCAAUUUUGUCUUUACAUACAUAUUUAGAUACUUUGUUUAUAUGUGUUUUACAAUAGCAUACACAUUAUAGUAUUUCAAUACAUAUUUUAUAUCUGUAUCUACUAACAUUUUUUUCCUCUCGUAAUAAACCUAAGUCUGGCCAGGAACCACAUUUGUGGAUUCUAAAGGGUGCCUAACCCCUUCCAUUCAGAAUAAUUUUGAAACCUUACCUACAAUUCAAAAUGGUUUCAUAGAUUAAAUAAAGUCAAAAGUGUUAAACAAAUAAACAGAUUUCUUAUUUUUUCUUAAAAAUUAGGUGUCAACUUUGUACAAAAUUAAUUCUUUUUGAGUCCAUAAUGUCGUGCUCGUUUUGACUUUAGGUAAAAAUAGGGCAUGAUAGAAUGGCGAAUCUGCUGGGAAUGCAAGGUUCUAACCAUUACAGAUUUAGGUAAUAGUUAUAUUCUUCUACAUUAUUAUUUGUUUUUUUCUAACUAUCUUGAUUUAUCUUGUUUAUGUGGAAUAAAUUAUUAUUUAUUUUGUAUAAAUUAUUUAUUUAUUUAUUUAUUUAUAUAAACUGGCAUUCCAUUCAUAUUUCUUCCUUUUAGGAAAGCUAACACAAUCACACAUACAAGCGAGUUGUGUUUUACGCACUCGCAAAUUUCUUUCAAAAACCUAAAUUUUAGGAGAGUUGGUGUAUGCACGAUAUGUCCAAAUCUUUUUCUGUGUGCCUGCUUAUCCUUCUCACUUGAGUAUUUCGCUCGAGAACAACAGGUCUAGCAAACCCACGCUUAGUCGAACAUAGGGUAGAGCUAAAACAACACCUUUUUAGGCGCAUACAUCAUUAGUCAACUUUAUUUUCAAAGGGUUGACAAUCCACGUGACACAUUAUUAUAGUCUUUGUACAUAUUUGAAGGAUUAUUGUGUCUGUACAUAUUUAUUUAUUCUAAAUUGUUUAUUCUUUGCAUGGUUGAUCAGUUAAAAGAUACACCUUACCAACAUCACCACUAGUAGCGUAUAGGCUUGAACUAUGUUUUGACCUAAUUCUUAUCCUGGCAAGAUACGUAGGCAACCCUGCAUUAGGGUUCGGUCUCUUCACCAUUUCAAAAUGAUUACUCUGGUAUACAAAACUGGGGCAUAUUUUCUUGAACAAUACAAAGACACUUUGUAAUAGCUUUCAAGAGCACAAAUUAAUAACUCCUCAAAAUUUAAAUAUCAAUGACAUCAGUGUCUAGCCGGCCUACCUCCAGAUUUUCACCUAUUUUUUGUACAGUAAUACCUAACUUCUUCUUACGGAUGUCGUAAACUAUUAAAUUUAUGGCGUAUAGAUCCUUACUUUCAAAAUUAAGAAUUCAAUAUUUUUUCAAUUAUAAUAAUCCUGCCAACUGCCGCGAAAUAAUGUCAUAAAUCCUUCAAUGUAUGACUUUUUUAAUCUUGUCAGCAUACUGAAGUUGUGUUAAAACUCACUCCAUGGUUUACAUCCAUUCUUUUGAUCAUUUGAUUAGAACAAUUUCGAUGCUAAAAGCAGUUCUUCCUUGAUUGUAUUUCACAUUAUCUUUAUGAAUGACCAUCAAUUUUUUUUACAAUCAUAAAUUGCACAUAUAAAUUUGCAAAUUUGCAUGAACUACACAGACCUGAUUCUUGUUUUCACAAGAUAUGUAGGCAACCCCCAUUUGGGUUCGGUCCCAUUCUUUUGAAAAAAUAAUAAAAUUUUGAUUUGGUUGAUAACAAUUCAUUUAGGAGUGUGCAUGAGAACGAACAAAUUGGUAUGAUGAAAAGGACCAACUUUAUGAUAAACCAUAUGUUCUUUUGAUACCUUUUAUCACACCUAAGUAACACUUGAAAACUCUCUUGCAUACAUUUAAGACAAAAAUGAAGUCAACCUCAUUGUUUCAUGUGCAUUGUGUGGUGAGCUUUAAAAUUUAAUCACUUCAUUACAUUAUUGAUCUAGAACUUGGCCUAAAUGUCUUUUGAGGAAGUCCUGAGUUACACUUGGUUUAGAAAAGGAUCGUAGGCCUUCUUUGACCUGAUUGUGCCUUUCACCGCCCACUAAAUGACAUUAAUCCCUAGCAUUUCCUCUUUUGAGCCUAAAAUCUUUUCUUUGGACAACCGCAUUUGAGCCUAUACCUUUUGGAGUGCUUACAUGCACUAUCCCUCUUUUGGCGUCACUUCCUUAAGCACACUAAAUACGUCCAAAUUUUGGAUGAAGAUUCAAAAUCAAAGAUGCAAAAUGCAAAGGAUAUGUCAGAUGAACAAAAAUGAAAAAAAUGACUACAAAAGGAGCAAAAACUCCCACAAAAAGAAAAAAGGGAAAAAAAUAUAUAGUUUUUUGAAAAAAAUGGGGAAAAACUCCAACAUAAGAUUGCAAAGAAGCCAAAGAAAAUACAAAACAAGGGGAAAUGCUACACAACUAAGAAGAUCAUGCGUCAAAGCGCAACAAACGUCGAAAGCACAAAUACAGUGUAUUGCUCAUUGAGGGAUUAGUCACUUUCAUCCAAAUAUCAUCCUACCCAUCCCCAAGCCUACAUUACAAACCGAUAGCAAGUCCUACGAGAUCCUAUUCCAAGUGUUCUCACAUUAGUGAAUACUUACAUGAAUAUCAAGCCUAUGGUAUCACAAUUGCAUGGAUUGAAUUUCUUUUUGAGUGUGAGUGUAUUUCUCUAGAUAUCCCAAAAUUUAAAAAGAAAAUUACUCAAAUAUGUGUGAAAUGAGAUUAUUUUUACUCAAAUAUGUGUAAAAUGAGACUUCCUUUCUGAAGAGGGCAUUUGAAGCAUGAGGAUAGGCAUAGCUCGAAAUAUUUUUUUGAAGUAAGAUAAAAAAUCUUGUCGAUACUUAGGCGUGUCUGAGGUACCACUUGAAACUCUAGGAGUUACCCUAAAGUCUAUCUCAGAUAGAUGGGAAAGAGAUAAGGGAAUUCUUAUGCACACUACUAAUUAUUGGUACCAACUAAAGUCAAGAUACAGUUGUGUUUUCUUCAUCUUUCUGCACUUUUUAUCAAGUAAAUGCAAAAUUCUUUCUUUCUUUCUUUCUUUCUUUCUUUCUUUUUUUAAUAUUCCCACUUUCAAAUACGGACAUUCUAUUUUUACAUUUCAUUCAAGUUGCUCACUUUCACAUACAUGUUUUUACCUUUUAUUAAAGAUGCCCAGUUUUGAAAUACAGGCAUUUGACUUUUUCUUUCAAGCAUAUACCUUUAAAUAUAGUCAUUUUAUUUUUCAAUUAAGCGCCCAUUUAUGAGUAUUUUUUUACAUUUUUUUUAUAUAGUUCUGCCAAUCGAGAGGCUAUUACAUUUGUUCUUCCAAUCUAGAAUCUUUUACAUUUCAAUAGCCCCGCUAAUUAAGAGGCUAUUAGAUUUCAGUUACCUCACUAGUUGAGGUCCUCAGUAUUCGUUGAUAAUCUAAGAUGACAAUAAACAUCAAUAUCCAUAAAUAAUUAGAGAUGUCAUGCAUCAGUCUUCGUAGACAAUCAGAUACGUUGUGCAUUUUUAAAGAUCCUUUUAAAUAAGAUGAUGUCAGCAUAAAUAAUACAAUGGGCAAAUUUUGAGAGUAGUGAAAGUUGAAGUCUCUUAUCAUUCAUCCAUCGUAUCAAGGUCAAUCACUGGCUCAGAGCAAAUAUUAGAAGUUGAUGAAGAAUUUAAGGGUCUAAUGGAUGAUGAAGUUGAAAGUAAAGCCCCAAUUUCAGAUGGAGAGACAUUGUAAUACCCCGUAUAAUCCUUGCAUCGUUUAACUCUUAGUAUAUGAGUAUUCCUAUAUAAAAUUUUUAGAAUACUUUGAAUUUUCCAAUUUAGAGCAUACCAUUGCGUAGGAAAUUCAUCCAGCUUUUCAAUGAUAUAAAAUUCACCCAAAUCCGAUAAUCGGAUGAGAAAAUAUAUCAAUUUUGUAAAACAGUGUGCCACCUGGUGCAGCACCACAUCGCGGAGACUAGCCAAAUAGCAAUUGUUAGUUUCCUAUGAUCCAACACGAUAAUCCUGCAUCAUGGAACAGUGACAGUUCCUAAUUGGCAUCCUUCCAGUGAAGUUCCGUGAAAGCAUCGCAUCGCGCCAAGGACUAAUUUCAACAUUAUCAAAUUCCAGUGAGGUUCCGCGAUGGUACCGCAUCACGCCAAGAGCUAAUUUUCCAGUCAUUCCUUUUUGUAUAGUUCCAUGCCAUCACAUCACAGUGAAGCCCAAAAUUGGGAUUUUCAAUGAAGAAUCUUAACUUCUUUCUAGGGGUAAUUUGGUAUUUUUCCAUUACCCAGAUCAGUUUUAAACACGUAAUUAACCCCUAAUUAACCUAGUUAUAUCAUUAUUCACCCAAUUUUCCCCCAAAUUAAAUUAUUCUCUCUCAAAAGGGCAAAACUCUAGCCUCAAGAAUCAAGAGCAAAACUCAAGAAAUCCUCUAAGAACCUUUAAGAAUUAAUCUUGUCAGGUAUGUUAGGUAUUUAUCUAUGGGUUCCUUUCAACCAUAGACUCUAUGAAUCCUUUUUUAAAACUACAAUCUCAUUGAUUCAUGAUUUACAUGCUUGAAAUUGGAUUAUAUUCAUGUUCAUGACAUUAAUUAAGUUUCAAUCCAUGAUUAAAUUGUAUAUUCCAUGAAAUUGAAAUAGCAUGUAUAUUGAAUUGUGUAAGUCCAUGUUAUAACCCUUGAAUUUCAAAGUUUGGGUGUUGCAGUUAAAAUGUUUAUUUGUUGUCCACGAUUAUAUGAUUUAAGUUGUGCUCCCCAAGUAUUUGAUGAAAUGUCUAUGUGAAAUAAAUGGUGAAAUCAUGACAUGCUAGCAUAUGUACAAGUUUAUGCCCUACAAGUGUUUGAUAUAAUGUCUCUAUGAAUGAAUAUGAACAAGUGAAAAGGGUUAUACUUUCUCAAGAUCAUGCUAUGCUUUACUUUUUAUGCUAUCGAGUCCUGACGGUAUUCAAUACCCGAAAAUCUAGUUGUUUACCUGGAGCUACAGUAUUGACAGAAUAGUCUUAGUCCAGUGAUGAAGCUAUAGUACUCGGUUAGUUAACAGAACUCAAUAAACUCAGUCAGUUACAACACUCAGUAAAACUCAGUAUCAGUCCAGUUCAGUUUAGUAUAAUAAUCAAUAUCAUUAAGAUGGGAGUAGGAUUCAGCAUCAAGUGAACCCAAGGAUGGGGGCUCACCUACUAGUAGAGGGUAUGAUCCUUAGAAGUAGUCCUUGUAUUCCAGAACAAUGUAGUCAACAUAGGUUGAUACGUCAACCUGCUAGUUGAGGGUUGAUGAGGUGUUUUAACCUACCAGUUGAGGGUACCACCGUUCAUUCAGGGCACCUACCACAUGAGGGUGACUCUUCAGUUGUCUUUACCUAUGGAACGGUACUGAUACCCUUCCAACUGGGGUUAUAGGUUGGACCCCAGUUAUCUUAUUUGAGGCAUGUCGGUUAGAUGACUACCUCCCACACAGUAUAGAACUCAGUUUAGUUCUAUAGAAUUAGGACUAUCAGACAUGGUCAAUUAGUAUCGGUAAUUCAGUUAUCAGUAAUCUCAGAUAUUAAUUAAUUAGUUAUCAAAACUUAUUACUCAUCUUCAGAAAAUCUCAGAUAUCAUAUACAUGUAUAUGCACAGUAUUGCAACUCAGUGUUUUUACAGUAGUUCCAGUUAACCAUGUACUCUUAUUCAGUUACUUUAAAUCAUUCAGUUAGUUACUGUUUAUGCAUAUGAAACCUUGCAUUUAGCCUUAUCUCAUCUAGCAUACCAGUAUAUUUCAUGUACUAAUUCAUACUUUUUUUUUGCGCUAUGAUGUCUCAUAUCAUGGUUCGGAUGCUCAAGUUCCUGACCAUGCAUAGACAGAUAUAGUUAGUAGCAUCAGAUUUAAUAAUUAGUCCUCAUCUAUUGAGGAUAUGCUUUUAUUUUAGCAUUUUAGUAGUUUCAAUUUUUCAUUGUUGGAGUUAGUUGGGGGAUUUUCCUAUCUACUCCACUUUUAGACAUUUCAGUUAAAGGCUUUUCAGGUUACACUAGUUCAACAGUAUUUCAGAUGUUUUAUCAGAUAUCAUUACAGUUGUUAUUCUUUAUAAGUAUUCAGAUGUGAACUUAUGGCAUUUCAGCCAAUUUUCCAUAUCAUUGCAGUAUUAUUAUCUAGUGCUCAUAGCAGGUACCGAUCAUGGGUUAGCUUGUAGUCCUUCGGGGUCAUAAGCACCGUGUGGUGUCUGAGGUGCAAACUCGGGGCGUUAUAAACUUAGUAUCAGAGCCUAAGGUUCAACAGAGUCCUAGGGAGUCUGAAAUUCGUGUCUAGUAGAGUUUAUGUAUGUGUAGUGUGCCACACUUAUGGACAAGAGGCUAUGAGAUGUUUUAGGAAAAGUUUCUCUUCUUUCAGUAUUCAUGUCAUGUGAUUAAGCAUGAGCUCAAGUAAAGCUGUCAUUCUAAUUCUUUUCUUACUUCCAUUUACAGAACAUGCCUCCUAAAAAGAACAACGGAAGAAGAACAAGAAACCAAUUAGCACCUCAGCCCGUUCAGGUAGAUCCCCUAGUUGAGUAUGUCUCCCACGUAGAAUUUAGAGCCAUAUUUACUACUCUUGCCAAUUCUGUAGCAGGUCAGAAUGAAUGGCCAGCUACUAUUCAGGCCAACCCAGUGGCCUAUACUGCUGCAGUCAGGAUUUGGGACUUCACCCAAAUGAAUCCUCCCCUAUUCUCAGGAUCUAAGUCAGAAAAGGAUCUAUAAGAGUUCCCUGAUCAGGUUUAGAAAGUCACAAAUAUCAUUGGAGUGACUUCUAGUGAGAGUACUGAGUUAGCUGCCUAUCAGCUACAAGAUGUAGCUCAUACGUGGUUCAAGAUGUAGAAGGUAGACAGGGGUACAGAUGCAGAGCCAAUAGGGUGGGAAAAGUUUGCUACUGCUUUUCUAAAUAGAUUCUUUCCAUUAGAGCUUAGAGAAGCCAAGGUGUUAGAGUUCACCAAUCUUAGGCAACGAAACAUAAGCGUGAAAGAGUAUUCUCUCAAGUUUACUUAGUUAACCAGGUAUGCUCCCCAUGUAGUAGCAGACAGUGGGUCCAAAAUGAGAAAGUUCGUGUCUGGGGUGUCAGAGAGUGUGGUCAAAGAGUGCAGAACAACGUUAUUAAUUAAGGAGAUAGUCAUAUCCAAGUUUAUGGUCCAUGAUCAGCAAAUAGAAAAAGCUAAGAAUAAGGACAGGGAGGGAGGACAAGGGAGCUAGAACAGGUAGCUUUAAUUUCACUCAUCCUAAGUCAGAAGGCGGUACCAUUUCAAAUUUCAUCCGAAAUCUUUAAUUCCAGCUCUUUCCUCAGCCAGUGCUCCAGUUCCUAAGUUAAGAAAUGGUAACAAAGAUAGGGCGCUAGGCUCAAAUCCCAAGGUAGUGUCAUCAGUGCUCGAACAAAUUCUCUUUUUCAUAAAUGUAGUAAAAAUCACCAGGGUGUGUGCAGGGUUGGCAGUGAUAUUUAUUUCGAGUGUGGCAAGACAAGCCACCGAAUCAAAGAUUAUCCUCAGUCAGGUUCUCAAGGUAGGUACAAUCAUACUUCAGCUAAGUCCAGUCGCCCGAAUCAGCAGGGCGCUGCUUCCAUUGACACUUGUGGGCAACGCCUAAAUAGGCUUUAUGCAGUUCAAUCUAGACAAGAUCAAGAAAAUUAUCUUGAUGUGGUCACUGGUGCAUUACAGAUCUUCCAUUUACAUGUUUAUGCCUUAUUAGAUCCAAGAGCUUCUUUGUCUUUUGUAAUUCCUUAUAUAGAAGUUAACUUUAAGGUCAAACUAAACAUCUUAACUAUACCUUUCUCAGUCUCUACCCUAGUGGGCCAGUCUAUCAUAGCCCGAUGGGUAUACAGGAACUGUCCUGUUAUGAUAUCUCAAAAAGUCACUUCAGCAAACUUAGUAGAAUUAGACAUGACGGAUUUCAACAUUAUUAUCAUCAUGGAUGAGCUCCAUUACUGCUAUGCCUCAGUUGAUUGUAGAAAAAGAAUAGUUCAUUUUUAGUUUCCAAAUAAACUAGUCCUUGAAUAGAGGGGUGGUACCAUAGCACUUAAGUGUCAGUUGAUUUUAUGCCUUAGAGCAAUAAAAAUGAUAUCCAAGGAAUGUGUCUAUCAUCUUGUACGAGUAACAGACUAUAGUUCAGAGACUCCUAGUCUUGAGUCAGUUCAAGUAGUAAAUGAAUUCUAAGAUAUGUUUCCUGAAGAUCUUUCUGAAGUUCCUCCCAAAAGGGAAAUUGACUUUAGAAUAGACCUUCUUCCAGAUAAUCAUCCCAUAUAUAUUCUGCCAUAUAGAAUGGCACCAGUUGAACUUAAAGAGUUAAAAGAACAGUUAAAGGACCUUUUAGACAAGGGGUUCAUCAGACCCAAUGUUUCCCUAUGGGGCAUACCAAUUCUAUUCAUGCGUAAAAAAAAUAUUUUCCUCAGAAUGUAUAUAGACUAUCGUCAGUUGAACAAAGGGUACCAGUUACUCUUCUAAGAUAGACCUCAGGUCAGGCUAUCAUCAGCUUAGAGAUAGGAAAUAUGACAUUCCAAAAAUUGCUUUCCGAACCUAGUAUAGUCACUUCAAGUUUUUAGUCAUGUCUUUUGGUCUUACAAAUACCCCGGCAACUUUCAUGGACUUAAUGAAUCACGUGUUCAAAUAGUACUUGGACAUGUUUGUCAUAGUCUUCAUUGGUGACAUUCUUGUUUACUCCUGUACCAAAAAAAAUCAUGCAAACCAUAUCAUAAUUAUACUUCAGACUCUCAGAGCCCAUUAGUUGUUCGCUAAAUUCAGUAACUGCGAAUUUUGGCUAAGGUCAGUAGCAUUCCUUGAUCAUAUUAUUUCUGGUGAUGGCAUUAAAGUUGAUCCUCAAAAGACUGAAGCAGUGAAAAACUGGCCUAAACCUAUUUCUCCAUCAGAUAUCAGGAUCUUCUUGGGUUUAGUUGGCUAUUACCGUUGGUUUGUUGAAGGGUUUUUGUCUAUUUCAUCCCCCAUGUCCAGAUUGACUCAGAAGAAAGUCAAGUUUUAGUGGUCAGAUUCUUAUGAGAAGUGCUUUCAAUAGUUGAAGACUCAACUCACCUCAACCCCAAUUUUGACACAACCAGAUAGUUUAGACAGGUUUGUUGAGUACUAUGAUAUACCUAGAGUAGGCUUCGGUUGUGUCCUAAAGCAGAGAGGUAAGGUCAUAGCCUAUGCCUCUAGACAACUAAAGCCACAUGAGCAGAAUUACCCUACCCAUAAUCUUAAGUUAGCAGCUAUAGUGUUUGCCUUAAAGAUUUAGAGGCACUAUUUAUAUAGGGUGUAUGUUGAUGUGCUCACAGAUCACAAAAUCUUGCAGUAUGUGUUCUCUCAGAAAGAUUUGAAUUUGCAUCAAAGAAUGUGGUUAGAGUUGUUGAAAGAUUAUGAUUUGAGCAUCCUGUAUCAUCCAGGUAAGGCCAAUAUAGUGGCAGAUGCUCUCAGUAGGUUGUCUAUGGGUAGUGUUGCUCACAUUGAUAAUGAUAAAAAGAAGUUACCUUAGGAAGUUCAUCAGCUUGUCUGACUAGGUGUCCGCUUAGUCGAUUCAGCAGAGGGUAGUGUGUGGGUACAGAAUAGUUCAAAAUUAUCUCUAGUUUUCGAAGUGAAGGAAAAGCAGGAUAAAGAUCCCAAUUUAGUCGAGUUGAAAGAGUCAGUCAGAUAUCAGAAAGUAGAGGUUUUCUGCCAAACGGAAGAUGGUGUAUUGUGUUACCAAGAUUGGCUAUAGUUCCAGGUGUAGAUGACUUGAGGUAACGAAUUCUUACAGAAGCAUAUGGUAUGCGUUACUCUAUUUAUCUAGGAUCUACUAAGAUGUACUGAGAUUUGUGAGAGAUCUAUUAGUGGAGUGGGAUGAAGAGGGAUAGUGUUGAGUUUGUAGCUAAGUGCACUAUAUGUGAGCAAGUUAAGGUUGAGCACUAGAAACCUAGUGGGUCUAUGUAGGAGUUCAGUAUUCCCACAUGGAAAUGGAAAGAAGUGAACAUGGAUUUUUUCACAGGUUUUCCUCGUACCCGCCAUCAACAUGAUUUUAUUUGGGUCAUUGUAGAUAGGAUAACCAAAUCAGCUCAUUUCUUAUCAGUCUAUACCUUUUAUUCAGCCAAGGACCAUGCCAAACUCUAUGUCAAAGAGUUGGUCAGGUUAUAUAGAGUUUCAGUAUCCAUCAUCUCAGAUAGAGCUACCCAGUUUACCUCUCACUUUUGGAAACCAUUCCAAAAGGGUCUUGGUACCCAAGUUUACCUCAGUACAUCUUUUAACCCUUAGAUAGAGGUCAAGCAGAAAGGACCAUUCAGACUCUAGAAAAUAUGUUAAGAGCCUGCGUUGUUUAUUUUAAAGGUAGUUGGGAUGAACACUUGUCUUUGAUCAAAUCCGCAUAUAAUAAUAGCUAUCAUUCCAGUAUUCAGAUGUCUCCGUUUGAGGCUCUCUAUGGUAGAAUAUGUAGAUCUCUAAUUGGUUGGUUUGAUGUAGGUGAAGUCGUAGUAGUAGGGUCUAACUUAGUGUUUGAUGCCUCAGAGAAGGUUCAGUUGAUUUGAGAAAGGCUUAGGGCAUCCCAAAGUUGAUAGAAAUCCUAUGCAGAUGUGAGAAGAAAGGAUCUCAAGUUUGAGAUUGGUGAUUUUGUGCUCUUGAAAACCUCUCCCAUGAAGGGGGUGAAGAGGUUCGGCAGGAAGGGAAAGCUCAUUCCCCCAUAUAGUGGUCCUUUUAGAAUCCUCAGCCAUUUUGGAAAGGUAGCUUACGAUCUUGAGUUGCCUUCAGAUCUAGCUUCAGUGCACCCAGUGUUCCAUCUCUCCCUGCUAAAGAAAUGCAUUGGAGACCCAGCAGUCAUAGUCUUCUUAGAGGGCGUAGAUAUUCAGAAUGAUCUCUCUUUCAAAGAGGUUCUAGUCCAUAUCCGCAAUAAUCAAAUUUGCAGACUGAGGAACAAAGAAGUUCCUGUAGUCAAAGUUCUUUGGCAGAAUCAGUCCGUUAAUAUAACUACUUGGGAAGCAGAAGCACAUAUGUGGACCAAGUAUCCUCUUUUCUUCUCCACAAAUUUAGACUUGGCUUAAGGUAACAGUUUUCCUUAGCUUUACUCAGUUUCAUGUUCAAUUAUAGUUGUAAAUUUGGUAUUCAUUACCAUUGCAUAUCAUCUUUAUGACAGGUAUGCAUUCAUGAAUCAGUUCAGCCAUGUACUCAUGCAUCAGAUAUGCAUGUUCAGUUAGAAAACUCAGCUUAUCAGUAGUUUCAGUCAUGUAUUCCGUGUAUCAGACAUGCAUGUUCAGUGUGAAAACUCAUUCUAUUAGUAUUUCUCAGCUUAAUUAGUCUCAUUCGAGGACGAAUGUUCCCAAGGGGGAGAUAUUGUAAGACCCUGUAAUUUUCUAAAUCAGUUUAACUCUCAAUAUAUGAGUAUUCCAAUAUAAAAUUUUUAGAAUACUCCAAAUUUUUUAGUUUAGAGCUUACCAUUGCGUAUGAAAUUCAGUCAUCUUUCCAACGAUAUAAAAUUCACCUAAAUCUGAUAACUGGAUGAGAAGCUAUAGUAUAUUUUGUCAAACAGUGUGCCACCUGGUGCAGCACCGCAUCGCGAAGACCAUCCAAAUGACAAUUGUCAGUUUCCAGUAAGCCAACGCUAUAAGCCCACAACGUGGAGCAAUGCCAGUUGCCAAUUGGCAUUUUCCAAUAAAGCUCCGCAAAAGCAUUGCAUCGCGCCAGGGCCAAAUUUCAGAAUUGUCAAAUUCCAGUGAGGCUCCAAGAUAGUGUUGCGUCACGACAAGGGCCAAUUUCCCAGUUGUCCCUUUCUGUACAGUUCCAAUUAGAUUCUAGUGGCUCACCGCGAUGCCACCAUGUUACGGUGAAAGCUAAAAUCAAGAUUUUCAUUGACAAAUCUUAACUUCUUUCUAGGGGUAAUUUGGUAUUUUUCCAUGACCUAGAUCAGUCUUAAACAUGUAAUUAACCCCUAAUUAAUCUAGUUAUAUCAUUAUUCACCCAAUUUUUCCCUAAAUAAAAUCAUUCUCUCUAAAAAGGGCAAAACCCUAGCUUCAAGAAUCAAGAACAAAGUUCAUGAAAUCCUCCAAGAACCUUCAAGAAUUAAUCUUCUCAGGUAUGUUAGGAGUUCAUCUAUUGGUUCCUUAUACCCAUAGAGUCCAAGAAUCCAUUUUUAAAACUACAAGCUUAUUGAUUCAUGAUUUACAUGCUUGAAAUUGGAUUUUAUUCAGAUUCAUGAUAUUAAUUGAGUUUCAAUCCAUGAUUAAAUUGAAGAUUCCAUGAAAUUAAAAUAGCAUGUAUAUUAAUUGUGUAAUUCCCUAUUAUAACCAUUGAAUUAGGAGGUGUGGGUAUUGUAGUUAAAAUUUUUAUUUGUUGUCCAUGAUUAUAUGCAUUAAGUUGUGCUCCCCAAGUGUUUGAUGGAAUGUCCAUGAGAACUAAAUGGUGAAAUCAAGACAUGCUAGCAUAUCUACAAGCUUAUGCCCUACAAGUGUUUGAUAAAAUGUUUCUAUGAAUGAAUUAUGAACAAGUGAACAUUGUUAUGCUUUCUCAAGAUCAUGUUAUGCUUUACUUUUUAUACUAUCGAGUCCUGGGGGAAUUCAAUACCCAAAAAUCUAGUUGUUUACCUAGAGCUACAGUAGUUAUAGAAUAGUCUCAGUUAGGUCACAAAAUUAUAUUACUCAAUCAAUUAACAGAACUAAGUAAACUCCGUCAGUUACAACACUCAGUAAAACUUAGUAUCAGUCCAGUUCAGUUUGGUAUAAUAAUUAGUGUCAUUCAGAUAAAAGUAGGAGUCAACAUCGAGUGAACCCAAGGAUAGGGGCUCACCUGCCAAUAGAGGGUGUGAUCCUUAUAAAUAGUCUUUGCAUUCCAGAACUAGGUAGCCAGUGUAGGUUGAGACAUCAACCUUCCAGUUGAAGUUUGAUGAGGUGUUUUAAUCUGCCAGUUGAGGGUACCACCGUUCUUAUUCAAGGCACCUACCAGAUGAGGGUGUCUCUUCAGUUGUCUUUACCCAUGUUAUGGUACUAACACCCUUCCAACUGUGGUUAUAGGUUGGACCCUAGUAAUCUUAUUUGGGGCAUGUCGGUUAGAUGACUACCUCCCACAGUUUCAGUUUCAGUUUCAGUCUCAGUAUAGGACUCAGUUCAGUUCUACAGAAUCAGGACUGUUAGACACAGUAAAUCAAUAUCAAUAAUUUAGUUAUCAGUAAUCUCAGAUAUCAGUUAAUCAAUUAUCAAAACUCAGUACUAAGCUUCAAAAAGCCUCAUGUAUAUGCACAGUAUUACAUAAAUAGUAUAUUUACAGUACUCUUAUUCAGUUACUUUAUAUUAUUCAUUCAGUUACUGUUCAUGCAUAUGAACCCUUGCAUUCAUCCUUACCUCAUCUAGCAUACCAGUACAUUCCAUGUACUGAUGCAUACUCUUUGUUUGAUCUAUGAUGUCUCAUAUCAUAGGUUCGAAUGCUUAGGUUCCUGACUAUGCAUAGAUAGAUUAAGUUAGCAGCAUCAGAUUCAGUAGUGAGUCCUCAUCUAUCGAGCAUAUGCUUUUAUUUCAGUAUUUCAUCAGUUUUAAUAUUUCAUAGUCGGAGUUAGUUGGGGGCUUAUACCAUCAACUCCACUUUCAGACAGUUCAGUUAGAGGUCUUUAAGACUAGACUAGUUUAGAUAGUAUUUCAGAUUUCAUAUGUUUUAUCAGAUAUCGUUACAGUUGUUAUUCUUUAUCAGUAUUCAAAUUAUGAACCUUAAGGAAUUUCAUUCUAUUUUCUAUAUUAUUACAGCAUUAUCAUCCAGUGCUCAUAGUAGGUACCAGUCAUGGGUUAGUUUAUGGUACUUCAGGGUCGUAAGCACCGUGUAGUGUCCGAGGUGUAGACUUGAGGCGUUAAAGACAUACAAUAUGAUUAAAGAUCAAGAAACAAAAUUUAGUAGUGAAUCCUGUAAAGAUACUGAGGAUUGACAUAAAAUUGAUGAUUAGAUCUUCGUCAAAUUAAACAAGGAGUGUAAUAUCGAUGAAAUAUCUUUGUGUUAUGGAGUUUCUUAAAAAAGAAUAAGUUCUAAGAUCUUGAAUCCUAAACCUUCAAACUUUUGCAUCAAAUGUGUCUCUCCAGAUAAUGAAUUUGUGGAGGAGUUCAGAGAAAGGGGGAGCUCAAAAAGUCAACAUCAUAAAACUCAACAACGAUAAAUCAAUGAUAGAAAAUCUUCAUCAUUAGAAGAAGAAAGGGGAGUUGGGAAAAAACUGCUAAGAGUUUUACCAAGGCAUGGUUCAAAGCUACAUUUGAGUUCUUCUGCAACGAGUUUGGGAUAGCUUCCAAAAAAUUACUUUAACGGGGAGUGUGAAAAAUAUCAAGAGUAGAUUUUUUGGCAGAAUGAAUAUCAUACUUUUCUAGUUAAAUUUCUAGAAUAGUCUAGUGAAUGAAUAUCACAGUUUUCUAGUUAAGUUUCUAGAAUAAUCUAGUGUGGUCACUUGGAUAAGCAAUUUGUGAAAAUAUCUAGAGUAGAAAAUAAAGCACUAGAAUUUUCUUGAAGAUGUAUCUAGAAGAAUAUCUAGAAUCAUCCAUGGAAAAUAUAAAUAGGAGUCACAUUGUAGAUUUGUAACAAACCCCAAUUAAUCCAAUUAAAGAAGUCUUCUUCAAUAACAAAGCUUCUCUUUUAUAGCUUCUUCUUCUUUAGUUGAAUCUUUCGAUUUUAGUUAACAAUCUUCAGUGUUGGAACCUUGAAGUUUUGAUGAAUGACAAUAUGAAUGAAACAAGUUGAUAUGACUUAAUUCAGUGCAACUGGAAACUUCAACUUACUGAUCACAUGGGGAAUAGAACAAGUUGAAUUUGAUUCAAAAACUUGAUGAUAAGGGAAAGCAAGUUGAGUUUAAAAAGGAGUCCUACGUAAAGAAGGAGUUUCACUUUUGAGCAUAUCUUGAAGAGUCCUAUGUGUAGAAGGAGAAAGAUUCUGCAUAUUUAAGAUGUCUAUGUAAGAUAGGAAAUAUAUAAAUUGAAGGACUCUAUGUUAGAUCAAUGAAGUUUUUGAUGACUGACACUUGAAUGGAAUAUGUUGCUUGACCUGGUCCAAGCACAGGAAGGAAGGUUUCAGGUUUUACUAAUAGAUGCAGAUAAAGAUUGCUAAAAGUCAAAACGAAUGAGCAAGCCUAAUUCUGAUAUACUCAAGCUACUGAUCAUGUCAGAAAUUGAAGAAGUUGUAGUUGAGUAAAAUACUUGAAGAUAAGUUGAUUUAAAGAGUUGAAUCUUGACUACAAUACAUUAUAAGAUGUAUAUUGAAUUUAUUACAAGGCAAACAGAAUAUUAAAACAAAGCAACCUACAUAAGAUGUGUUGAUCAAGGAGUUCUAUAAGAAAAAAAAAGUUCUACUCAAUCUAGGAAAGAGAGAGGCGACAACAACAAUAAGAGUGAAAGUAGUCCAAUUCAACAUUGGAAAGGACAUCAACUAAAAGGAGUCCAAUUCAAGAUAGAAGAGGACAUCAACUGAAAGGAGUCCAAUUCAAGAUAGAAAAGAAAAUCAACUAAAGGUCUCCAUCAGGGUUGCUUUAAAUACAAGGGAAGAGAUUCAAAGCAAGACACGCACUUAAAAAGCAUAAAAACACAAUUGACAGAUUUACUUCACGAAGUGCUAUUCAAUCACUGAAUAAACACAUUGAAGAACCAGGUCCUAAGUAUAGAAUCCAGCUAAGAGUUUUAGUAUGAUUUUUAGAGUUGUUCAUUGUGUUUGAGCUAUUGAUGUAAUAUUAGUUUCAGUGUAUUAUAAACUGAAUUAGGAGAUAGUCUUUGAGUUGGGGAAAACCCAAAGAUUUUGGGACAACAUACCUUGGGAGAUGUGUGUUUAGUUAGGAAUUAGAGUUUAUAAUUCCUAUCAUUGAGUUAAAAGGAAUUAGAUUUUAUAAUUCCUAGUUGUUGAGAUAUAGGGAUCAGAUUUUAUGAUUCCUAUUUGUUGGUUACAAGAGCUUUGUAAUCAGUCGUUGUUGAGGAUCAAAGUUAUUUAGUGAAGUUGGGGUUAAAUCCUGUAGAGGUACAGGUUGUGGUUUAUUACACCUUUUGAGCCGGUUAUUUUCCACGUAAAAAUCAUUGGGUUCUUUACUUUCUAUUUUACUGCUUCCUUGAAACACGUCAGUGGAAUACGUCAGGCAACUCAUUCCAUCGAUAAGCAACAGCUUGGAAAAAAUAAGAUAAUCAGUAGGGCACAAACUCUAACAAGUGGUAUCAGAGCAAGGUUGUCUUAAAAAGGGCUAUCACCUAAGACAAAGAUCAAUAUGAUGAAUUCCACACCACCUACUGGUCACAGUGAAGGUCAAUCCACUAUUAGACCUCCAUUCUUUGAUGGUUCUCACUUUAUUUGGUGGAAAGCUAGGAUGGAAACAUUCAUUCAAGGGGAUGACUAUGAGUUAUGGGAUAGGAUCACUAAUGGUCCUACUAUUCCAAUGAAGUUAGAAGAUGGGAAACAGGUCAAGAAAGUAAGAAGUGAAUUCACUCCUGAUGACUUAUUGGCAUUAAAAAAAAUUCUAAGGCCAAAAAUAUUUUGGUCUGUAGAUUAGGACCUGCUGAAUACAAUAGGGUAUCAACAUGCACCACUGCUAAGCAAAUUUGGGAUGCUCUAGUAAAUGCUCAUGAAGGCACAUCUCAAGUAAGAAAAUACAGAAUUUCUCUUCUCUUCACUGAGUAUAAGGCAUUUAAGAUGAAGGAGAAUGAAACCUUGCAUAAGAUGAUGAAAAGGCUUACUACCUUAAUAAAUGAGUUGACGUCCUUAGGAAAAGUUAUAUCUGAAGAAGAACAAGUCGAGAAGGUACAGAGAGUAUUACCAAAAUCAAAGUAGAAUAUUAAUGUGACUACAAUUAGGGAAGCAAAUAAGGAUCUUGUAGGCAUGACCCUGGAUGAAUUAGUGGGGAAUUUAAGAACUUAUGAAAUAGAAAUAGAUGGAACUAAAUUUCUAGAAGCCCUAGAGGAUACCUUAGCUCUGAAGGCAUCUUACAGUGAUGAAGAAAUUAAACUUAAUAAAGAACAAGUUGCCUUUAUAGCUAAGAACUUCAGCAAAUUCUUAAAAGAAGAAGGGAACAUGUAGCAAGAAAUGGUCAAAUGACAAUCUAAAUGGAUGCUACAAGUGUGGUAAGACUAAUCAUCAUAUCAAGAAUUGUCCUUUCUGGGAAAUAGAAUAGAGAAAGGAAAGGGUUGAAAAGGAAUUGAAAGAAAAAAAUAAAAAAAGGAAAGAAUAUGCAAUGGUAGCAGCUUGGGGAUUUCACUCAGAUGAUAAUGAAGUUGAUGAAGCAGCACUCAUGGCUCUUAGAGAUUCAGACUAGGAGGAAGAAGAUGAUGCUUCUGAGGUAAGUAUACUUGAACUUAAAGAAAAUUUGCAUUUUUUUUCUAAAACAAAACUUAUUUCCUUGAUGAGUACACUAAUUAAUGACUUCCAAGAACCAAAUUUGAUUUUAUAGAUUUAGAAGCUUGCAAGAACACUGUUGAAUAGGAAAACUGCCCUCUCAAGAAACAGAUUGAGCAACUUGAUUCCUCAAAUAAUGAUCUUAAGUUUGAAGUUCUAAAAUUGACACUCUCUAAAAAAGGAAAAAACACCAAGAGUAAAGAAUAAGAAAAAGUUGAACUUGAAUUGGUCAAGUACACAGAAGAGUGCAAUAAUGCAAUAAAAAUGGUGAAUAAACUGAGUCAAGAAGUCUCUGAACUAAAACUUGACCUUGAAAGAGCAAACAGGUGGACAAAUUCCUCAAGAAUUGUUCAUAAGUUGAGUGAAAGAUAUCACAGUGAAAAAACUGGUGUGGGUUUUCCCAAAAGUCUUGAUGCUUAUCAAGACUUAUGCUAUAUUUGUGGAAAUCUUGGACAUCCAACCACUGAAUGUCCAGUUGCUGCCAAAAGCAUAUUCAACGGUCUAAAUCUAGCAAAUAAACUAUCUCAGAUCAAGAAAAGGAUAACUAAACCUGGUCAGAGAAACAGGUCACUUAACAUGUUGCCUGCAUGGGCUAGAAGAAAUAUGAUUCAUCCAUUUACUCAUAAGAAAGGACCCAAUCUUGUUUGGGUGCCUAAAGUUAACCCCUUAUUUGUUUUGCAGGUGAGAGUGAAAGGCGGCAAGCAAAAUUAGUGCAUAAAUGUAGCUUGCUCAAGGCAUAAGACUAGAAGAAAAUAAAGUUUCUUUCACUCACCACAUUUAAAUUGGGAAUGGAUCAUUUGAAAGAUGGCCAUAUUUGUAAUGCUCAUGUAAAGGGGAAGCAAAAGAGAUUUUAAAAAAAAUAGAAAAGAGGAUACUGUGAAACUGAUGAGCAUGCACAGGAACAUGUUGUACCACCUGGUUCAACUGUUGUACAGACUGAAGGCAUAUUGACAGGGGGAACAACAAAUAAAGAAAUAUAUGCAUCAAUAAAACCAACACAAGUUGCUGGUAAUUUUGUUUGUUGUUCAUAAAAAUUGGUGUUGUCAAAAGAAUAUUGAAAUAUCUCAUAGGAAUAAAUGGCUUGAGACUAUGAUAUCCAAAGAAAAGAAAUUUCACUCUUGAGGGCUAUAAGAAUGUUGAUUAUGUGGGUUACUUAAUUGAUUGGAGAAGCACCAAAGUCACUAAGUAGGGAGCAUUUUGAAAGGAAUAGGUUAGACUUGGGGAUGAUUAAAAUUGCAUGAACUCCCCUCAACGAUUGACUAGAAUAAUUAUUCUUCUUUUUAAUCUUAUUAGCUAAAAAGUUAUUCUAUUCAGUCUUGCACAUUUAGUUAUGUGUCCCAAUUCUAAAUUUUUAACUUUUCUAACCUAAUUCUGUAUUAGAUUGUUCAAAAAAAUUGGUACAAGCAAGCAAUUGUGACCACAAAGUUCUUCUUAUCAGGUAUGUUCUAAACUUACAUAAGCAUAGGCUGUCUAAGUUGAAACAGUUGAGUACAACUAUUCAAUUUCACACAUUUCAUCCUCUACUCGUCUAACAAAGCUAAUGAAUUGUUGACCAAACUUUCUUUGAUUCUCUCCAAAUGGGUGUGCACAAAUGUGUAAAUCCUAUACCAGAAAUUCCUUCUUCUUUCUUAACCAAAAUAUCAGUUGUGUACCAUAGAUUUGCCAAGCUUGGACAAGUACAGCGUACUGAACAUAGACACGCUAAUUAAAUACUAACAGAUAAUUCAAGACAACAGAUUCAUCAAGAAAAACUAUGAUACUCACAAAAAUUGUCAAAAGUACUUUAUCAUUUCUAGCAUACACAAGAUGAACCAAUGGUAUUUCUACCACUACACCAUGGAGAAAUCCGUGAAAUGUAGAGAAGCAAAAAGGCUCACAUUAAUGAUGGUCAAUUAUUUUUGUUGUACAUGUAUGAGUUUGCUUACUUGAAAUAGUUCUACUUUUAGUAGAGUAAGUGCUUGCUCUUAUAAGAGUGUGAUUGAGAGUGGAAACAAGCGAAGUGGAGUAGUAGUAGUUGUAGUUGUAAGAAAAUAGCACAUUGCAGCAAGUUAAGAAGGCUGCCUACUCAGAUUGGUUCUCGAAUCCAUGUGCUUAAGGUACAAUAAAUUUUUUCUGAAGUCGUAUGUCUAUGCUUUGAAUUUUUUAGAUCUUUCCAAUAUAAUAUAUCAUCAGAUUGAUCAGUACCCAAACUAUGAUAAUACACUUGCUGGUGUAAGUUUGCAUUUGUCUCUGUGGCAGCCUAUAAUUUUUCACCGUUCCUACAAAGAAAUAAUCUUCAUCAUACUUUAGAAUUAGUCACAUAAAUAAUGAAAAUCUUCUUACAGUAUCAGAUCAUCUAAAAGGUACAUAAUUAACAAUAACCAUCCAUAAUAAUAGCCAAUCGACUUAAUUUUACUAAUCAUGUAAAAGUUAUUUAUCUACAGAUAAAAGUUAAACUUUGAAACUCAACUUACCAUCUCUAUUCUUACUUGGAAGUUUAAAAUAUCUCAAAUUAUCCUAUUGUCAUUUCCCACAAGUAAAUAUUGUUGAUUGCAACUUCAAUAAACACCAACCUCUAAGAUGCUAUACCCACUGCCAUAUUUUCUACUUUGGACUAAGCAACUGUAAGAUUUUUGGCAUAGAUAUUUGUCAUUGUGAUAUGGAUACAUUAGUAAUAUUAGCAACGGUGUAAGUAAUACAUUCCAUGCCCACUCUAAAUAAUUACCGUUAUAACUAUGUAGACAUUACCAUAUGUAAGAACAAUGACAUGCUAUUUUUUUUCAUGUACUUAUAUUUUUUCAUAAAUUUUAAUUACUGUAUUAAACUUAUUAUUAUUAUCCUUUAAGUGAAUUCUUAUGAAACUGAUGUACCGAUAGUGCAAAAUCAAUCUUUAUUCAUUAAAGUUUUAAAAUGACAGUUAAAUAGUAAUAACCUGUUUUGAAAGUGUCAAUAAUAGUUGAUAUUUCAGAUUACUUAUGGUUCCUCUGUCAAAAUUAUCAUGAGAUUUCAUAUUUCUUUUAAAAUUUUUCAAAUUUGCAUAUUAAAUCAAAAUUCUGAAGUCCUUAUAUAUGGAAAAUAAAAAGAAAUCUGUUUUUGCACUAAGUAGAUGCAACAUACAGAAUUAAAAAAAGCGUAGACAAAGCAAUUUUAACAAAGGUAUCAUCUUUGAUUACCACUCACAUCUCUAAUUUAUAUGCAACAUCAGAAAUUAUUUUUAUAUGGCUCGAAAUAAUUGAUUUUUUCUUAAGGGAUGAACUAAAAUAACAUACAAAUAUCUUCUACAGGAAAAGGUGAAUCCUCAAAGAACAAAAAUCAUUCUGCUGAGAGUGAAGAAAUACUAGCACCAUUGGCUGAUAUAACAAAUGGUGAGCGACAAAUUCUUGAUUUAAUAUAAUUUAAAACAUACUUUCUAAUACUCUUCUUAUACAGGUAUGCAUGGUGACAACAUAUUGCCUGAAGGUAACACAACUUCAUUAGUUCUUUAAAUUUUUCAUCUGAACUAGAUCCUAAGUUAAAACUUUGUUACUUCAAUAUGAUUUUGCAAAUAAUAUAAUAAUAUAUUUUAUUUAAUUUGUAGAUGUACAAACACAUAAUUCUCUGCCGGAGUUAAAUGAAACUCCAAUAAUGGAAAGUAAGUAUUUUAAAUUCUCAUAAGUUAUCAAUUAAAAAUAAUAUACAUUGCAAUACAAACAACUAAUUAUUGUAUCAUUCUUACUAGAAAUCGAGGCAACAAUAAACAACACUGUCGUACAAGGUAUGUUCCUAAAAAAUAUUUAUUUAUCCUUACAAAUUACAUUAUAUUAGAAGUGAGUUUUUAAAUCAACAAUCUUAAUUUACAAAAAGAUUAUUACAUUUACAUCUAUAUACAAUCAUAAAUUUAUAUACAUAACAGAACAACUUCAACAUAACAUAGAAGAUGAAGAAUAAAAAGAGUAUCUAGGUAUGACAAUCAUACUUUGCUUAUUUCUCUUACUAAUUAUAUAUAAAACUAUCUUGAUACAUAUAGAUAAAUAUCAAAAAUUCAAACGUAUUAAUUGGUUUUGCCACCACUUUCUAUAGAUGUUGAUGUUGAAUGUGACGACAUUCGCAUUGAAGGUUCUUAUGAAAAACUCUUCAUUUAAGAUAAAAUAAUUUGAUCAAUUAAACCUAUAAUGUUAUGUCUUUAACUAUAUACACUUGCAAUUAUAGAAUAUUGGGACAUAGGAGAUGCUACAUAUGAAUGUGGAAACAGUGGAGCUAUUGUUUGGUAUGAAGAAAGAACACACAAGCAUUACAAAUCAAAAAAAAUAAUUUUCAGGUUGUGCUGUCAACAAGGAAAAAUAAAGAUUCCAUACCUUAAGAAGACUCCUCAAAUUUUGGAACAACUAUUGUUUGGAUCAGGUUAGAGAAUCAUCGGUUUUAAUAUCACCAUAUUCAUGUCUACCUAUAUUAACCUUCUUCAUUAUACAAUUUGUUUUACUAUAGGUCCUAAAUGUAGUCAUUUUCGAGAAAAAAUAAGGAGUUAUAAUUCUAUGUUCUAAUUUACAUCAAUGGGAGGAAAGAUGAAUGCCUCAAUUAAUCAGACACGAGCGGCAAGAAUAUUCAGAUUAUUUGGAUAAAAUUAUCAUUAAAUUGGUAGAUUAUUACCUCCUGAAGGAUCUACACCAAAAUUUGCACAGCUGUAUAUUUAUGAUACAGAAAAUGAAGUUUCAAAUAGAAUUAAUGCAGUUGGGUAAGUAUUGUAACAUCAUUAUAUAAUCCUAUGAAAUUAAAAAUUACUUUAAAGAUCUUACUAAUACAAUAUAUCUUUUUUUAGAAGAUAAAGUUUUCAUAUUAUAUGUCUUUUGUAGCCGUGGACAGGAUGUUAAUAAGCUCCAUGUUGAAAUUAUUGCUGAUUUAAAACAAAUGUUUGAUGACAAUAAUGUCUUGGUCAAGACUUUUAGAAUGGUGAGAGAUAAAUUUCAAGAAAAUGACUGCUCCAAUGUGAAGUUGAAACUAAUAGGAAAAAAGGGUACUGAUGGUAGGAGAUACAACCUACCAAUAAUACCAGAAUUAGAUGCUUUGGUGGUUGGAGAUAGUGAUGUUUCUAGAUCUAAUUGUGAUAUCAUUAUAGAAACACAAUCUGGAUAGCUGCAAAAGAUCAAUGAACUGAAUGCUGCAUACUUAGGCCUACAAUAUCCUUUACUUUUUCCUUAUGAUGAAGAUGGGUAUAGAGAGGACAUUCCUAUAAGUUCAGGCGAUAAGGGAAGGCAACGUGUUAGUGUGCGUGAAUUUAUUUCUUAUAGAAUUCAAGAAAGAAAAGGUGAAGCUCCUACCAUUGUGUCUUCAAGAAGAUUAUUUCAGUAAUUUUUAGUUGAUGACUAUACAAUGAUGGAAUCUUCUUGGCUGAAGUUUAUUCGGACUCAUCAAAAAUAAUUUAGAAUUGAGUUUUAUAAGGUCCUAUGAGAUUCAAUUUUACAUGGAGACACUGAUCCUUCAUCCCAAGGUAAAAGAGUAUUUUUACCAUCAAGUUUCAUGGGAUGUGCACGAUAUAUGCUUCAGAAUUAUCAAGAUGCUAUGGUAAUAUGCAAUUGGGCUGGAUAUCCUGACCUUUUUAUCACAUUUAUUUACAAUCGUAAGUGACCAGAGAUUAUUAGAUUUGUAGGAAGAAGGGGGUUGAAUCCUGAAGAUCGUCCAGAUAUUCUAAGUAGGAUAUUUAAAAUUAAAUUGGACCACUUGAUCAAUAAUUUGAAGGCCAAUCAAGUAUUUGGAAAAGUAAAAGCAGGUUUGUCAUAUUUACUAUUUUAUUUGAAUAUACAUGAGGACACUCAUAAAUCAUUAUAUAUAUAUUAUUCUAAUAAUUUAUUUCUAAUAAACUUACUCGAUUUAUAAUGCAGUGAUAUAUACCAUUGUAUUUCAAAAAAGAGAAUUGCCUCAUGCCCAUAUAUUGUUUUUUCUCUGUGCAUCAGAUAUUGAUUGAAUAAUUUCAGCAGAAAUACCAAAUAAAGUCAAUGAUCCUGAUUAUUAUGAUGUUAUAAAAAAUAUGAUGAUGCAUGGCCCAUAUGGUUCUACUAGCAAAUUUUCACCGUGCAUGCAGAAUGGUAAAUGUACGAAGAACUUCCCUAAAAAGUUUGUUCACACAACAACAGUUGAUGAAGAAGGGUAUGUUAUUGACAGAAGAAGGUAUAAUGGUAGAACCAUUGAGAAAAAUGAUAUUCAUUUGGAUAGCAGAUAUGUGGUUCCACACAAUCGCAAGUUUUUGUUAACAUAUGGUUCUCACAUUAACGUGGAAUGGUGCAACCAAUCAAGAUCUAUUAAAUAUUUAUUCAAGUAUGUCAAUAAAGGAUAUGACCGUGCUGUUGUUUUUUCACAAAAUACACAUGUUGAUGGUUCAUCAACUGUUGAUGAAAUCAACAUGUAUUAUAAUUGUCAUGUGAAGCUGUUUGGAGAAUAUUUAAAUUUCCAAUUCACCAUAGAGAACCACCUGUGAAAAGACUAUCAUUCCAUCUUGAAGAUGAACAAUGUGUUUUUUUUCUGAUGAGGAUCCAAUUGAAAAUGUUACUAAUAAACCAAUUAUUAGGGAAUCUCAAUUUUUAAGUUGGUUUGAGGCUAACAAGAAGUUUCUGAAAGCAAGAGAUUUGACUUAUGCAGAAUUCCCUCUUAAAUUUUGGUGGGACAGAAGUUCAAAAAAUAGGAAAAGAGAAAAAAUUCUGCAUUUUCUAUUGGGAGGAUCUUCUUUGUUACUCUAGGGAGUGGGGAGAUGUAUUCUCUCAGGUUGUUGUUGAAUGUAAUUAAAGGUCCAACUUCCUAUGUACAACUUAGAAGAAUCAACAAUAAUGACCACGCUACUUUUAGAGAUGCAUGUUAUGCACUUGAUUUGUUGGAUGACGACAAAGAAUACAUUGAUGCUAUAAAGGAGGCAAGUACUUGGCGAAUGCCAUCUUAUGUUCGACAAUUGUUCAUCAUGUUAUUGAUAGCUAAUUCAAUGUCAUGACCUGAAGUUGUUUGGCAAAUAUCAUGCCUGCUACUUUCAGAAGAUAUCCUUUAUGAAGAAAGAAGAUUACUGCAAAACCCAAAUACAAAUAAUACAAUUGAAUAAUAACAAAAAUAUUUUAAAAAUUGUUUCUAUUUAUAAUUCAAGUAUAUUUAUUUAAUUGCUAUACAGAUUAAAUAAAAAAUUCAUAUUAAUACCUGAAACAACUUUAUUACUAUUUCAUUUCAUUGGGUUGUCCCACUUCUAAAUAAUAAAUUAUUUUAAUAAUAUUAGAAUCACAAUUUUAAUAUGUAUCUAGAAAUGCAUAUUUCACUUCGGAUUUAGAGUAAUUUGUGUAGUUCACUAUCCAUCAUAUAUAAUGGUAUUCUACGAAAGAUUAAUAAACUUUAGCAAACAUCCAUAAAUUACAUAUAAAUAAAACUAUUUAAUUGACUUAUAUACAUGAUUAUGUGCUUUAUUUUUUAUUAUUAUAAUAUUUUUGUCAUUUAGUAGCAAAUCUAAUAGAUGAUGAAUUGAAAAAUUGUUGCUUGCAGAAGUUGGAUAAGAUUUUAAGAAGUUCCAGAAAAAGUUUUAACGAAUUUCCAACAAUGCCAAAACCAUGUUAUGGUCAUGAAGAAGUUAAUCAUGCCAAUACACUCAUCAAUGAGGAAUCAAGAACAUCAACAACUAUUAAUGCAAUUAAUAGUUGAGCAGAAGUAUGCAUAUGAUAAAAUCAUGACUGCAGUGAACGAAGACAAAGGGGUAUUAUUCUUUUUAUAUGGUCACAGAGGAACAUGCAAAGCUUUUCUCUGGAAAACAUUGUCUCUGGCAUACGCUCUAAAGGUGAUAUAGUACUAAAUGUUGCAUCAAGUGGUAUUGCAUCUCUGUUGUUACCAGGAGGACGGACAACUCAUUCGAUAUUUGCGAUUCCUCUAAAUAUAACCGAAGAUUCAACAUGCAACAUCAAGAAAGGAAGUCCAUUAGCUAAGUUGAUGGUUAAGGCAAAGUUUAUCAUUUGGGAUGAGGCACCAAUGAUGCAUAGGGACUGUUUUAAAGAUCUUGAUCAAACUUUAAGAGAUAUUCUAAGAUUUAAAGAUCCAUCAAAUUUAGAUCGGCCAUUUGGAGGAAAGAAGAUUGUUUUUGGAGGGGAUUUUAGACAAAUCUUGUCGGUAAUUACUAAGGGCAUAGGCAAGAUAUUGUUAAUGCAACAAUAAAUUCUUCCUAUUUAUGGACGCACAGUCAUAUUCUAAAGCUGACAAAGAAUAUAAGAUUGCAAGAUAUUCAAUUUGAUGCAGAUGUGACUGAGUUAAAACAAUUUUCUGAUUGACUUUUGGCAAUAGGUGAUGGAAGGAUGGGAUUUUCCACAGAUAGAACUAAGAAAGUAAAAAAUACCCGAAGAUUUUCUUAUAGAUAAUUAUGAUGAUCCAAUAUCUGGAAUUGUAGAAAGUACAUAUUUCAAUUAUUUGAAACAUUCUACUGAUUUGAAAUACCUUCAACAAAGGGCAAUUCUUGCACCUACUCUUCAAAUGAUGGAAUCGGUGAAUGAUUACAUGGUUUCUCUUAACCAUGGACAGGAGAAGUCAUAUUUAAGUUUGCAUGUCUGAUCAUUAAUUUACAUCUUUAGGACAUGUGCAUACACCUGAAUUCCUAAAUAGUAUUAAAUGCUCAGGUAUUCCAAAUCACUCUAUCACUUUGAAGGUAGGUGUUCCUGUGAUGUUGUUAAGAAAUAUAGAUCAAUAAGAAGGUUGGUGUAAUGGCACAAGAUUAAUCAUCACAAGACUCGAAAAUUGGGUAAUACUGAUAAUAAUAAUAAAAAAACUGACCUUUUUUUGUGUAUAAUACUAAUAAUAAUAAUAAUAAAAAAUUAAUUACGUAAUUCUCUUUUCCAAACUUAUUCCCUUCUUUAGUUCAAGUAUGCAACCAAGUUAAUGAUGAACUAAAUGAAUUAUUUUUGUAGAAAUUUUGUAAUCUUUUUCAAAAGAAUUAAUGAUGAACUAAAUGAAUUAUUUCGUCAUUUUUCUUAAAAUUAAUAUUGAAUUAAGUAGACUAUAUUAUAGUUUUUUUCCCCAAUUCAAGUAGACUAUUUGUCGUUUGAAUAAACAAAUGUCAUUUUUUGAUGUGUGGACAAAUAAUUUUAAUAUUUAACAUUCAACCUUUUGCAAAUUUAGUCACCCUUUUUAAGUUGGUCAAAAAAUAAUCUUUUGGUGAAUCGGUUUUAAAACGGACGCUCCUAAAUACCGUAAAAACCUUCUUAGCAAGGGCGACUCAACAAAGUUUGAGGCCUAAAGCCAAAAUUUGAUGAGAGGCCAAUUUUUAUUUAGUCUAGACUAACAAUAUAAUAUACUAGUGACUAUUAUAUUUUAAGAAACUUUCAUGGUUAGAUAAAUAACUUUUUUAUAUUUUCAUUUUAUAAUGAUCUCAAUUUUUUAUCACUAAAUAAAGAAUAAAUAUUUUCAUACACUUGAAUCUUCAAACUUAUUUUAAAGGUUUUUGUUAACAAAAUAUACUUUUUAUUUUAAAUACUCAAUAUAUAUAUAUAUAUAUAUAUAUAUAUAUAUAUAUAUAUAUAUAUAACCCUACUAUUAUUAAAAAAUGAGGCCCUCAAAUGUUAGGGGCCUAAAGCCCCUACCUUACUUGCUUUAUGCAAGAGCCGGCAUUGCUUCUUAGGGAAUUAAUUGAAUCCUCACUUAGUUUCUCUAAGUUCGAAGAUUUAUUUUUGUUUUUAAAUCUUUGAAAUCUGUUUAAGAUUUUUCUUGAUGUUUUUGAUAAAAAUCAAGUGGUUUUUCUAUAAUUUUUUUCAAAAUUAUUUUGAAUAGUUUGAAAAGGUCAAAAUCAUUUGUCCUUAAGUAACCAAAUCCGAAAAAAGGGCUAAACACUAUAUACCGAGUAACCUUCAAGACGACCUGUACAUAUGUACAACGGUAUUGAAACCUCGAAAGAAUUAUGAGAUACUUUGGAAUAAAAAUAUAAAACUGAGGUUACAGGAAUAAAAAAGUUCUUUGUUAUAAAAUUUCUUGACUUUAGGAUGAUUGACAGUAAAACUGUCAUCUCUCAAGUACAAGAACUGCAAGCAAUCAUCCAUGAUCUGCUAGCAGAAGGUAUGGACAUAAUGAAUACCUUACUUGAACAUAUUAAAGUUGUUCUUGAUAAUCACAAAACCUUUGUUGUAGGUUUAAUUAUGAAUGAGGCUUUUCAAGCAGUGGCUAUAAUAGAGAAGUUUCCACCUUCGAGGAAGGAAUUCAAAAACUACAUGAAGCAUAAAAGAAAGGAGAUGUCAGUUGAAGACCUCAUUGUGAGGUUACGUAUUAAAGAAGAUAACAAAGAAACUGAGAAAAUUUCAAAAGAUAAUUCUGCAAUUAGUGGAGCAAAUAUUAUGGAGGAUGACCCUAACAACUCAAAGAAAUGCAAGAAAGCAUCUGGACAAGAAAGCAAUCCUCCAAAGAAGAAAUUUAAAGGAAACUACUUUAAUUGUGGAAAGGCUAGUUCAUGGAUUGUCGGGCCCCUAAUAAAGGCAACAAGAAUGAUAAAGAUAACAUGGAUGAAUUCAAAAAUAAAGUGGAUGAUUUUUGUGUCAUACUUUUAGAAUGAAACUUGGUGGGUAAUCCUUGAGAUAAGUGGAUUGAUUCUAGUGCCACUCGCCAUGUAUGUGACAACAAGGAGAUGUUUGCUUCGUAUGCUCCGAUCAAGAUGAGGAGAAGAUUUAUAUUGUUAACUCUGCAAUAGCAAAAUUUGAAGGAAUAAGAAAAACUUUCUUAAAGAUGACAUCACGCAAGGUGUUGACACUCAAUAACGUCCUUCAUGUACCGAAGUUGAGAAAAAAGUUGGUUUCUAUAUCACCUCUAACCAAAAAUGAAUUCAAAUAUGGAUUUGUUUCUAAUAAGGUUUUAAUUAGCAAGAGAGAAGUAUAUGUAGGAAAGGGUUACCUCACUAAGGGCUUGUUUAAGAUCAGUGUAAUGACUAUUGAGAUCAAUAAAAGUUCUAUUUCUUCUUACUUUCUUGAGCCAAAUAAAUUGUGGCAUGAACAUUUAGGAUAUGUCAAUUACAAAACUUUGUGAAAACUAAUUAGUUUGAAAGUGUUGACUAACUUUGAGUGCAAUAAAUCAAAGUGUCAAACGUGUGUAGAAUCGAAGUAUGUUAAACAUCCGUAUAAGUUUGUUGAAAGAAAUUUCAAUUCCUUAGACUUAAUCCAUACAAACAUUUAUGAUAUGAAGUCAACACCAUCUCGUAGUGGUAAAUAAUAUUUUAUAACUUUUAUUGACGAUUGCACUAUGUAUUGUUAUGUUUAUUUGCUAAAUAAUAAGGAUAAAAUAAUAGACACAUUGAGGCAAUAUAAAAUAGAAUAUUUAAAUCAGUUAGAUAAAAUGAUCAAAAUGAUAAUAAGUGAUAGAGUUGGAGAAUAUGAAUCUCUUUUUGCAGAGAUAUGUGUAGACAAUAGAAUUUUCCAUCAAACUACUGCUCCGUAUUCACUUCCAUCAAAUGGGAUUGUGGAAAGAAAAAAAUCAAAUAUUAAAGGAAAUGAUGAAUGCCUUAGUCAUAAGUUUGAGUUUAUCACAAAACUUGUAAGAAGAAGCUGUCCUUAUAACUAACCAAAUACUCAAUAGAAAGCACCAUAAUAAGACAUAUUCAAUUUCAUAUGAAGAAUGAAAACAAAGGAAACUCAACUUGAAAUAUUUCAAAGUGUGGCAGUGUCUAGCGAAAGUUCAAAUUGUUAUGCCUAAAAUGAUAAAAAUAGAACCUAAGACUGAGGACUAUGUGUUCAUUGGAUAUGAUAAAAGCAGUAAAGCAUGUCGAUAUUUACUUCAUAAAUAUUAACAUCUAUAUAUCAAUGAAAAUAUGGUAAUUAAAUCCGAUAAUGAUGAGUUCUUUGAACACAUUUAUCUGUAUAAAAUUGGACAUGAGCUGUAUAGUGGAGGGUCUAAAUAACCUCGAGAUAAAGCAAACGAGAAUGUAUUUAAUGAUGAGAAUCCAAGGAGUCAUACACGUCAAAGAAGUCAAUGUACAUUGGAUAAAAUUUUGUGAUAUUUCUUCUUGAAAAUGAUCCUCAAAUGUUUAAAAAAGCGAUGUCAUCUUCGAACACAUUUUUUUGGAAAGAGGUAGUCAAUUGUGAGAUUGAUUCAAUCUUUAGAAACCACACUUGGGAGUUGGUUGAUCUUCCUCUGGGAAAUAAACCUUUAGGUUCUAAAUGCAUCUUCAAAAGAAAAAUAAAAAUUGAUGGUACUAUUGAAAAAUACAAGGAAUUACUUGUAGUGAAAGGCUUUAAAUAAAAAGAAGGUCUUGAUUAUUUUGAUACAUACUCGUCUGUAACAAAAAUAAUGUCCUUUUGGAUGUUAGUUUCCUUAGUGGUGGUAUACGGUCUUGAAAUAUAUCAAAUGGGUGUGAAAACAAUAUUCCUAAAUGAAGAAUUCACGGAAAAAAUUUCCAUAAAACAACUUGAGGGUUUUUUGGGUCUUGAUAAAGAAAAGAAAGUGUACAAACUUGUCAAGUCACUUUAUGUAAUACCCCCGAACUUUUCCUUAAGCUUAAUUUCGUCUCAUGAAGGCUAAGGAAUGACUUCCUAAGCGUGUAACAUUUAAACCAUAUAGAAUUUCCUUACUUUCAAUUUUUUAUCAUGUGGAAAAUUUAAUUAGCUUUUUAAUGAUAUAAGAUCCACCCAAAUCCGAUAAUCAGGCAAGAAGUUAUGGAAAAUUUAAGUCCUAGUCAUAAAACAACAUCAUUUUAGUGCUUGGCGCAUCGUGGAGAGGGUCUAUUUGAUAAUUAUCAAUUUCCAGUGGAACUCCGUGAUAGCGGCGCAUUGCGCUGAAGUUUAAGGUCCCAACCAGUGGGACAACGCGAUAGCACCGCAUCGCAGUGACCCCUAGAAUCCUGUUUGUCAAAUUCCAGUGAGCCACCGUGAUAGUGGCGCGUCACGGUGGUCCAUAAAAUUGGAUUUUCCAGUUCAAUUUUUUCAGCUUCGUACAGAAGUUAAAAAGGGAACUUUGGACUUUUUCCAUGCCUCUUGAAUCAUUCGAACACCUGAUUUAAGGUCAUUACAAGCACCUUAUACUAAUUUUCUCAAGAUUUCUCUCAACAAAAAUCCUAAGUACCCAAAACCUCUUCCAAGGAUCUCAAGAAUUCACCAUAGCUUUUCCAAUUUGAGUGAAGAUUCAAGGUUCACAAGUCAAGGGCUUCAAGAACCCUCAUCCAAAAGUACGAGAAAGAAUCUCAAGCAAGUUUAUCCACCCAAGUUCAUAACCUGAGGUAUGUGGGGUUUGAACAAGAGCACUUCUUUCGUUCUUGUGCCCAAAGAUCCAAUUUCAUUUUUUUUAUAAAUGAAUUUCAUGUUUUUGCAAGUAGGUCUAUACCUAAAUUAUAUUAUUUUGAGAAUAUGAAUUGAUAAGUUUUUCAAGCUUUGAAUUGUAUGAUUAUUUCUCUUAUAUUUUAUUUGAAUUGAUUAACUCAUGCUAUAAAUUGCACAUUCCUAUAUAGAUGUGAUAUUUUCAAGGGUUUCCAAGAUUGGUGUCAUGAAUUAAGCUUUAUUGUGAAAUUGUGAUCCUUUAAGAAUAUACAUGCCUUAUGUCCAAGGAUGAAUUGUUGAUACUUUCUAAAGUGUUUCAAGAAGUUUAUUGAUAUUUCUAUGCUAUUAAAGUUUUAAAGCUUAUUGGUGAUAGUCUACCAAAGUUUCAAGAAAAGAGUUGAUUUUAAUCCUAAGUUAAGAAAGAAAAUCCACACCAUUUGAUUUAAGAUAAAGGGAAGCAUAGUUGGCUUCCAUUGAAUAUUUCUAAGUUGUUUAAGGUGGAUUUUUCUGAAAAGUUUUGAGCUUAAGUAAGGGAGUAGUAUUUAGCACCGAGUUGGGCUUGAUUUCAAGGUCUCAUGCCCCAGAACUAUGAGCCACCGUAGGAUUUGAUUUACCCCAAGUGGGUUAAGCUAGUGAUCACUAAAAAGGUAAAGGUUCUACUCCGAUGGCAAGGAUAGAACAGCUCUCCCCAACAUGGGCAAGACGUUGGACUCCAUUAAGAUCACAUGGUUUAUGUCAACUAGAAGAAACUCCCAAGUGUCCCAAUUUUCCUAGAGUCUCAAAUCUUAAAGUUCUUAAGGUUUUAAGUCCUUGAGUUUCAAAGAAGUUCCUUGUUUUCAAAAGACUGAAGUGUAUGUUCUAAAAUUUAUUGUUUUAAGAGUUCAACUAGUUUACAAACUUGAGAUCAAAGAAAGAAUACAGAUUUAGAACAAAGUGUAAUGACUCACGUGAUUUAUACUACAUGUUUCAUUAUUCAUGAUUAAUGAGAGUUUUAUUCAAGCUAUGUGAGUCAUCUACAAUUCCAUGUAUGUUUUCUAUAAAGAUUUAUUACAUCGAUAUUUAACUGCAUACACCCCCAUAUACUCAGUACAUUCCCAAGUGCUGAUCCAUAUAUACGUCUGUGUGCUACAUUAUCUCAUAAUGUAGGUUCAGGUGCUCAGUCCUAGCAGCGUCAGUGAUCUCGAGUACCUUUAUCUACAUCUCCACUGUGGUGAGUCCUCAUAGUUCGAGGACCUAUCUCCAGACACUUCAGUAUUUUUAGUAGUUGUUCUACUGCUUUUAAUUCAGUUGAGUCAAUUGGGGAUCUGUCCCAAUGGAUCUCUAGUUUAUUGAGUAGUAGAGGCUUUGUCAGACUAGAUGGUCAAUAUGUUUAGAUUUGCAGUAUUUUGUUACCUUUACAGUACUCAUUCGGAUUUCAGUUAGACAUGAUAUGACAUAACUCCUUAUUUUGCUCUCAUUAUCUUUAAGUAAGCUUUAUGCUAAGUAGCAGGAUCAAAGGGUUAGCUUGGGGCUACUUGUAGCCUUAAGCACCGCGUGAUACUCCGGGAUAGGAUUUCGAGGCGUUACACUUUAUAGACUCAAACAACUAUCCAAAUAGUGGCAUGCAAAGUUUGGCCAAAUCAUGUUGGCAACAGACUUCAAGAUAAAUGAAUGUGAUAAAUGUCUUUACAUUAAAGACACUCCAAAUCACAAAGUUAUUAUCUGUUUGUAUUUGGAUGAUAUGUUGAUCAUCAAUAGAGAUAAUUCAAACAUAAAUGCUACAAAAUGAAUGUUUGAGAGCAAAUUUAAUAUGAAAGACCUUGGAGUUGCGGAUGUGAUCUUAGGAAUAAGAAUCUCUAAGAAUUCACAAGGGUUGGCGGUAUCACAGUCUCAUUAUAUUGAAAAAAGUACUUAACAGGUUCAAAUAUUUAAAUUUUGACAUUGCCAUGACUUUAUUAGACGUGAGCUUUGAACUUCAAAGAAUGAAGGUAAAAGUGUUUGACAGUUGGACUACAUAAGAGUGUUGGAAAGUUUGAUGUAUAUCAUGAAUUGUAUAUGACCAGAUAUAGCAUGUGAUUUUAGUAAAUUGAGUCAGUACACGAGUAAUCCCAAUCAAACUCAUUGGAUGGCAAUAAAAAGAGUUUUGAGGUAUCUAAAAGAUACUCAAGACUCUGCCUUUCAUUAUAAUAAAUAUCCAUCGAUAAUUGAAGGAUAUAGUGAUGCAAAUUGAAUCACCGAAUUGGAUGAAGUAAUAUCCAUGCGUGGAUAUGUAUUUACUUUAGGUGGAGGAGCAGUUUCUUCAAAAACAUCCAAAUAGACAUGUAUUUUCUACUCUAUAAUGGAAUCUAAAUUAUCGUGUUAGAUAAAGUCGGUGAAGAAGCUAAAUGGCUCCAAUAUUUUUUGAAAGAUAUUCCUUAUUAUCCCAAACCUUUGGCACUAGUAUGUAUACACUAUGAUAGUCAAGCAACGAUAUGUAGGGAAUGGAGCAUGAUAUACAAUGAUAAAUCUCAUCAUAUAUGACAGAGACAUAAUAUUAUUGUAGAACUACUCUCUAGUGAAAUUAUCAUUGUUGACUAUGUAAAUUCAAAGGAUAAUGUGUCGGAUCUACUUACAAAAGGCCUACUAGAAAAGGGGUAGAGAGAUUAUCGAAAGGAAUGGGAUUAAGACCUAGAUAAGUCAGCAUGGCAGUAACUCUACCUAGCAGAUUGUAGAUCCCAAGAGCUAGGUUCAAGGAGAUCGAACAAAGUUGUGACUGACGGUUCAACAUUGUCAAUAUACUCAAUCCAUUCUCACGAUGAAGACAAUGUUCAAAGAACAAGGAUAAGGCUUAUGGUUUGAAGCUUUUUAAUGAUUUCUAAGUUUGGUAGGUUCGACCAAAUAGUUUGAUCUAUAGGUUUAAAUGUUUAGGAAUCACCUAUGUGGGAGUGAAAUGGAAGCCGCUUCAAGGAAAAUGUUAGUAAAGGCCUAUUCUCUACACUCUCAUGAAAUCGGAACGUGUUCAUGGAUGAAAAGAACAAAAUCAUGAGAACCGAAAUGGUAUAAAGCUGGUUAUGUGACUUGUAUUGUCUAGAUGUGCAUUAAAGCUUGAUGGUUCCAGGAUAUCAAAUCUAUCAAUUGACCGAGUGCAUCUGAUGCAUGUUUACUACGGAAAGUUCAAAGAGAAAUCUACAUAUCUAGAUGCAAUUAGUCUUUACUUGUUGAUCGCACACUUGUCCGUAAAUAUUUUUUUAAAAUAGUUAUUCCCUAUUCAUGUAGGGGAUUGUUAGAUUUGUAAGGGGUGUGAAUAGAAAAUGAAUAGGCAUUUUUUCGGGAAGACACCAAGAGAAAUAAUGCAAUUUGAAGAGGCACAGUUUCCGUUUGGAUGGUUAUAAACUUUUUAAUGGAUUAUGACUUUUCUAAAGAGUUACACCUUUUUCAAAGAGUUGCACCUUUAUGAAGAGGUUCACCUUUCUGAACCAUUACUUCUCUUCAUGAAGCAACACCUUGAUGUCUAUAAAUACUAAUUUUUCCUCAGGUAAAGACACAAUUUUGAGUUGAAAAAUAUUCUUCUUCUUCUUCUUAUAAAAACUCUUGUGUAAUCAUCAAAUCAUUGAGUAUGUUCGAAGUUUCUACAAAUUUGAGGUACCACUAUUUUCAAAAAGAAAAUCAUUUUAUCUCGGGAGGAAAUAUUUCAUAACCUCGGGCACUUGAGGGGAAUAAAUUCCUUAAGGAAAUACCAUGCAUUCGGUGGACUUGAUUCUAUAAUUUUCUACUUCAUUUCUUUUUCUUAAAGUUGGUUUUACUAUUUUUCUAGAAAAUAGUUUGAACUUCGUAUUGAUAGUUCUUCAACUAUUUGAACUUGUGUUUGAAGUUCUUGAAAAUUCAUUUUGAUAGUUCAUAAGUUGGUUGAACUUGUGUUGAAGUUCUUAACAUUUGAUUUUUUUUUUUAAGAAAAUAGUACGAACUUCAUUUUGGUUGUUCAUAAGUUGGGUUGAACUUAUUGUUAAAAUUCAAAGUUGUGUAUACAUAGUUUAAACUUCAUUUGAUUGAUCAAAUGUUAAUUUGAACAUGUGUUUGAAAUUAUUAUUGAAAAAAUAUAGAUUUUACUAAGCCCGAGAAAAAUAAAAUGGAGUGUUGUCCAGUAAAGAACUCUUAUAUCUAAAAACUGAAGAUGGCGAAGAUGAGGAUGUUGUGAUAGGUGUGUGGACUUACUAGUAGAGAUAUAUUUAGAAAUUAGAUUAUUCGAUAGAAGUCAAGAGUUACUUUGGUGGAAGACAAGAUGAGAGAAGUGAGAUUGAGAUGUUUCGUGCAAGUGAUAAGGAGGUGCGUGGAUGCCCCAGUUCAAAGGUGUGAUAGGUUGGCUAUUGAUGGUUUAAGGUAAGUUAUAUAUAGGCCAAAGAAGUAUUGGAGGAAGGUAAUUUGACGUGACAAGAAGAAUUUACAACUUACAGAAGGCAUGACAUUAGAUAGGAAGGUGUUGCGAUCGCCUAUCAGGAUGGAGGGUUAGUAGGUGGAAGUAUAUCCUUGCUAGUAGGUAGGAGUACUUUGUUUGUAUCCGGGCAAGGGGUCAGAAGUGCUCUGCUUGUGUCUAGUCGUUUCCUGUUCGUAGUGUCUUGUAAAUAAUCAAUGGGUAUCUUGUUUCUAUUAUUAUCUAUUAAUGUGUUAUUCCAUUUUUUAUUUUGUUUUUACUAUGCCUUUUUUACUGUCUUGUGUCUUGAGCCGAGGAUCUAUCAAAAACAACCUCUCUACCUCAUCCGAUAUAGUACUAUGGACUAUGGACAUAUAUCCUCCUCAGACCAGACUUUGUGGGAAUACACUGGGUAAUUUGUUGUUGUUGAUAUACAAUUAAGAAGGCUGUGAGUUUUGCAGCUGUAGUUCUUCAAGAAAAAGAUUGUUUCAUUGAGUGCGAUUUUUCUUUCUUUAGCAGCAUUUCCAGACUAAGAGUUUAAUAUACACAAAGCAGAAUGUGAGAAGGAUGAACGGAUUUAUUGGUGAGCAUUCACAUUUACCUUAGACUACAACUACUCUCUUCGUCUCAAAAUGUCACGACCCAAUUACUGAUCAAGCCGUGAUAGGCACUCGGUGCCUUAACUUGGCCGAGCUGAUCAUAUUGAUUUUCUAAUGUAUUCUUAUUCAAAUAAAAAUAUGUGACUCAAUGCAAUUCCUUGAAAAGGAAAUAUAAUAUUCUCAUGUUCAAGUAAACAUUCUGAAAAUCUAUAUAAAAGUGUUUAUGAACUUUCUUAUCAUUGUACAAUAUAUGCAUGAUGUGAAUACAUAACUCAAAUUAUAAGACUCUCUCUAUAAAGUUGAAAUUGAAUAAAUAGUAAACGGGGCAUUCCCCAAUAGUAAUAACAAUGUGACAGAACAUAAUUAGUAUCCAGAAUGGAGCAACUACCGAUGGAAUGAAAUCAACGGAGCCUAUCAGCUGAACCAAAAAGAUAUUCCUCUAGCCACAAGUUUUGCCACCUGCACACUCAACACCUACCACAUGACAUAGUAGGCCCAAACGGGCUAUGUAUCUCCAAGGAUACCCAAUAAGUCUCAACAAUCUCCUCACUGAAAUUAGAAUGAGGUUUAAAUAAACAUGUACAUAAUAAAAUGAACUCUAAAAGGAAACAACUCAUAAAAACAUAGGUAAAUACUAUUAAAUUAGAGAAAUCACCUCUUACUCAAGUACAUAUCCUUAUCUAGAUUUUGAAUAGUUGAAGUGGACUGAAAUUUUCUUAAUUAUGCCUAGCUGGGGAUUAGUAGCCCUUUAUAUGGUUACUCAUAGCCCUUUAUAUGACUACCAAAUCUUUUGUGCCUUAGCAAUCCUUUGUACGACUGCUCGUAACCCUUUAUUCGGUUCCCAUAUCUUUUGUGUCUCACUGUGAUAAUGCUAACAACCCUUUGUAAGGCUGCUUGUAACCCUUUGUACGGUUACAAUUUUUUAAAGUUGAAUUAAAUCCUCAAGUUUUUAGAUUUAACAUAGUUAUUACACUUAAAGCACAUCAUAGAAUUCUUCACUUCAAAGCGUAAUAUUCGAAUCUUUAUAAGUUUUAGAGCAAGUAUAAGAAAACUUCAAGCAUAUAUUAUUUCUUCAAUAACUAUGAGUUUGUGACAUGAAUUUGAAAGCUUAAAAGAACAUUUAUUUUUCAUAAUCUUAUAACAUAAUCAAGGAUACUGUGAGCUUACUUGCUCCAAUUAUACCCAUAUUAUCAUAGAAGAACAUUUCACCAAACAUCUUGUGAGUAUGAUUUUCUUGAGAAAAGAAUUUUGGUAAAGACAAGUCUUAACUUACCUCAACGCUUUAAAUUCCAUUUAGUCCUUCAAGUUCCCAGAAUAUUCAAAACUUCUAUAGCGGCUAUGGCUGCUGGAGAAACAGAGGAAUCCCCUUUCUAUUUGCUUCCUCCAAAAACCCAUAUUCUAAAUGACCACAUAUGACCUUUGAGCUUUAAUUGCAUCAAUUCUCUAGGCAACGGACUUCUUAUUAUUAUUAUUGUAAAACUAAUAAAUGAAUGUGCAUUUGUGUAUAUGUGCUGCCAAGCAGAUCCUAGAGCAAAGGAACUUCUGUUUCACUUACGUAAAUUAAUAGUAUCCCCAAUUAGCUAUACUAUCGUCCUACGUUCAUUCCACUAAAUGGAAACCCAAGGAAAAUGGUGACAUUCCUUGCCCACUCGCAGAUAUGGGAGGCUGUGGUAAAGGAACAUUAAAUUUGAGAUGUGUUAUUUCUGACGAUUGGAUAUCACAGUUGUUACUGAAAGCUCAAGAAAUAGCACAUAAAUAUAAAUUGAAGGAACUGUAUACUGAUUCAGAACUGCAUAAUGGUGAAAAUGGUACUUCAGGUGGCAAGCUACGUAAGGAAGCUGCUCGGGAAAAUUCUGACAAAAAUUAUAUAUUUUGUACAGCAGCAGCUAGGGAUGCUCGGCGUGCAGAUUUGCGGCAUUUUCAACCUAUUUAGCAAAGGGUGAACCAAUUGUUGUCACGACGUUCUGGGUAAUGCCUUGAGAUUGAGCUAGGAACCAAUAGUAAUGCCGUGCUUGUCGAGAUACCUAGCGGACUACUGUUGAUGUUUUAAAAUGCUUAAAUUGGAUCAAGAAUAGAUGACUCUACAAACCUUACAACAAAGACUCGGAAAGGUCUCUAUUGGAGCAGGUGGAGUAGUUCGGGAUCAUAAGGAUGACCAAAUAACGGCUUGCUNNNNNNNNNNAGAGUUCUAACAACAUGGCUGAGACAACUGCAAUACCUUUUGGUUUAAAAUGGUGCUUUGACAAUGUUAUUUCCUUCUACGGGUACGUAGAAUCUGUAGAUGUAGAACAACAGCUUCAAAUAGUUCAAGUUUAAAACAAGAACUCAAUGAAGUACAAAAAAAAAAAUAUCCUCAACACAAGAUCAAAGUGAUCUUUCUUAGAAGUGUAUUUUAUUUUCAGAAAUCAAGAUGAAACAGAAAUGGCCAAGUUGCCCGAAUUCACAGACUUUCCUUAAGGAAAUAAUUCCCCUCACAAUACCUGAGGUUGCGGAAUUUUCCUCCCAGGAUAAAAUGGUCAAACAAACCAAUUGUAGCGGUACCUCAAACAAAUGGAAUAUCUUCGAACUCACUGAACGUUUUGAGUGAUCACACAGAAUAUUUUUAAGGCAAGAAGAGUGUUUUUAUUCUGAAAUUUUCGUACCAAAACCUGUGGAUGAAAGCAGGUUUAUAUAGCCACAAGAUGCCUCUUCUGAAAAGUGGCAAUGGUUCAUUCAAAAGGUGUAACCUUUUCUGAAAAUUCAUGUCCAUUCGUCCAAAAAGUGUGUCUGUUCCAAACAAGCAUGCCAUUUAGUGAAUCAGUGUGUCAUUUCGUUGAAUAAUUGCAUCCUUCUGUAGCAUCGGUUUGAAACAGUGCAACUUUUAUGAAGCGUUAGUUCAGUUUGAACAUUGCAUCUGUUACUGUUACUGCAUGCAUAUAAAUGGAGUAUUAAACACAUAAAAAAAAUUUUGCAUUUUUGUAAUUGAUCAGAUUUCGUCAAAUAAAGUUUGUCCAAAAAGAUAGAUCUCAUUGAUCGAUCAUUUGAAAAAUCCAAAUCUGAUGCCGAAGCUGAGCCGAGCGAGCGACGACAACGGCGCAAGGCAUCUCUUAUUUUUUGCCUCACUUAUCAAGUGGAGUAAGUGUUCUUGCUUAUAAACACUUUUAAGUUCUCUUCUUCCACCAAUGUGGGGGAAAGAGUAAACUUUCUAAUUUGGAAGUACACUUUCCAUUUUAGUGUCUCCUUUCCUCCACUAUUUUAUUCUCCAUUUUUUCAUUCACACUUCUUUCACAUAGUAUGAAACUAACAAUCCCCCACAUGAAUGGGGAAUAGCUAUUUUUCGUAAAAUUUUUACGAACAAGUAUGUAAUCAUCAAGCAAGACUGAUUGCAUCUGGAUAAGUGGGUUUUCCUUUGAACUUUCCAUGGUGAACAUGCAUCGGAUGCACUCAGUUAAUCGGUAGAUUUGAUAUCUUUGAACCGUUGAGCUUUAAUGUACACCUAGACAAUACAUGUCACACAACCAUCCUUUUAACGUUUAUGGUUCUCAUGGUUUUAUUCUUUUCAGCCAUGAACACGUCCCGGUUUCAUGAGAACUUAGAGAAUAGGCCUUUACUAACAUUCUCCUUGAAGCAGCUUCCACUUCACCCUCACAUAGGUGAUUUCUAAACGUUCAGUCCUAUAGAUUAAACUAUUUGGUCAAAUCUGCCAAAUUUAAAUAAUCAUUUAAAGACUUUUCACCUUAAGUCUUAUCCUUGUUUACUAUACAUUGGCUGCAUCAUGAGAAUUGGUUAGGUAAUUGACAAUGUUGAACCCAUCAGACACAACUUUGUUUGAUCUCCUUGAACCUAGCUCUUGGGAUCUCCAGUCUGCUAGGUAGAGUUACUACCAUGCUGAUUUUUCCUAGGCCUUAAACCCAUUUUCUUGGAUGUCCUUUCCACUCCUUCUCUAGCUAGGCCUUUUGUAAGUGGAUCUGACAUAUUAUCCUUUGACUUUACAUAGUCAACAGUGAUAAUUCCACUAGAGAGAAGUUCCCUAACGAUAUUAUAUCUCCAUCGUAUAUCAUGCUCCCUACCGUACCUAUAGCCGCUUGGCUAUCACAGUGUAUACAUACUGGAGCCACUAGCUUGGGCCAAUAAAAAAUAUCUUCUAAGAAAUUCCGAAGUCAUUCUGCUUCUUCACCGGCUUUAUCCAAUGCGAUAAAUUCAGAUUUCAUUGUAGAGCGAGCAAUACAAGUCUGUUUGGAUGAUUUCCAAGAGGCUGCUCCUCCGCCGAUAGUAAAUACAUAUCCACUUGUGGAUUUUACUUCGUUCGAUCUGGUGAUCCAAUUUGCAUCACUAUAUCCUUCAAGUACCGCAGGAUAUUUAUCAUAAUGCAAAGCAUAAUCUUGAGUGUAUUUAAGAUACCCUAAAACUCUUUUCAUUGUCAUCCAAUGAGUUUUGUUAGGAUUACUCGUGUACCGGCUUAAUUUACUAAUAGCACAUGCUAUGUCUGGUCGUUUACAGUUCAUUAUAUACAUUAAACAUCCCAAUACUCUUGUGUACUCCAAUUGUCAGUCACUUUCACCUUCAUUCUUUCGAAGUGCAAAGUUCACAUCCAAUGAAGUCUUGGCAAUACCAAAUUCCAUAUACUUGAACUUGUCAAGUACUUUUUGGAUAUAGUGAGACUGUGACAAUGCUAACCCUUGUGGAGUUUGAUGGAUUCUUAUACCUAAGAUCACAUCUGCAACUCCAAGGUCUUUCAUAUCAAACUUGUUCUCGAGCAUUUGUUUGGUUGCAUUUAGGUCAGAAAUGUCUCUGCUGAUGAUCACCAUAUCAUCCACAUAUAAACAAACAAUGACUUGGUGAUUUAGAGUGUCUUUAAUGUAAACACAUUUAUCACAUUCAUUUAUCUUGAACCCGUUUGCCAACAUGGUUUGGUCAAACUUUGCAUGCCAUUAUUUAGGUUCUUGCUUUAGUCCAUACAAUGACUUAAUAAGUCUAUACACCUUAGUCUCCUUCCCUGGAACCACAAAACCCUUAGGCUGUUCCAUGUAUAUUUCUUCCUCUAAUUCUCAAUUUAGGAAAGCAGUUUUCACAUCCUUUUGAUGGGUUUGAAGAUCAUAUACCACUGCUAAGGCAAUUAACAUUCAAAUUGAUAUUAUUCUUGUUACUAGCGAGUAUGUAUCAAAGUAAUCAAGGCCUUCUUUUUGUUUGAAGCCUUUUACUACAAGUCUUGCCUUGUAUUUGUCAAUAGUGCCAUCCACUUUUAUCUUCCAUUUGAAGAACCAUUUAGAACCUAAAGAUUUAUUUUCGGGAGGAACAUCAACCAAUUCCUAUAUAUGGUUGCUUAAGAUUGAAUCAAUGUCACUAUUGACUGCCUCUUUCAAAAAGGAUGAAUCUGAAGAUGCCAUCUCUUCCUUAAAUGUUUGAGGCUUAUUUUCCAAAAGAAAUGUUAUAAAAUUCGAUCCAAAUGAAGUAGACAUUCUUUGACGUAUACUACAUCUUGGAUUUUCUUCAUUAUGUACAUUGUUCAUCUCGAGGUCGUUUAGAUCCUCUACUAGACUGUUCAUGUCUAAUUUUAUACAGGUAAAUAUUUUCAAAGAAUUCAUCAUUGUCUGAUCCAAUUACUUUAUUUUCAUUAAUAUCCAGAUGUUUGGAUUUAUGAACCAAAAAUUGACAUUCUUCACUACUUUUAGCAUAUCCUAUAAACAUACAGUCCACCGUCUUAGGUCUUAUCUUAACCUUUUUAGGAAUAGGAAUGGACCUUUACUAGACACCCCCACACUUUAAAAUAUUUCAAGUUGGUUUUCCUUCCUUUCCAUUUUUCAUAAGGAAUUGAUUGUGUCAUACUAUGAGAAACUCUGUUGAGUAUAAAAUUGGUUGUUAGCCCCCCCCCCCCCCUCAUAAGUUUUGCGGUAAACCGAAACUUAUAGCAAGGUAUUCAUCAUUUCCUUCAAAGUUUGUUUUUUUAUUUUCGCAAUUCCGUUAGAUUGAGGUGAAUAUGGGGUCGUAGUUUGAUGGAUGAUUCCAUUCUCUACACAUAAUUGCCUGAAGGGAGAUUCAUAUUCUCCGCUCUUAUCACUUCUUAUCAUUUGGAUCUUUUUGUCUAACUGAUUUUCAACUUCAGUUUUAUAUUGCCUAAAUGCAUCUAUUGCUUCAUCCUUACUAUUUAGCAAGUAGACAUAAUAGUAUCUAGUAGAAUCAUCAAUAAAAGUUAUGAAAUAGUUUUUCCCAUCAUGUGAUGGUGUUGACUUCAUAUCACAAAUGUCAGGGUGUAUUAAGUCUAAGGGAUUGAAAUUUCUUUCAACGGACUUAUAAGGAUGUUUUGCAUACUUCGAUUCCACACACGUUUGACACUUUGAUUUAUUUCAUUCAAAGUUUGGCAAAACUUCUAAGUUAAUCAGUUUUCGUAACAUUUUAUAAUUAAUAUGGCCUAAUCGCUCAUGCCAUAAAUCAUAAGACUCAAGUAAAUAAGAAGAAUUUGAACUUUUAUUUAUUUCAACAGUCAUUACAUUCAUCUUAUAAAGGUCCUGGUGAGAUAGCCUUUUCCUACAUACAUUUUUCCUUUGCUAAUUAUAAUUUUUCCAGAAAUGGUUACACAUUUGAAUCCGUUCUUGUCUAGAAGUGAAACAUAAAUUAAGUUCCUAUGUAAUUCUGGAACAUACAAGACAUUGUUAAGUGUUAAGACCUUGCCCGAAGUCAUUUUCAAGCACACUUUCCCUAUUCCUUCCACCUUAGCAGUAGAGGAGUUAGCCAUGUAGAUCAUUUCUUCAACUUGAGAUGAAGAAAAUGAUGAAAAUAAUUCUUUGUUGGCACAAACAUGGCGGGUUGCACUAGGAUCCAUCCACUAUUUGUGAAGAUUUCCCACCAAGUUGCAUUCUGAGAAUAUAGCACACAAAUCAUCGCAUUCUUUGUUGGAUUCAAUCAUAUUUGCUUGAUCCUUUUUCUUUCCUUUCUUUAGGGCACGACAAUCCAUGGAUUUGUGGCCAAUCUUUCCACAAUUGAAGCAUUUUCCCUGGAAUUUCUUCUUGGGUUGAUUUCUUUCUUGUUCAAUUCUUCCUUUUCUUAGAAUUAUUUUGAUCAUCUUCUACAACAUGAGCUCCAUUAAUUCUAGAUUCCCUUUUGACCUUCUCUCAGCAGCCUUAUUAUCCUCUUUAAUACACAGUUGGAUAAUAAGAUCUUCAACAGUCAUUUCCUUGUGUUUAUGCUUCAAGCAGUUUUUGAAGAUUUCCAUGAAGGUGGUAGCUUCUCAACUAUUGCUGCUACUUGAAAUGCAUCAUUCGUCAAACCUACAAAAAAGUUUAUGUGAGUAUUAAGAACAUUUUUAAUUUGGUCAACUAAGGUAUUUUUUGAAGAUAUACCUUCUGGUAAGAGAUCAUGUAUGAUGACUUGCAACUCCUGCACUUGAGAGAUAACCGAUUUGUUAUCUAUCAUUUUAUAGUUCAGGAACCGUGCAACAAGGAAUUUCUUAAUUCCCGAAUCUUCUAUUUUAUAUUUUCGUUCAAGUGCCCCCCAUAAUUCCUUCAAUGUCUUAGUUCCACUAUAGACAUUGUAGAGGUCGUCUUGGAGACCACUCAGAAUAUAAUUCCUGCAAAGGAAGUCUUAAUAUUUCCAACCUUCUACAAUUAUGAAAUGCUCCUUGUCCGAGGUUCCCUCGGGCACCUCAAGAGCGUCUUCGCUAGUGAACUGUUGUAGAUACAAAGUGGCGAGGCAAGAACAUCUUUUGCUGCCAUCAUUUAAAGUCAAUGCCUGCAAAUUUUCCGGGCUUCUCCGCCGGUGCCAUUAUAGGCGGAGCAUUUGUACGACUUGAUGUGGCAGUAUUACUUCCCCCACAAAUGUUUCCGCAUCUUGCAUUUGACUAUCGCUUGUCAUUUUUCCUGUCACCACAAGACAAAAAGUACUUAGUAUUUUCAGAAUACUACUUAUAAAGUUAAGUAACUUUAAACCUUUCUUCUUGUUUCUAGUUGACAAUGAAAUUUUUAUGACUUCCAAUUGUUAACCGCAUGAUCUUUAACUUGUGAUGAAGUUUUUAUGACUUCAAAUCACUAGUUAAGUUUAUGCGGAGUAGAAAUUUAAAACUUUAAUCUCUAAAAAAAAGCUAUACAGAUUCUUAAAAUUAUUUUCUUAAGAUUGUUAUUUCCUUCUACGGGUAUGCAGAAUCUGUAUAUGCAGAACAACAACUUCAACUAGUUCAAGUUUAAAACAAGAACUCAAUGAAGUACAAAAAAAUACCCUCAAUACAAGAUCAAAGUGAUCUUUCUUAGAAGUGUAUUUUAUUUUCAGAAAUCAAGAUGAAACAGAAAUGGCCAAGUCACCCGAAUUCAUGGACUUUUCUUAAGGAAAUAACUCCCCUCACUGUACUUGAGGUUGAGGAAUUUUCCUCCCAGGAUAAAAUGGCCAAACAAAUCAAUUGUAGCGGUACCUCAAACAACUGGAAUAUCUUCGAACUCACGAACGUUUUGAGUGAUCACACAAAAUAUUUUUAAGGCAAGAAGAGUGUUUUUAUUUAGAAAUUUUUGUACCAAAACCUAUGGAUGAAAGCAGGUUUAUAUAUCCACAAGAUGCCUCUUCUGAAAAAUGGCAAUGGUUCAUUCAAAAGGUGUAGUCUUUUUUGAAAAUUCAUGUCCAUUCGUCCAAAUAGUGUGUCUGUUCCGAAUAGGGAUGCCAUUUUGUGAAUCAGUGUGUCAUUUUGUUGAAUAAUUGCAUACUUCUGAAGCAUCAGUUUGAAACAGUGCAACUUUUAUGAAGCGUUAGUUCAGUUUGAACAUUGCAUCUGUUACUGUUACUGCAUGCAUAUAAAUGGAGAAUUAAACACACAAAAAAUUUCCUACAGUUUUUUCAUUGAUCAGAUUUCAUCAAAUAAAGUUUGUCCAAAAAGAUAGAUCUCAUCGAUCGAUCAUUUGACAAAUCCAAAUCCGAAGCCGAAGCCGAACCGAGCGACGACGACGGCGCAAGGCAUCUCUUAUUUCUUGCCUCACUUAUCAAGUGGAGUAAGUGUUCUUGAUUAUAAGCACUUCCAAGUUCUCUUCUUCUACCAAUGUGGUAGAAAGAGUAAACUUUCUAGUUUGGGAGUGCACUUUCCAUUUUAGUGUCUCCUUUCCUCCAUCAUUUUACUCUCCAUUUUUCCAUUCACACUUCUUUCAUAUAGUAUGAACCCAAAAGAUAAUAGAUAUCAUAGAAUCGUACUAGAAAGUGACUCUAAUUAUAAUUUAGUGAUUGAUAUUGGAAUAUAGGAUGAGUGAUAUUUUGUAUUCUCUAGGAUAAGAACUUUGUUUGGCUUGGACGUUGGUAGAUUAUCACGGCUACUUAAUGUGCUCUUGUGAAUUUUGAUUGUAUAUGAUGACAACAAAUACAUGGAGUAAUGUUAGAGUACGUGCCCUACUGAUUACCUUAUUUUAGUCUAGUUGUUGCUAUGGAUGGAACGGGUUGCCUAGCGUGUUCCAGUGAAAGUAGUAAAGACAAUAAGUAGGGAACAGAAUUGUUUUUACAUGGAAAACACCCAACUCAGAAGGUGUAAAAACUACGACCUGUACCUCUAAAGGAUUUAACCAUAACUUCACUAAAUAACUCUGAGCCUCAACAACGACUGAUUACAAAACUCUUGUAACCUAGGAAUUAUAAACUCUAAUUCCUAUAACUCAAAAACUAGAAAUUAUAAACUCUAAUUCCUAUACCUCAAUAACUAGGAAUUAUAAAGUCUAAUUCCUAUAAAUCAAUAAUCACGCUUGACUGUUGAACCCACUUUGAGUUUUCCCAAGUUGAAGUUAACUCAUCUUAGUAUUUUUCCUAAGCAACCAAUAUAGGAAAUCAAUAAAUUACAACUCAAUAAGAACAGUACAAUUAAACUGACUCAUGAACUAUAAAGCUUAAUCUGUUAAAUAGGCUCAUCAAUUUGUUUCUUUGUACUAGAAGAACUUGAAUCUUCAGUCAGAAUUCUCUUAAUUAUUAACUUUCUCAAUUUGAUUGUGUUUAGCCUUUUAUCUCUCUGUAAGUGCGCAAGUUACUCUAAAUGAUACGUCUUCUUUUUAAGCACAACUCUCCAAAAAGUCACUCUUUAUUUCAAACUUCCCCUUAAUCAAAACUCUCAUUACUUAGAGUUAUACUUCAAGUGAGACUCAUUCUUCAAUUCCAACUCUUUCCUUCUUAGUGUUGUAGUCAAACUCUAAGUCUUCAAAUUAGCACAUAUUUAUUUCCUUUAGUUUAUUAGAAACAACCACUUAUCUGGUCCUUGAUUCUUGAACCCUUGUCUUUAAUCAUCGAUGAUUUUGCUAUAAGUUCAACUAUAUGAGACAAUGCAUUUGUGAACCAGCUUGACUGACAUGUUUAAUAUCAUGUUGUCAAUCAUUAAAACUACAUAGUACGCAACAAGUUCCAUAUUUUUUAUGAUGACAAACCUCUUCUAUUUGUGCAUUCAAACAUCUUUACCUAUAGGCACUGAAGUAUGAAAUACUAGAAUGAAACAGGUUAGUCAAUGAGUUAUAAACACUAUACAACUUAUUUCUUCCCCCUUUUGGCAUCAUUGAAAAACUACCUCAAUGCAAUAAUAUACUAUCCAAAGUGAUUAGUUAUGCUAUUCAUGGCCACUGGGCUAUCACCAAAAUAAUCAGAUAAAGACUCUAGCCAACAUAGUAAUGUAAUAAAGAGAGAAAGAACAUGGGUCAAUUGAGCAAUGAUAACCAUUCUAUUAAUCUACUAGAAUAUGUUCCACAUUAAACCUAAGCUAGUACUGAACAAAGCAAAAUAACCGAGCAUUAAUAAAAAAGAAAGCGGUAUAAAAGUGGGAAAUAGCUAAGGAUACACAUAGUGAGGAGCAGAUGAGGAAGGUGGAACAAGUGAUAUCAAUUAUGUCAAUUGAUGAAUGACUUAAACAUUUUUAGCCAUUUCUAGAUAAAUUUCAACCUCCAAAAUGAUUAUCCUAGUAUGAAGGACCUCCUUUUCCACUUCAUGAAUGCUUUGUGCAACUUCUAGUUUAGAAGUUUUCUCAGAUAAAGCAUUUCUCAGUUUUUCUUUUUGCAAAGAAGUGUUAGACCUCCUUAUUGAAAUAGGUAGAGCAACAUGAUUGAUCUAUUCAAGAACAUCCUUUGUUGUUUGAAAAAUCAAACCUGAACUAGGACUUAGAAUUCCUCAAAAAUCUGAGUCAAUCAAAAACUAAAAGGAAGAGCAUGUCCCUUUCCAUCCUUCAAAAACAUAUGUUGCAUGUGCUUGAUGAUCAAGCUUAGAGAAUUUAUGGUGCAAAAUAUGAUAGUUUGGUUGAGAGGAAAGAAAAAAUUUCUGGUGUAGUGUUAUAUCUUGGUUUUUGGCCUUGGAAUUUUUCCUGGAACUGUUCUCCAGACCCAAUACAACUCAUGGGUACGAGUCAUAUAUUGGGGUACGAGUGGUAUGGUCUAGUUGUAUGUUAACCAGUGUUGGUUGGUGGAAUGAUGGGUUAUUGGAAUGGAUACGACUUAAGGGAUAAGAGUCGUAUGGUUGAGUACGAGUCAUAUCUUAUACUCGUAUAGGGGAUAGUGUUAAAUCCUCUUGGUAUUCUAUUCUGCCAGGGAUACGGAUGGGAGGUAUGGAUUAUAUGCAUUGGAUACGAAUUGGUUGGAUGAGUCUUAUACUUGAAAAUAUUGGGUCCAAGGGUUGGGGUAGUAUAUGAAAAGUGGGUACCACUCGUAUUGAAAGGAUACGACUCUUAUGGGUCAAUCAUCUCCCUGUGAUGGGAUUUUGUGCAACUUAAGUAGGGUUAUUCUGGGAAUUUCCCUAUUUACCCUAAUAAGACCCGACGACUUCUAACCUACUUGGAAGAGUAUUACCCUAUUUUUUUACUCUUUAACACUUAGAAACUAUUCCUAAACACAUCAUAAUUCUCUUAAGAUCUUCUAGGGCAAGAAAGCUAGGGUUUCAUCUCGAGGACUAAUUUAGAGCUUGCUUUGGUGAUUUCUUUCCAUCAAUUCUUUUGUAUAAGGCAUGUUCACUUUCCUUAUUUUUACUUCCAACUAAAGGUAUGAUUUUACUAUUGGUUUUCAUGAUUUUAUUGUUGAAUGGUUUUGGAUUUAAAAUAUAAUUUGGGGGUUUUGUUUAUAUAUGGUAGGUUAUGGUUUCCCAUGAUUUUAAUUAUGCUUUUCUAUGCAUUAAUGGUGGUUUUGGAUAAUUGAAUUAUAUGGGAAUGGUUGUUAGUAAUUGGAAUUGGUUUUGGAUAUAUAUUAUGCCCCUAAUGUAUUUGACAAAAUACUUAUAAAGAUAUGUUCAUUGCAUUGAAUUCUUUUAAAUGGAACUUUUUCUUGUUUUAAACUUGGUAAAGGAUUUAUACAUGGAUUAAAUGAUUUGGAAAGGUAAAUGGCUAAACGAGUAUGCUUGUGGGUUAAGGAUUCCCCCAAGUAGUUUUAACAUGGUAAUUGGAAGGACACCUAAGGUCCCCUUACCUAUAUGUGGUUGGCUACAGAUAGUACUUGCAACUAUGGUUGGUUUGAUGAUACCACCACUAAAUGUCCUCGGUUAAUAAAUGGUAAAUGGAUUGCUUGGAAAUGAUUUUAAUUGGUCAUUAUUGGGGGAAGUGUAGCUAAAUUGUGAAAGGCGGAGGUCCCGAGGGAAACAAAAUUGGAAACUCAUAUUUGCUGGUAUGAGAUUGGUCUUGAUGGACCAUGUGCAUGAAGUCACACCUCAUAUUGGGGGAUGUACUAGUCAUCACAACGGGAUAUUUUCCUGGUCAUGUGGCUACACACACUGGGGCCUUUCAGUAGGGAGAGAUGAACCCAUAUUACCCGUGGGUGCUUUAGGACGGCAAAGCUACACAACCUAAGUAAAGGUUUUAUAUGCAUGCUAAAUACGGAUUUCCUUUUUCGACACUUAUAUAUAUGUGUAUGGUUGUAUGCUUUAUGGAUGGUUUUACUUGGUUUUAUAAAUGGCAUUAUUUUAUCCUUAUCCUGAGUUCAUGCCAGCGGUCGCUUAGUAACCUAUCUACUGGCGGUUGUAUACCCAUGCUAUGCAGGAACCAACCAUUCUACUCCUCCUGUCUAGCACUCAACCUCGAUAUCAACAUUUGGACUAAAGUGGUGAGCGUCUAUCCUUUCGGAAGGCUCCAUUUCAUAUUAUGGGCAUCUUUGGACAUUUUUAUUUUAUUUUGGAUAUUGGUUUUGGCCAUGGUUGAGGGCAUGUCCCAACCAGAUGUUUUACUCUUUUGGAUAGAGUCUUGGUAGUACUUCUGGGGGUUGGUAUAUCUAAUCCAAAUUCGCAGUUGCAAUAACUAUCAAAAUGCAAGGAAUGUUGUAUCUUGUAUUUCAUACCCUAUUGGAAAUGAAAAAGACACCAUAUGUAAGCCUAUAUGGUCAAAACAUAUACUGUAAAUAACAACUAGUCAUUUCAAUACACAUCUAACAACAUCUAACACCUAGGCUCGUAUAUGGACAAUACAUAAAAAAAAUAAUGCCUAUAAAUAAGACAUUUCAUUACACAUCUAACAACAUAUAGUAAGUGAUGUAUAUGUUAGACAAAUACAUAGGUAAUGUCCAUAGCCUGAGACACAUAAGAAAACUGAAAACAUAUACAUAAAAAAUAUGAUGUAUAUGGACUAGGAAAUUCAUUACAGGUUUAAUAACAUAUGCAACUUAUUUAUAUGUUUUACAUAUACAUAUGUAAUAUCCAUUGCCUCAAACACACAUUACACAAUAAAAUCCAAAACUGAAGUUAUGUAUAUGUUCAACAACAUGUAAUGAAUAAUGUAUGUGUACAAUACAUACAUACUUACUAAUAUGUACAUUAGUAACCACAUAUGUAUAUGAACUACAAAUAUCAAUAUAUUUCAACCAAACACAUCAACAAAUAUGUAUAUGCAGAAUAUAUACAAAGAGUUAUUUUGUAUUCGCACAACCAGUUUCUAAGAUAACUUCUAACUUAUGAAAAACCCCAACAACUCCAUAAGAACAAACAACCACAGACAAUUAAUUAACAGUUUUAAAACCUCAAAUUACUUACAAAAACACAAUAAACCCAUAACAAAAAAAUCAAAAUUGAAAAAUCUGAAAUAUCUUUGGUAAACGUGGUUGUCCAUUAUCAUCUUUUUUGGAUUUUCUUGACGAUUCUCCAAUUUAUUUUUUUGACUUUAAAGUUGUAUAUUUGUUAAUCUUUUUCAUCUUGAUGGGGUCGUUAUGAUUUUUUUAUCUGUUUUCAAUAAAGUUAGGCUCCUCGUAAUCAAAUACUUCGGGAACGAACCCAACUAACGGAUUUGUUGUUUUGGUAUUUGAGUUAAUCCUAAACUAAAAGAAGGAGAAUCAUCCAUUAACUAAGUUGUUAAUUUAGAACUUGAAAUAGACAAUUUUGAAAAGAAAAAAAGAUAAUGCAGAUAUUCAAACUAUGAUUUGAUAAAGUAGAAACCCAAAAAAUUACUUAAUAAAAACAUGCAAUAAUUUCUUCUUUCCAAAAAUUCAAAAAUUUCGACUAGAUAAUGAAAAUAAAAAUUUUAAUAUUCCUCAGAUCUUAAAAAUUAAGAACGUUAAAAGAAGAUUAAGUUGAAAUUGAAUACCAUUGACUAGCAGUUGGACUCAAACACGGUUGAUUUCAAACAUGAAAACCAACCCUUGAUUCUAGCCUUUCUUAAGGGGAGAAACAGUGAGAGUGAAAGAAAAUUCUAUGUAUAUGUAUUUUCGGAGAGAGAAAGUUAAAAAGUGGAAUUAAUGUAAUAUGUUUAGGGAGAUGGAAUUUUUUAUAAUAAAUGAAACAUAAGUUCUAGGCUUGUGUAAUUUUUAGUUAUUUUGGCCAAUUCUUGGGUCAUGUAAAAUAUAGUCAAAUUAGAUAGGAAUUUAGUUAAUUCAUUAAGAUCUUGAUCAUAUUGACAAGUAAUCGACUAAUUUGGAUUAUAAUUUUGGCCUAUUUAAUUUUAAUUAUGGUCAUUCCAUCAUUUACAUGACUUUCAGCAGACAUUUUGUUGUCACAAAGAGACAACAGACUUAGUAUGUUAGAAUACUAAUUAUAGAGUUUUAAAAACUUUAAACACCAACUUGUUUCUAGUUUAACGAUGAAGUUUUUAUGCUCUUCUAAUCAUCAACUGAAUGAACUUUAACUCGUGAUGAAGUUUUAUAUCUUCAAAUCACUAUUAAGUUCAAACAGAGUAGAAAGACAAAAGUUUUAAUCUCCAGAAACACAAAAGUACAGAGAGUUCAAUGAAUCGAUGAAGUUUUUAUAUUCUUCAAACCGAAUUCUCACAUUGAUUUCUCAGUGAAGUUUUUAUAUUCUUCCAACCAAGAGAGUAGAAGAUCACAAGACUUUAGUCACUACAAAAUCAGUCUCAAUACAAAUUACAAAAGUCCUUCGCGGUGAAACAAAUUUCACCAAACAAGAACAAACAAUAUUUUUUUUCAAUAAAUUCCUAAAGAUUGUUAUUUUUUUCAAGUUUAAUCAGUAAAAUCUGUAUUUAUUUAACUAUAACUUCAAACACAUAUUCAAAUUAAUAUAUGAACAAUCAAAUAAAUUUUAAACUCUGUAUAUUCAACUUUGAACUUCAACAAUAAGUUCAACACAACUUAUGAGUAACCAAAAAUAAAGUUCAUACUAUUUUCUUGAAAAUUAAAAUCAAAUGUUAAGAACUUCAAUACAAGUUCAACCAACUUAUGAACUAUCAAAAUGAAGUUUCAAGAACUUCAAAUGCAAGUUCCAACAUUUGAAGAAUAUCAAUAUGAAGUUCAAACUAUUUUUUUGGAAAAAUAGUAAAAUAAACUUUAAGAAAAAGUGAUGAAGCAGAAAGUUGUAAAAGAAGUCCACCGAAUGCACGAUAUGUCCUGAAGAAAUUUAUUCCUCUCAAGUACCCGAGGUUAUGGAAUCUUUCUUCCUAGUAUAAAAUAAUUCUUUUUCUAGAAAUAGCGGUACCUCAAAUUUUCAGAAACGCCAAACACAUUCAUUGAUUUUAUGAUCACAUGAGAGUUUUUAGAAGAAGAAUAUUAUUUUUUAAUUCAAAAUUGUGUCUUUACAUGAGAAAAAAUUCAGGUAUUUAUAGCCAUCAAGGUGUUCCUUCAUGAAGAGAAUUAAUGAUUCAGAAAGGUGCACCUCUUCAUAAAGGUGCAACUCUUAGGAAAAGGUGUAACUCUCAAAAAAGUCACAACCCAUUAGAAAGGCUAUAACCAUCCAAAGUGAAAGGUGCCUAUUCAAAUUGCAUCCUUUCUCUUGGUGUCUUUCCAAAAAAAAUACCUAUCCAUUUUUCAUUCACACUACUUACAAAGCCAACACUUCUCUCCAGACAACAUAACUAUUUGGACUAUCAUUUCAUAGAACUUGUCUUUUAAUUUAGGGUGCACCUUAUUAUCACACAAGAUUCCAGAAAUGAGCCUUCAUUCCAUCCACCCUAUGUCAAUACGGUAUGUAACAUUCUCAUCAAUCUCUUUAUUUUCUUGGAUCAUAGACCUAAGAUACUUGACACUAUCUUUCUUUCGAAUAGAUUGGGAAUUUAACUUCACUACCACACCCAUCUCAUGCGUCAACUAACUGAACUUGCACUUCAGGUAUUCUGUAUUGGUCCUGCUCAACCUAAACAAUUUAGACUAUAGGGUUUGUCUCCAAACCUCCAACUUAUCAUUAACACCUCCCCGAGUCUCGUCUUUUAGAACUAAAUCAUCUGUAAAUAACAUACAUCAAGGUACCUCCGCAUGAAUAAAAAUCAAUACAUCCAUUACCAAGGAGAAUAAAAAUGGACUAAGAGUUGAUCCCUGGUGCAACCCUAUCAAGAAAAGAAAGUUCUCUGAAUCUCCACCCAUCAUUAUCACUUGAGUCUUUGUUCCAUCAUACAUAUUGUUAAUCGACCUAGUAUACACCACAGGAACACAUCUUGCCUUCAAGUACCUCUAAAGAACCUCUGGGAAUUUUGAUGUAAGCCUUCUCUAGAUUGAUAAACACUAUGUGAAGGUCCUUAUUCCUGUUUCUAUACUGCUCUGCUAAUCUACUCACGAUAUGAAUAGCCUCAGUAGUCGAGCUACCUGGCAUGAAUCUGAACUGAUUCUCAGAAAUAGUCACAAUCCUGACAAGAGGAAAUCAUGAGACACCUAUUUUACUUACAACAACACUAGUCUUAGUAAGCUUAGUUCCUUGGGAUGGGAUUGAAAAUUCUUAGACUAGAAUUGGAUAGGAAUUUGCCUUAGGCUUUUUUCGGGACUAGCAGUGCAUCCACCUAACCCUUGUUUUUAAUAGAAUGUCUAGAAUAGCCUUUUGUUGGCAUAAAUUACCUCUUUUUGAUACCUUGACUGAUUCGUGAAUUUUAGGAUGACUUAAUCAGUUUGUUAAGCCUUAACUAGCCUUGUGACCCCGGUUGGUAUAGUAUUUGACUUUAAACCCUAUAGUUAGUUUGUUAAGCCUUAACUAGCCUUGUGACCCCAGUUGGGGUAGUAGUUGACUUUAAAUCAUAUCACUUUACUUAAUGACUAAAAUAUUGUAUCGCUUAUAGAAUUGAUUGCCUUACCUAGGAAUUUAAGACUACUUGGGUUCAAGAGAAAUUAUAAUCUUAGAUCAUUAUUACAUUUAUCUUAAUUAAUAUUUUCAAUUUCAGUCAAGCACCUUGCAAUUAUCUUGUUACUUGUCAGAGUGCAGUUCGAUCUUGACAUUUUGCUAUUAUGGUAUUGUUUUCUAGCUUUAGUUCAAGUUUGGUAUUGAUGAUCUAUACACAACAUUUUAUUAUUAAGAUAUUGUUCCCUAGUUUCAAUUUGUGUUCAUCAUUUAUGAUCAAUUUGGGUACUAAUUUGGCAUUGUAAACCCGGUAAGGGCACAAACUUGAGUUAUGACUGGGAAGGAGCAUCAAGAAUGCUUACUAUGUAUUGGCUCGCACUAUACUUACUAUUGUGGUUAAUUUAUCAUCAUAUUAGUGUUACUAUUUUCUUGUACCCACCGGACUUAUGGGUGUUUGAUUGGGUUAUUCUCUUUUUUUGUGUGUCUUUUGAGCUUAUGAGGGCCUACUUAGGUUAUAGUUAGACUUUAUUUUCAUUCUUGAGCUAUUUUUCUCAUAUGUAUCACAUCCAUUCAGUAUGAUCCAUUAUCUUCCAUUUAUAUCCUUUAUUCUUGAAUUUAGUUUACAUUCUUGUAAUUUAUUUUACUUUUACUGUGAUUUAGCUCAGUCGGCCUAUGAUGCCUUCUGAGUACCCAUAGUUUUGGUACUCAUGCUACACUUUUGAAUCUUUUUUCUGAUAUAGAUCCGAAUACAAAUCACUACUUUUAACGUUAUCCUCGGGCUUGCUGCUAAUUCGAAGAUAGGGUGAGCUUUUCCAGUUCGCAGUUGAUCCCCGUUCUUCUGCUAUUUUUGGAUGUCUUUUUAUACAUUCUAAGAAUAUGAUGUAUAUUUGACUCUGUAUAGUACUCUAUUUUGAUUUAGUGGCUAUUAUGCCGAUCUUACCAGGUCAUGGGGAUCUCAUUUUUUGUAUUUUGUCCUCCUCCCUCUAUUGUAUAAUACGUUUGUAUCUAUUUACCAUUUCUUUUAGUUACUUCGUGUUUUGUUUGAAUGCCUAUAAAAACUUGUUGGAAUGCCUUUAGUUUUUAUUUUCAAGUCUUCCGCCGGUUAAUCCGUUUCUUUUUUGUUUUGAGAUAUAGUUUGGCUUACCUACUUGUGGAUUAUAGUAGAUGCUAUCAUGACUCGAGAAAUCGGAUAGUGAUAAAUCAUCGUUGCAAAUAUCGAUAUAUCGAGUAAUAAACUGAUACUAAAUACAAAAUAUAAAAAAAUUUGAUAUUAUGCAUCAAAUAAUGUUGUUUUACGACAUUUAGUAUAGAAUGCCAUUGGUUUUACGACAUUUAGUAUAAAAUGCUAUUAUUUUUGUCUCAUUCAGUAUAAAUAUCAUUUUUUUGUCAUUUAGUAUAAAAUGUCAUUGUUUUGUUAAAUUUCGUAUCAAAUGUGUUGUUUUUUUGACAUUUUGUAUCAAAUGUUGAAAAACUCUUUAUUUCUCAAUAUUUGUUUUAAAUGUUACAAAAUAAAUGUCGUCAGGUCCUCACUUUCAAGUAAUGUGAAAUGCCUUUUUAUUUUCAACAAUCCACUAAUGAUAUGAACCAAAAUAGGAAAAUCAAAACAAUACGAAAAUAAAGGAAAACACUAAAUACAAAACACAAAACAAGGAAAUGAAAAUAAUAAAAGUAAAGUAUAGAUAGAUUAACACAAGAGAAGGAACAUAAGCAAACCACAAUAUACUAAAUUGAGGCCCUCAAAUGUAAUCCAACUACAAGCACCAAUUCUCUUACGAAGAUCCCUAGUGAAGCUAAUUCACUCGCAACCUAUGUUUCUCAACUAAUCGAUAAGCUCUCAACAAAAGAGUGGAGUCAGUUUGACUUGUAUCAUCCUCCCUUCUUGAAAAGAAUUAGUCCCCGAAUCCAACUCUUUUAUCGACUUGUCGUCAUACUUUCCAAGCUUGAAAUCCUUUGGUAAGAACUCCACUACUCCUUCAAGCUCAUUUUCAUUAGGCACUUUCCUUCCAUCUUUCUUUGAAGUUUUUUGUUCAUGAACCUGCACAAAGAAAGGAGUGACACUAGGCAAAAUGCUAGUAUCGUGGUUAGUGGACCUAAGAAGAAAAGGGUCUUUGCAUAAGGGUAUUUUGAGUGGUUGCACAAUAUUUUGUGGAGCCUAGUUUGUAUUUGUUUGGGUUGAGGAAACAUGUUCUUGAGGUCUUGGGGCACAAUUUUGAUGGAUGAACCCCGGUGUAGUGGCAGUUGUUAGGUUAAUGAGUCAGUUAUCCAUGCUCGCCCACUUAUCUUCAAUACAUGUUAUGGUUCUGUUUAUUUUCUCCACAUUUUGUUGCACUCCCAUGAGAACUUCCAUAAGAGUAUCAAGGGUUGCUCCACCCAUGGCUCAGUAUAUGGUAGAAAGAAGAUGAAGCAACUAUGGAUGACUCAUUUAAAAGUAAAAACAAUUGACUCAAUUAAGUAGUAAAGACUUGAAUUCAAAUGUUAAACUAAGAAAAACAAAAGACAAAUGAAAGAAAAGACACAAGGAAUUAGGAUACAAAAGAAGAACAGACGAGAACUAAAUAAACAACUAAGUAGUUUUAGUGUUAGUUUUUAAUUAGUGUUAAGAAUCAAAGAAAUGAAAGGAGGAUUUAAGAGAUGAAUUUAAUGAAUUGAACCUGAGCAAAUGAAGUGUUUUGAUAGUUGAAAUGCAUUGGAACAAGGUUGAGGUGCGUUGGAAGUGUGUUGGCAGCCUUGGCACACCUUGAAGGCAAGCCAAAGGACAAAGUGGGCUGCCUUGAGAUGUGGAAGUAGAUGGGGCGCAGAUUGAGGGAAGGUUGGAUGCAGGAGGGGACUGCUCUACUGGUUUGACCUGUGUUUGGGGUGCUGCAGCAAGUCAGCAACAGACCCAACGCAUACCAGGCGCAAGUCACCCGCCCAACAGCUUCAAAGUUGUACUUUUGUCCUCUCUUUAGGAAUAUUCUUUAGGAUCUUCAAAAGGUGUUUUGUACCAAUAUUUUUUCACACUUUUUUCAUCACUUUUGAGGAUCAAACACCACCUUUUGAAGAAAUUUCAAAAUGAAGAUUUGAAUCUUCCUCAAGAACACCAAGAACUCAAAAAAUUUUCAACUCUUCAACCCUUCAUCGGAAUGCGAUGAAAUUUUGAACCUAGGCUCUUCACCUUCUAAUCGCAUUCCAAGCAUCAUUAUACUCAAAUUCCUCAUCAAAAUUUUCAAAUUUCAAAACCCAUUUUCAAUUUCUUCGAAUUCAAGCUUCCAACAAUGGUAGAAUCUUCAAUAUAGCUCCGAUGAAGCUCAAAUUCAAUAUUUAGANNNNNNNNNNNNNNNNNNNNNNNNNNNNNNNNNNNNNNNNNNNNNNNNNNNNNNNNNNNNNNNNNNNNNNNNNNNNNNNNNNNNNNNNNNNNNNNNNNNGAAUAUUUUUGUGAUUUUUUAAUUUUUCAAGACAACGAGACCCAAGAUUGUCUUCGUGGGAAUGAAAUCAAGUCCUACUCUGAUACCAAAGAUUGACUUUAAUUUCUAAUUGGACCCAUAGCAUGAGUAUUAGGCUUUUGGGUAUUUUUCGGCCCAAUUAAUAUUUAGGGUCACUUUAGAGCCCAAGUUGUAAUAAGUGGCAUUUGGCCUAUAAAUAGCUAGGACUUUCAUUUUAGAGAUGGUUGAAUUUGAAUGAAUGUAUACACUUUAGAUUGUUUUAUUGAAGCUUGUUGGAAGCUUUAUGAAUUGUGAAGAAACGUGGGUUGCAUGGGAUUCCAUUCCCGUGAGAUCCUCGUAAGAGAUUGGUGUUUAUAGUAAUUGAUAGGAAGGUCUUAGGAUUUGAUAUACNNNNNNNNNNNNNNNNNNNNNNNNNNNNNNNNNNNNNNNNNNNNNNNNNNNNNNNNNNNNNNNNNNNNNNNNNNNNNNNNNNNNNNNNNNNNNNNNNNNNNNNNNNNNNNNNNNNNNNNNNNNNNNNNNNNNNNNNNNNNNNNNNNNNNNNNNNNNNNNNNNNNNNNNNNNNNNNNNNNNNNNNNNNNNNNNNNNNNNNNNNNNNNNNNNNNNNNNNNNNNNNNNNNNNNNNNNNNNNNNNNNNNNNNNNNNNNNNNNNNNNNNNNNNNNNNNNNNNNNNNNNNNNNNNNNNNNNNNNNNNNNNNNNNNNNNNNNNNNNNNNNNNNNNNNNNNNNNNNNNNNNNNNNNNNNNNNNNNNNNNNNNNNNNNNNNNNNNNNNNNNNNNNNNNNNNNNNNNNNNNNNNNNNNNNNNNNNNNNNNNNNNNNNNNNNNNNNNNNNNNNNNNNNNNNNNNNNNNNNNNNNNNNNNNNNNNNNNNNNNNNNNNNNNNNNNNNNNNNNNNNNNNNNNNNNNNNNNNNNNNNNNNNNNNNNNNNNNNNNNNNNNNNNNNNNNNNNNNNNNNNNNNNNNNNNNNNNNNNNNNNNNNNNNNNNNNNNNNNNNNNNNNNNNNNNNNNNNNNNNNNNNNNNNNNNNNNNNNNNNNNNNNNNNNNNNNNNNNNNNNNNNNNNNNNNNNNNNNNNNNNNNNNNNNNNNNNNNNNNNNNNNNNNNNNNNNNNNNNNNNNNNNNNNNNNNNNNNNNNNNNNNNNNNNNNNNNNNNNNNNNNNNNNNNNNNNNNNNNNNNNNNNNNNNNNNNNNNNNNNNNNNNNNNNNNUAUUUCAAAAUAAAAUUUAUAUAUUUAUAAAUUAUAUUAAAGUAGUUAACAAUUCAAAAUAUUUAUAAGGCAUAUAAAAAAAUCGUGGUAAAAAAUCCUCACUUAACUCUUGAAUUCAGAAAUUGUCAUAUAAAUUAGGAUCAACGAUUAACACUCUUGGAAUAAACAUCUUUAAAUUAGUUUACUUCGUCGUUGAAAUCUAAGCAAUUAUCAAUUAUGUCUAGGAUCUUGAUUUUGGCAUUAAUAUAAUAGAUUAUUCACAGAAAAUAUUCUUAUUUGUGAUAUCACCAAGGAACAGAGAAUUAUUUUUAUAUGGAUAUACAUUUUAAAAAAAUUACUUUCUACAGUUCAUGGAAAGCCACAAUGUGCAUGAAAAUGUUUUUUAAAUUUCUUUUUGAGUUAGAAUGCAAGUCUUGAUCCACAAAAGGGCAGUUCAACACUAUAUAUACUUGCCCAACAAAAUACAUAUUCAUCCAGGUAUAGUUUCUUGACUACUAUUCAUUUGUUUUCAUCUUUUCUUUUUAUUCUUCUUCAACAAAAAGGAAAAGGAGUUAUAAUGUCUGGUUUGUCCGCACGUUUUGUUGGAGUAGUAGUGUUGUUGCUUGUUCUUGCAAGUGGCAUCGUUUCAGCCAACAUUGAGAUGGGCAACAGGCGCUUUCUUGGAUCAUCAGCUGGCUCAGCGAGUGGUGGUGGCGGCGGCUUAAGAGGCAGUGGACUUGGUGUUGGUGGGACUCUUAAUGAUGUAGGAAGUAUUGGUGUUACAAGGGCUGGGGGUUUGCUUGGUGGUGCUGGUGUUGCCUCUGCUGGUGGGGGAAAUUAAACCUGAUUCAUUCAUAAUUCUAUCUACUGUUCCUUCCGAAAAAUGGAUGUAUUUCUUUAGUUUAAUUGAUAAGUUUGGUGUGGUUAAUCAAAUUCUUAUGUGUUCCUUUAAGCUCCCUUUGUUUGAUUUGAAGCAUAUUUUCUUGUUCUAUGUUCCAUUUUUCUUAUAUUGUAUNNNNNNNNNNNNNNNNNNNNNNNNNNNNNNNNNNNNNNNNNNNNNNNNNNNNNNNNNNNNNNNNNNNNNNNNNNNNNNNNNNNNNNNNNNNNNNNNNNNNNNNNNNNNNNNNNNNNNNNNNNNNNNNNNNNNNNNNNNNNNNNNNNNNNNNNNNNNNNNNNNNNNNNNNNNNNNNNNNNNNNNNNNNNNNNNNNNNNNNNNNNNNNNNNNNNNNNNNNNNNNNNNNNNNNNNNNNNNNNNNNNNNNNNNNNNNNNNNNNNNNNNNNNNNNNNNNNNNNNNNNNNNNNNNNNNNNNNNNNNNNNNNNNNNNNNNNNNNNNNNNNNNNNNNNNNNNNNNNNNNNNNNNNNNNNNNNNNNNNNNNNNNNNNNNNNNNNNNNNNNNNNNNNNNNNNNNNNNNNNNNNNNNNNNNNNNNNNNNNNNNNNNNNNNNNNNNNNNNCUCCAUUAGAUGAGAACUAUUGCUAAUGGAGCCGGAGACUCGAGAAGAGAGGCGGAACUACUUGAAUCAAGUUGGGGGAUAUCCAUGGUGUAGUGGUAGAAAUCCCAUUGGUUCAUCUUGUGUCUGCUAGAAAUGAUAAAUUUUAGUGAGUAUCAUAGUGUUGCUUGAUGAAUCUGUUGUCUUGAAUAAUCUGUUAGUAUUUAAUUAGCGUGUCUAUGAUCAGUACGCUGUACUUGUCCAAAUAGCCGUAGCAACUCUAUUUAUAAUAGUGCAAAAUUUACUUUAAAUAGAAAUUCUAAAACCUUUUACGAUACUAUUUUGACUAUAAUUAUCCCAUUUAGUCAAAAAUACAAUGUUGGUUUUCAAAACUUCCAGCUAUAGAAUAUGCUAAUGAAGAAAUAUCCUGAAAUGUUAGCCAACUUUUAUACCCUUCAAUCUAAAAUCUUAUGCAACUUGAUUUAGUUUUUCAAUAGUGUUGUCCGAAUGUUUACGCCCAGCCAAUAAACACAACACGUCAUUUUAUUGAUCUCCUUCUACUGUUCCCUUAAUUCCUAGUUAACUGUUGUACUACAUUCUACUAGUAUUUCUUAAGUUCAGUGCAAUUCUGCUCAGUAGUUAUAAUAUACAUCAGCGUUUGUGUUGGAAAUUUGAGAUGUUACAGAAAAUAAUUGUACAAGGGUCAUAUAAAAGUACCAAAAGGAUAUUACGUUUCUUAAGGCCUGAAGUUUAUACCAUCUUUAAUGUUGAAUUAAAUGAUUGGCUUUCAAGAACUGGAUUUAUUUUUUUUAUCACUAUAAGUAUAUUUAUAACGAUUGAAUUCAUGUACCUUUGUUAACAAUUCGUUGUUACAAAUCCUAGUUCUUGUAGCUGAAGUUGCUCCGACAAUUUAUGAGUUUGGUUAUGUAUAAGUGUAAGUACCGAGAUUGAAUGAAGUUCUGAUAGUUGACCAAGUUUUUAGGAAAAAUUUAGCAGGAAAAACUACAACAAUAACAUAUAUCUAGAGUAAUCUCGUAAGUGAGGUUUGGGGAGGGUGAUUUGUCCACAACCUUACCCCAGCCUUAUGAAGGUAAAGAGAUUGUUUCCGAUAGACCAUUGCCUCAAGUAAAGCAUAUCAAGUAAACUAAUCACCUUAUGCAAAUCUUUGCUCCUGUGUUCUGGUAGUUUCUUGGAGACAAGUUGUUGAUAAAUUUGAUGUUUUGUUUUACGGGGCAGUUGAGCAAACAUUUUUCUUCGUUGUUAUGUUGUUAUACUCUGCAUUUUUUCAUAUCAGGUGGUUCCCUCUAUGUGUUGUUGGGGAACACUCCUGUUGUUGUCAUUCUUUUGUAUCGCGCCAUUCAUUUUUUGUACUUCUCCAUUUAGUAGCAUGUUCCUAAGUAUGCUAAACGGAGUGUCCCUGCACUUAUCAUCAGAGUGUCCCUGUACUUUGCAAUUCGAGCAGAAAGACGGCAUGGUUUCGUAUUCAAUCCUUUGUAUAGAAGUUCCAACUUAACCCUGUGCAUUCCUUAUUACCACAGAGUUCUCAUUUAACAACGGCUUUGUUGGAUCUAUCUCGACCCUCAUUUUAGCGGUUGUUGGCCUCAAUUGGUGGGUGUGGUCUUGUAUAUGAUCAGGGGAGUUCCGAUAGGAUCUACGAUGGUACAAGGGUCAUACAAAAGUACCAAAUGUAGGCGAGCAGCCCUUUUAGCUCCACAAAAAUUUACUUUGUGAGAAUUUUCUUAACUAAAGGUGAGGGGGUGGGCGGAGGGUGGAUUGGGAAAAAAGAAGCGCCUCUUUUUUAUUCAUAAUUUGGUUUUUGUGACCGGAUAAUAUGUGUUUUAAGGAAAGUUUAUACCAUCGUUAGUGUUGAAUUAAAUAUUGGCUUUUCAGAACUGAAUUUUUUUGGUUGCCAUAAGUAUAUUUAUAAGGACAGGAUUCAUGUACCUUCAUUAAUAUUGGUCGUUAAAAAUCCUAGUUCUUGUAGCGGAAGUUGCUCCAACAAUUUAUGAGUUUGGUUAUGUAUAAGCUUAUGUAACGAGGUUGAAUGAUGUUUUGAUGGUUGAUGUAUUAUUCUAGAGGGAAGGAAGAGAGUUAAUUAAUUGUUCAUCUUGACUAGCUUAACUAGAAAGGUACAUAUUACUGCUUUUUCUCAACUUAUAUAAUCCCAAAUAAUCUACUGGAAGACCGGAGUAUCCUGAAAAGAGGAGAGACGGAGAGCGUGAAAAGUGACAGUUGGAAUAAAAGGGUUCGGGAGUUUCUGUAAUCUUCCGGUUUCAGGUGAAUAGAGUAUGAAAGAAGCAAUUCUCACUUAACUGAUUGCCAAAUCAAGGAGAACCAAAUCAGGGCCUCUCUUGCAAGAAAGGGUUGGGAAGUACUCUUACGAUACACAAGAAUGAAUACAAGAAUAUUGAAGCUGUUAUAUAUGAUCCAAUUAGUAAUGCUAUGGAAUGGGAUAAACAUCCAUUCUGAGAUAUUAGAGAUAAUCAUAACCGAGGCUUGGGGAGAGUGGUUUGUAUGUAACAUUAACCCAACCUUCUGAAUAGAAAGAGACUGAUUCCAAUAGACUAUCGUCUCAACUGAAGCAUAUUCAAAAAGAAAAAAAAAAACAAGUAAAACAAAUACGGUGGCAAGGAAGCCAUGCGGAAAACAACUAAAAAAAAGAAGAAGCAACCACAAAAUGUAUGAUAACUGAAGCAAAGAAAACAACAAGUAACACUAAAAUUGAAGAAUAAGACAAGCAAUACUAACAGUAGUGAGCGACUACCUACUAAUUUCUAUCUUACUCAUUGACCUCCAUAUAUUCCUAUUUAGGGUCAUUUCAACGAUUGGUAAGCUACGGUAAUCACCUUACUGUAGAAAAUAGCAGAAGAAAAGUAUGAUUGAGAGACCUUCUGCUAGCCCAAGAUCGUUAACUAAGAUCGGAAGAUUCAAUUAAAGAAGAAGAAGCUAUGAAAGAGAAGCUUUGUUAUUGAAGAAGACUUCUUUAAUUGGAUUGUUUUGGGGUUUGUUACAAAUGUUCAAUGUGACUCCUAUUUAUAUUUUCCCGUGGUUUGUUACAAAUGUUCAAUGUGACUCCUAUUUAUAUUUUCCCAUGGAUGAUUCUAGAUAUUCUUCUAGAUACAUCCACAAGAAAAUUCUAGUGCUUUAUUUUCUACUCUAGAUAUUUUCACAAAUUGCUUAUCCAAGUGACCAUACUAGAUUAUUCUAGAAACUUAACUAGAAAACUAUGAUAUUCAUUCACUAGACUAUUCUAGAAAUUUAACUAGAAAAGUAUGAUAUGCAUUCUGCCAAAAAAUCUACUCUUGAUAUUUUUCACACUCCCCCGUAAAGUAAUUUUUUGGAAGCUAUCCCAAACUCGUUGCAGAAGAACUCAAACAAAGCUUUGAACCAUGUCUUGGUAAAACUCUUAGCAGUUUUUUCCCAACUCCUCUUUCUUCUUCCAAUGAUGAAGAUUUUCUAUCAUUGAUUUGUCAUUGUUGAGUUUUAUGAUGUUGACUUUUUGAGCUCCCCCUUUUUCUAAACUCCUCUACAAAUUCAUUAUCCGGAGACACACAUAUGAUGCAAAAGUUUGAAGAUUUAGGAUUCAAUAUCUUAGAACUUAUUCUUUUUUAAGCAACUCCAUAACACAAAGAUAUUUCAUUGAUAUUACACUCCUCGUUUAAUUCGACGAUGAUCUAAUCAUCAAUUUUCUGUGAACCCUCAGUAUCUUAACAGAAUUCACUACUAGAUUUUGUUUCGAGAUCUUUAAUCAUAUUGUAUGUUUGUAACUCCUCGAGUCUGCACCCCGAACGCCACACGGUGUUUACGACCUCGAAGAACCACAAGCUAACUCAUGAUUGGUACCUGCUGUGAGCACUGGAUGAUAAUACUGUAAUAAUACAGAAAAUAGACUGAAAUGCCAUAAGGUUCAUAAUUUGAAUACUGAUAAAGAAUAACAACUGUAAUGAUAUCUGAUAAAACAUCUGAAAUCUGAAAUACUAUUUGAAUUAGUCUAGUCUGAAAAUCCUCUAACUGAACUGUCUGAAAGUGGAGUUGAUGGGAUAAGCCCCCAACUAAAUCCAAUUAUGAAAUAUUGAAACUGAUUAAAUACUGAAAUAAAAGCAUAUCCUCGAUAGAUGAGGACUCACUACUGAAUCUGAUGCUGCUAACUGAAUCUUUCUAUGCGUGGUCAGGAACCUAAGCAUUCGAGCCUAUGAUAUGAGACAUCAUAGGGCAAAGAAAGAGUAUGUGUCAAUACAUGAAAUGUAUUGGUAUGCUAGAUGAGGUAAGGCUCAAUGCAAGGGUUCAUAUGCAUGAACAGUAACUGACUGAAUGAUAUAAAGUAACUGAAUAAAGUACAGGGUUAACUAAAACUACUGUAAAAAUACUAAGUAUGCAAUAUUGUGCAUAUACGUGAGGCUUUUUUAAGCUGAGCACUGAGUUUUGAUAACUGAGUAACUGAUAUUUGAGAUUACUGAUAACUAAAUUACUGAUAUUGAUUGACUAUGUCAAACAUUCCUUAUUCUGUAAAACUAAACUGAGUUCUAUACUGAGACUAAAAACUGAAACUAUGGGAGGUAGUCAUCUAAUCGACAUGCCCCAAAUAAGAUAACUAGGGUCCAACCUAUAACCGUAGCUGAAAGGGUGUCAGUACCGUGACACGGGUAAAGACAAUUGAAGAGUCACCCUCAUCUGGCAGGUGCCCUAAAUGAGAACGGUGGUACCCUCAACUGGCAGGUUAAAACACCUCAUCAAACCUCAACUGGCAGGUUGAUGUCUCAACCUACGUUGGCUACCUAGUUUUGGAAUGAAAGAACUGCUUCUAAGGAUCGCACCCUCUAUUGGCAGGUGAGCCCCCAUCCUUAGGUUCACUCGGUGGUGAGUCCUACUUCCAUCUGAAUGACACUGAUUAUUAUACUGAACUGAACUGGACUGAUAAUGAGUUUUACUGAGUGUUGUAACUGACUGAGUUUACUGAGUUUUGUUAACUGAUUGAGUACUAUGAUUUUGUGACCUGAUUGAGACUAUUCCGUAACUACUGUAGCUCUAGGUAAACAGCUAGAUUUUUGGUUAUUGAAUACCCCCAGGACUCGAUAACAUGAAAAGUAAAGCAUAGCAUGAUCUUGAGAAAGCAUAACAAUGUUCACUUGUUCAUAAUUCAUUCAUAGAAACAUUUUAUCAAACACUUGUAGGGCAUAAGCUUGUACAUGUGCUAGCAUGUCAUGAUUUCACCAUUUAGUUCACAUGGACAUUCCAUCAAACACUUGGGAGCAUAACUUAAUGCAUAUAAUCAUGGACAACAAAUAAACAUUUUAACUACAACACCCAAACCUGCUAAUUCAAGGGUUAUAACAUGGAAUUACACAAUUCAAUAUACAUGCUAUUUUAAUUUCAUUGAAUCUACAAUUUAAUCAUGGAUUGAAAUUCAAUUAAUGUCAUGAAUAUGAAUAAAAUCUAAUUUCAAGCAUGUAAAUCAUAAAUCAAUAAGCUUGUAGUUUUAAAAAUGGAUUCUUAGACUCUGUUGGUGUAAGGAACCCAUAGAUGAACUCCUAACAUACUUGAGAAAAUUAAUUCUUGAAGGUUCUUGGAGGAUUUCUUGAGCUUUGUUCUUGAUUCUUGAAGCUAGGUUUUAGCUUUUUGAGAGAGAAUGAUUUAAUUUGGGGGAAAUUUGGUGAAUGAUGAUAUAACUAGGUUAAUUAGGUGUUAAUUAUCUGUUUAAGACUGAUCUGGGUCAUGGAAAAAUACCAAAUUACUCUUGGAAAGAAGUUAAGAUUCGUCACUGAAAAUCUUGAUUUUGGGCUUCACCGUAACAUGGUGGCAUUGUGGUGAGCCACUGGAAUUCAAUUGGAAUUGUACAAAAAGGGACAACUGGGAAAUUGGCUCUUGGCGCGACGCGGCACCAUUGUGGAGCCUCACUGGAAUUUGAUAAUUCUAAAAUUUGGACCUGGCGCAACACGAUGUUUUUGCAGUUCUUCACUGAAAAAUGCCAAUUGAGAACUGGCACUACUCCACGACGUGGUAUUAUAGCAUUGGCUCACUGGAAACUGACAAUUAUCAUUUGGAUGGUCUCCGCGGUGCGGUGCUGCACCAGGUGGCACACUGUUUUACAAAAUAUGCUAUAACUUCUCAUCCGGUUAUCGGAUUUGGGUGAAUUUUAUAUCGUUGGAAAGAUGACUGAAUUUUAUACGCAAUGGUAAGCUCUAAACUGAAAAAUUUGGAGUAUUCUAAAAAUUUUAUAUAGGAAUACUCAUAUAUUGAGAGUUAAACAGAGUUAGAAAAAUAUAGUGUAUUACAAUAUCUCCCCCUUGGGAACAUUCGUCCUCGAAUAAGACUAAUUAAGCUGAGAAAUACUAAUAGACUGAGUUUACACACUGAACAUGCAUGUCUGAUGCAUGGAAUACAUGACUAAAACUAUUGAUAAGCUGAGUUUUCUGACUGAACAUGCAUAUCUAAUGCAUGAGUACAUGGCUGAACUGAUUCAUGAAUGCAUGACUGUCAUAAAGAUGAUAUGCAACGGCAAUAAAUACCAAAUUUGCAACUAUAACUGAACAUGGAACUGAGUAAAGCUAAGGAAGACUAUUACCUUAAGCUGAGUCUAAAUUUGCGGAGAAGAGGUGAGGAUACUUGGUCCGUAUAUCUCUUCUGCUUCCCAAGUAGCUCCAUUAACGAACUGAUUCCGCCAAAGAACUUUGACUAAGGGAACUUAUUUGUUCCUCAGUCUGCGAAUCUGAUGAUUGAGGAUAUGGACUGGAACCUCUUCGAAAGAGACAUCAUUCUGAAUAUCUACACCCUCUAAGGGUACUAUGACUGCUGGGUCUCCAAUGCAUUUCUUUAGCAGGGAGACAUGGAACACUGGGUGCACUGAAGCUAGAUCUGAAGGCAACUCAAGCUCGUAAGCUACCUUUCUGAAAUGGUUGAGGAUUCUAUAAGGACCGCCAUAUCGGGGACUGAUCUUUCCCUUCUUGCCGAACCUCUUCACCCCCUUAAUGGGAGAGAUUUUAAAGAAUACAAAAUCACCAAUCUCAAACUCAAGAUCCUUUCUUCUCACAUCUGCAUAGGAUUUUUGUCGGCUUUGGGAUGCCCUAAUCCUUUCUCUAAUCAACUGAACCUUCUCUGAGGCAUCAAACACUAAGUCGGGCUCUACUACUAUGGAUUCACCUACCUCAAACCAACCAAUUAGAGAUCUACAUCUUCUACCAUAUAGAGCCUCAAAUAGAAACAUCUAAAUACUGUAAUGAUAGUUGUUAUUAUACGUGGAUUCAAUCAAAGGCAAGUGGUCAUCCCAAAUACCUUUAAAAUAAAAAAUGCAGGCUCUUAACAUAUCUUCUAGAGUUUGAAUGGUCUUUUAUGCUUGACCAUCUAUCUAAGGGUGAAAAAUAUGUACUAAGGUAAACUUAGGUACCAAGAUCCUUUUGGAAUGCUUUCCAAAAGUGAGAGGUAAACUGAGUACCUCUAUCUGAGAUGAUGGAUACUAAAACUCCAUAUAACCUAACCAACUCUCUGACAUAGAGUUUGGCGUAGUCCUUGGCUGAAUAGAAGGUGUGGACUGGCAAGAAAUGAGCUGAUUUGGUCAUCCUAUCUACAAUGACCCAAAUAAAAUCAUGUUGAUGGUGGGUACGAGGCAAACCAUCACAAAGUCCAUGUUCACUUCUUUCCAUUUCCAUGUGGGAAUACUAAACUCCUACAUGGACCCACUAGGUUUUUGGUGCUCAACCUUAACUUGCUGACAUAUAGAGCACUUAGCUAUAAACUUUGCAAUAUCCCUCUUCUUCCCACUCCACUAAGAGAUCUCUCACAAAUCGAAGUAAAUCUUAGUAAACCCUGGAUAAAUAGAGUAACACAUGCCAUGUGCUUCUGCAAGAAUUCAUUGCCCCAAGUCAUCUACACCUGGCACACAUAGUCGACCUUGGCAACGCAACACACCAUCUCUCCCUUGGCAGAAAACCUCUACUUUCUGAUCUCUGAUUGACUCUUUCAACUUAACAAGAUUGGGAUCUCUAUCCUACGUUUUCUUCACUUCAGAAACUAGAGAUAAUUCUGAACUAUUUUGUACCCACACACUACCCUCUGCAGAAUCGACUAAGCGGACACCUAGUCGGGCAAGCUGAUGAACUUCCUGAGCUAACUUCUUUUUAUCAUUCUCAACGUGAGCAACACUACCUACUGAAAGCAUUUGCCACUACAUUGGCCUUACCCGAAUGAUACAGGAUACUCAUAUCAUAAUACUUUAGUAACUCUAACCACAUUCUCUGAUGUAAAUUCAAAUCUUUUUGAGAGAACACAUACUGAAAGCUUUUGUGAUCUGUGAAAACAUCAACAUCCACCCCAUACAAAUAGUUCCUCCAAAUCUUUAAGGUAAAAACUAUACCUGCUAACUCAAGAUCAUGGGUAGGGUAAUUCUACUCAUGGGGCUUCAGUUGUCUAGAGGCAUAGGCUAUGACCUUACCUCUCUUCAUUAGGACACAACCCAAUCCUACUCUAGAUGUAUCAUAGUAUACAACAAACCUAUCUAAACCAUCUGGUUGAGUCAAAACUGGGGCUGAGGUGAGUCGAGUCUUCAACUCCUGAAAACUCUUCUUAUAAGAAUCUGACCACUGAAACUUGACUUUCUUCUGAUUUAAUCUGGACAUAGGGGAUGAAAUUGACAAAAAACCUUCAACAAACCAACGGUAAUAUCCAGCUAAACCUAAGAAGCUCAUAAUAUCUGAUGGAGAAAUAGGUUUAGGCCAGUUUUUCACUGCUUUAGUCUUUUGAGGAUCAACUCUAAUGCUAUCACCAGACACAGUAUGACCAAGAAAUGCUACUGACCUUAGCCAAAAUUUGUACUUACUAAAUUUGGCAAACAACUAAUGGGCUCUGAGAGUCUGAAGUAUAAUUCUAAUAUGGUCUGCAUGAUCAUUUUUGGUACGAAAGUAAACAAGAAUGUCAUCAAUGAAGACUAUGACAAACAUAUCCAAGUACUACUUGAACACGUGAUUCAUUAAGUCUAUGAAAGUUGUUGGGGCAUUUGUAAGACUAAAAGACAUGACUAGAAACUUGAAGUGACUAUACUGGGUUCGAAAAGCUAUUUUUGGAAUGUCACAUUCCCUGAAUCUGAGCUGAUGAUAGCCUGACCUGAGGUCUAUCUUAGAAGAGUAACUGGUACCCUUUGUUCAACUGAUGAUAGGCUAUAUGCAUUCUAAGGGAACUUUCUUUCUUACGCACUAAUAGAACUGGUGUACCCCACGGGGAAACACUGGGUCUGAUGAACCCCUUGUUUAAAAUGUCCAUUAACUGUUCUUUUAACUCUCUAAAUUUAACUGGUGCCAUUCUAUAUGGCAGAAUAUAUAUGGGCUGAGCAUCUAGAAGAAGGUCUAUUCCAAAGUCAAUUUCCCUUUUGGGAGGAAAUCCAGGAAGAUCUUCAGGAAACACAUCUUAGAAUUCAUUUACUACUUGAACUGACUCAAGACUAGGAGUCUCUAAACUAGAGUCUGUGACUCGUACAAGAUGAUAGACACAUCCCUUGGAUAUCAUUUUUCUCGCUCUAAGGUAUAAAAUCAACUGACCCUUAAGCGUUGGAGUACCACCCCUCUAUUCAAGGACUAGUUCAUUUGGAAACAAAAAAUAAACUAUUCUAUUUCUACAAUCAACUGAGCCAUAGCAUGAAUAGAGCUAAUCCAUGCCGAUAAUGAUGUUGAAAUUUGUCAUCUCUAAUUCUACUAAGUCUGCUGAAUUGACUUUUUGAGAUAUCAUAAUAGGACAGUUCUUGUAUACCCGUCGAGCUAUGAUAAACUGACCCACUGAGGUAGAGACUGAGAAAAGUAUUAUUAAGAUUUAUAGUUUGACCUUAAAGUUAACUGGUAUACAAGGAGUUACAAAGGAUAGAGAAGCUCUUGGAUCUAAUAAGGCAUAAACAUAUAAAUGGAAGAUCUAUAAUGUACCAGUGACCACAUCAAGAAAAUUUUCUUGAUCUUGUCUAAACUGAAUGCGUAAAGCCUAUUUGGCCGUUGCCCACUAGUGUCAAUAGAAGCGGUACCCUGCUGAUUCAGGCAACUGGACUGAGCUGAAGGAUAAUUGUACUAACGUUGAGAACCUGACUAAGGAUAAUCUUUGAUUUGGUGGCUUGGCUUGCCACACUCGAAAUAAACAUUACUGCCUGUCCUGCAAAUACUCUGGUGGUUUUUGCUAUAUUUUUGACAAAGAGGAUUUGUUCAAGCACUGAUACACUACCUUGAGAUUUGAGCCUAGCGCCCUAUAUUUGUUACUAUUUUUGAACUUAGGGACUAGAGCAUUGGUUGAGGAUGGAGUUGUAACUGAAUAUUUUGGAUGAAAUUAGAAAUGGUUAUCACCUUCUGACUUAGGCUGAGUAAAAUUGAAGCUACCUAUUCUAGCUCUCUUGUCCUCCCUCCCUCUCUCUCCUUAUUCUUAUCCUUUUCUAUCUACUGAUCAUGGACCAUAAACCUGGAUAUGACUAUCUCCUUAAUUAAUAACAUUGUUCUGUACUAUUUGACCAUACUCUCUAAUACCCCAGACAAAAACUUACUCAUUCUGGACCCACUAACUGCUACUACAUGGGGAGCAUACCUGGCUAACUAAGUAAACUUGAGAGAAUUCUCUUUCACGCUUAUGUUUCCUUGCCUGAGAUUGGUGAACUCUAACACCUUAGCUUCUCCCAGCUCUAAGGGAAAGAAUCUAUCUAGAAAAAUAGUAGCAAACUCUUCCCACCCUAUGGGCUCUACAUUUGUACCCCUGUCUACCUUCCACUGCUUGAACCACGUAUGAGCUACAUCUUGUAGCUGAUAGGCAACUAACUCAACACUCUCACUAGAAGUCGCUCCAAUGAUAUCUGUGACUUUCUAAACCUGAUCGGGGAACUCUUGUGGAUCCUUUUCUGACUUAGAUCCUUAGAAUAUGGGAGGAUUCAUUUGGGUGAAGCCCCAAAUCCUGACUACAGCAGUAUUUGCCACUGGGUUGGCCUGGAUAGCAGCUGGCCGUUUAUUCUGAGUUGUACAAAAUUGGCUAAAGUAGUAAAUGCAGCUCUGAAUUUUGUGUGGGACACAAUCCAGGGGAUCUACCUGAACGGGCUGAGGUGAUGACUGGUUUCUUAUCCCUCUUCUGUUGCUAUUUUUGGAAGGCACGUUCUGUAAAUGGAAAUAAGAAAAGAAUUAGACUGAGAGCUUGUCUUAAGCUCAUGCUCAUUCGCACGACAUGAAUACUGAAAGAAGGGAAACUUUUCCUAAAACAUCUCAUAACCUCUUGUCCAUAAGUAUGGUGCACUAUACAUACAUGCACAACACUCUACUAGACACGACAUUCAGACUCCCUAGGACUCUAUUGAACCUUAGGCUCUGAUACUAAGUUUGUAAUGCCCCAAGUUUGGAUGUUGGAUGUCACACGGUGCUUAUGACCCCAAAGGACUACAAGCUAACCUAUGAUCGGUACCUGUUAUGAACACUGGAUAAUAAUACUGUAAUAAUAUGGAAAAUUAGCUAAAAUGCCAAAAGUUUCACAAUCUGAAUACUGAUAAAGAAUAACAACUGUAAUGAUAUCUGAUAAAACAUCUGAAAUACUGUAUGAACUAGUCUAUCCUGAAAAGCCUUUAACUGAACUAUUUGAAAGUGGAGUUGAUAGGACAAGCCCCCAACUAACUUCGACUAUGAAAUACUGAAACUGCUGAAAUACUAAAAUAAAAACAUAUCCUCGUUAGAUGAGGACUCAUUACUGAAUCUGAUGCUGCUAACUGAAUCUAUUUAUACACGAUUAGGAUCUUGAGCGUUCGAACCAUGAUAUAAGACAUCAUAGUGCAAAAAAGAGUACGCAUCAGUUCGUGAAAUGUACUGGUAUGCUAGAUGAGAUAGGGCUGAAUGUAAGGUUUCAUAUGCAUAAACAGUAACUGACUGAAUGAUAUAAAGUAACUGAAUAAGAGUACAUGGUUAACUAGAACUACUAUAAAAAUACCGAGUAUGCAAUAUUGUGCAUAUACGUGUAUAUUAUAUCAGAGCUUUUCUGAAGUUGAGUAAUGCGUUCUAAUAAUUAAGUAAUUGAUAUUUGAGAUUACUAAUAAUUAAAUUACCGAUACUGAUUGACUGUGUCUGAUAGUCCUGAUUCUAUAAAACUGAAUUGAGUUUUAUACUGAGACUGAAACUGAAACUGUGGGAGGUAGUCAUCUAACCGAUAUGCCUCAAAUAAGAUAACUGGGGUCUAACCUGUAACCCCAAUUAGAAGGGUGACAAUACCAUGUCACAGGUAAAGACAACUGAAGAGUCACCCUCAUCUGGCAGGUGUCCUGAAUGAGAAUUACGAUACCCUCAACUAGUAGGUUAAAACACCUCAUCAACCCUCAACUGGUAGCUUGAUGUCUCAACCUACGCUAGCUACAUUGUUCUGGAAUGCAAGGACUACUUCUAAGGAUCAUACCCUCUACUAGCAGGUAACCCCCAUCCUUGGGUCCACUCGAUAUUGAAUCCUACUCCCAUCUGAAUGACACUGAUUAUUAUACUAAACUAAACUGGAAUGAUAUUAAGUUUUACUGAGUGUUGUAACUGACUGAGUUUACUGAGUUAUGUUAACUAACUAAGUACUACGAUUUCGUGACCGGACUGAGACUAUUAUGUAACUACUGUAGCUCUAGGUAAACAACUAGAUUUUGGGGUAUUGAAUACCCUCAAGACUCGAUAGCAUAAAAAGUAAAGCAUAGCACGAUCUUGAGAAAGCAUAACACUUUUCACUUGUUCAUAAUUCAUUCAUAGAGACAUUUUAUCAAACACUUGUAGGGCAUAAACUUGUACAUAUGCUAGCAGGUCAUGAUUUCACCAUUUAUUUCACAUAGACAUUCCAUCAAACACUUGGGGAGCACAACUUAAUGCAUAUAAUCAUGGACCACAAAUAAACAUUUUAACUACAACACCUAAACUUUCUAAUUCAAGGGUUAUAACAUGGACUUACAAAAUUCAAGAUACAUGCUAUUUCAAUUUUAUAGAAUCUACAAUUUAAUCAUGGAUUGAAACUUAAUUAAUGUCAUGAACAUGAAUAAAAUCCAAUUGCAAGCAUGUAAAUCAUGAAUCAAUAAGCUUGUAGUUUUAAAAAAGAAUUCAUGGACUCUAUGGGUGAAAGGAACCCAUAGAUGAACACCUAACAUACCUGAGAAGAUUAAUUCUUGAAGGUUCUUGGAGGAUUUCUCAAGAUUUGUUCUUGAUUCUUGAAGCUAGGGUUUUGCCCUUUUGAGAGAGAAUAAUUUAAUUUGGGGGAAAAUUGGGUGAAUAAUGACAUAACUAGGUUAAUUAUGGGCUAAUUAUGUGUUUAAAAAUGAUUUGGAUCAUGGAAAAACACCAAAUUACCCCAGGAAAGAAGUUAAGAUUCACCACUGAAAAUCCCAAUUUCAGGCUUCACCGCAACGCGGUGGCAUCGCGGUGAGCCACUUGAUUCUGGCUGGAACUGUACAAAAAGGGAUGACUGGAAAAUUGGCUCUUGGUGCGAUACAGCACCAUCGUGGAGCCUCACUGGAAUUUGACAAUUUUAAAAUUGGUCCCUCGCAUGAUGUGACACUUUCACGAAGCUUCACUGGAAAGAUGCCAAUUGGGAACUGGCACUGCUCCACGAUGCGGGCUUAUCGUGUUGGCUCACUGGAAAAUGACAAUUACCAUUUGUAUGGUUUUCGUGAUGUGGUGCUGCACCAGGUGGCACAUUGUUUUACAAAAUUAAUAUAUUUUCUCAUCCGGUUAUCGUAUUUGGGUGAAUGUUUUAUCGUUGGAAAGUUGGAUGAAUUUUCUACACAAUGGUAUGCUCUAAACUGAAAAAUUCAGAGUAUUCUAAAAAAUUUAUAUAGAAAUACUCGUAUACUAAGAGUUAAACUAAGCUAGGAUUAUACAGGGUAUUAUAAUGUCUCUCCAUCCAAAAUUGGGGCUUUACUUUCAACUUCAUCGUCCAUUAGAUCCUUAACUUCUUCAUCAACUUCUAAUAUUUGCUCUGAGCCAGCGAUUGACCUUGAUACGAUGGAUGACUAAUAAGAGACUUCAACUUUCACUACUCUCAAAAUUUGCCCAAUGUAUUAUUUAUGCUGACAUCGUCUUGUUUAAAAGGAGUUUUAAAAAUGCACAACGUAUCCAAUUGUUUUCGAAGACUGAUGCAUGACAUCUCUAAUUAUUUAUGGAGAUUGAUGUUUAUUAUUAUCAUCGAUUAUCAACGAAGACUGAGGCCCUCAACUAGUGAGGUGACUAAAUCUAAUAGCUUGUCAAUUGGUGGGGCUAUUGAAAUGUAAAAGACUCUAGAUUGGAAGAACAAAUGUAAUAGCCUCUCGAUUGGCAGGGCUAUAUUAAAAAAAUACUCAUAAAUGGGCGUUUAAUUGAAAAAUAAAAUACUGAUAUUUAAAGGUAUAUGCUUGAAAGAAAAAGUCAAAUGUCUGUAUUUCAAAACUGGGUGUCUUUAAUAAAAAGUAAAAAUGCAUGUAUGUGAAAGUGAGCAACUUGAAUUAAAUGUAAAAAAAAAUGUCUGUAUUUGAAAGUGCGCAUCUUGAAAAAAAGAAAGAAAGAACUUUGCAUUUACUUGAUAAAAAGUGCAGAAAGAUGAAGAAAACACAACUGUAUCUUGACUUUAGUUGGUACCAAUAAUUAGUAGUGUGCAUAAGAAUUUCCUUAUCUCUUUCCCAUCUAUCUGAGAUAGACUUCAGGGUAACUCCUAGAGUUUCAAGGGGUACCUCAGACACGCCUAAGUAUCGAUAAUAUUUUUUAUCUUGCUUCAAAAAAAUAUUUCGAGCUAUGCCUAUCCUCAUGCUUCAAGUGCCCUCUUCAGAAAGAAAGUCUCAUUUUGCACAUAUUUGAGUAAAAAUAAUCUCAUUUCACACAUAUUUGAGUAAUUUUCUUUUUAAAUUUGGGGAUAUCUAGAGAAAUACACUCACACUCAGAAAGAAAUUCAAUCCAUGCAAUUAUGAUACCAUAGGCUUGAUAUUCAUGUAAGUAUUCACUAACGUGAGAACACUUGGAAUAGGAUCUCGUAGGACUUGCUAUCGGUUUGUAAUGUAGGCUUGGAGACUGGUAGGAUGAUAUUUGGAUGAAAGUGAAUAAUACCUCAAUGUGCAUUACACUGCAUUUGUGCUUUCGGCGUUUGUUGCGUUUUGACGCGUGAUCUUCUUAUUUGUGUUGCAUUUUCCUUUGUUUUGUGUUUGCUUCGACUUCUUUGGAAUCUUAUGUUAGAGUUGUUCCCCCUUUUUUCAAAAAAAUUUAUAUAUAUAUUUCCUUUUUUUUCAUUUGUGGGGGUUUUUCCUCCUUUUGAAGUCAUUUUUUCAUUUUUGUUCAUCUGGACAACAUAUCCUUUGCAUUUUGCAUCUUUGAUCUUGAAUCUUCGUCCGUAAUUUGCACGUAUUUAGUGUGCUUAAGGAAGUGAGGCCAAGAGAGGGAUAGUGCAUGUAAGCACUUAUAGGCUCAAAUGCAGUUGUCCAAAGAAAAGGUUUUACGCUAAAAAAGGGAAUGCUAGGGAUUAAUGUCAUUUAGUGGGUGGUGAAAGGCACAAUCAGGUCAAAAAAGGCCUACGAUCCUUUCCUAAACCAAGUGUAACUCAGGAUUUCUCCUCAAAAGACACUUAGGUCAAGUUCUAGAUCAAUAAUGUAAUGAAGUGAUUAAAUUAAAGCUCACCACACAACGCAUAUGAAACAAUGAAGUUGACUUUGUUUUUGUCUUAAAUGUAUGCAAGAGAAUUUUCAAGUGUUACUUAGGUAUGAUAAAAGGUACCAAAAGAACCUGUGGUUUAUCAUAAAGUUGGUCCUUUUAAUCAUACCAAUUUGUUCUUUCUCAUGCACAUUCCUAAAUGAAUUGUUAUCAACCAAGUCAAAAUUUUAUUAUUUUUUCAAAAAAAUGGGACCGAACCCAAAUGGGGGUUGCCUACAUAUCUUGUGAAAACAAGAAUCAGAUCUGUAUAGUUCAGGCAAAUUUACAAAUUUAUAUGUGCAAUGUAUGAUUAUAAAAAAAAUUGAUGGUCAUUCAUUAAAAUAAUGUGAAAUACAAUCAAGAAAGAAUUGCUUUUAGCAUCAAAAUUGUUCUAAUCAAAAGAAUGGAUGUAAAGCAUGGAGAGAGCUUUAACACAAGUUCAAUAUGCUGACAAGAUUAAAAAAGUCAGACAAUGAAGGAAUUAUGACAUUAUUUCACAUAACACAUCGUAAAUAAUAGUUCAUAUAAAAUUAUAUAAGGAUUACUUACAAGCUGUCACAUUCUUGUUGCGUAAUGUUUUACAUAUACUCAACCUCAAAUGGGUGUUGAUUCACUAACUGUGUCCUUUGACUUAUUUUAUCCCUAUAUGCAUCAAGAUUUGGUCAAUCUGUACGUGAUGUUUCUUCAAAAAAUUUAUUGUCAGAAAAGUAUGUUGGCAGAAUCACUACCAACUUGUGAAUCUCGGGCGAUAAGUCCAUAUAUUUUAGAUUGGACUGUGAUUCAUAGACACAUAUGCGUCUAUAUUUUAGAGCAAUAACAGCUAAUACCCAGUGAAACUUUUGAUGGCAUUUGACAGGAACAUACACCUCAUUAACUAGGUGCCAUUAUAACCCUGCUGGACUGUAAAAUCCCUUGAAUAUGUUUGUUAUUGCCUCUUCAUUCUAGGCCACAACAACAGAUUGAGCAUAAUCUUGCUGAGUAGAAACUACCAUGUCUGAAUCAUCAGGAUAAUAUCUAUGAUAGAUCUUCUUAAUAUAGCUCUUGAAAAGUAUUUUGUUAUUGUGAAUCUCUAUUCUUGAUCAAUCCUUAAUUUUAAUUUAUUGCACAGGUGAUAGAAUAUCACAUCAAUAUGCUACAAAAAUGAAAUACAAAAAUGAUACAUUAUGUUGGUUUAUACUAUGAACAUAUUUGUAUGUUUACACUAAGUAUUAUGAGUCACAAAGAGUAUACAUAAUUAUGGAAUUAAUAUAAGUAACAUGCAGGCAGAGGUAUUUUUAAACUGUUAGUGCGUAUAUGUAUCAGACUGAUAUAUAUAAAAGAAGGUAUUCAUUAGCCUGUGCACAUACAUAUCAAGAAACAUCUACAUACAUAAAAUAAGACAGGCAUAUAGCAAAUACAUACAAACAUUCUACUUUACACUCAGGCUUAUAAUAGCUAAUUACCAAAAACAGGCCAUGCAUAAACUAUCCAGUAAGGCAAAAAUAUACAUAUACUGGUUAAUAACAUACAUAACAGGAAAACAUUUACAUAAAAUUGAUGCGCAUACAUAAACAUUGGUAGAUGGCUUAUAGGUAUUAUUUUUAGAUAUUUUUAGCUUAGCUCAUGCAGAAUUCCGUAUUUUAGUUUUAUUAUAUACCUAUACUUCCCUAUUAUGAGCUUCGGAUUUAGUAGAUGGCUUAUAGGGUUAUCUUAAGACUACUCGUAGUCUUGAGCACCGUGUGACAUCUCUAGACCCAUUUUCAGGGCAUUGCAAACUUGGUAUCAAAGCCUAAGGUUAUAAAAGUCCUAGGGAGUCAGACAAGCCGCGUUACAUAGAGUCUUGAUCAUGGGUGUGAAGCGCACCAUAUUUAUGAGCAAGAUUCUACGAGAUGUUUUUAGGAAAUUAUCUCAUUCUUUCAUGAUCUAUCAUGCUUACAACAUAUCUAUCUUCUUUUAACUCAUGCUCUUAUGUGACAGCUGAAUAUGCCUCUUCACUAAGCUAAUGCCCACAUAAAUGAUAACCAGCCACCCCAGCCUGCUGACCCUUUGAAUGAAAAUGUAUCCCAUGUCUAAUUUGUGGUUGCCUUUCAGGUGUUGGCUUAUGCUGUGAAUGCUAAUGUUCAGGGCAACCAUCAGGCGGCAGUCUCACUUCAGAUUUGGUAGUCAAGGAGUGUAUAACUACCAUGCUUAUUGGGGAAAUGGAUCUUGCUAGGUUGAUAAUGCAUUCCUAGCAAAUUGAGGCAGAAAAGUUGAAGAGAAGAGAGAGAGGAAAUAAGAAGUCUAGAAUCGAGCAGUUUGAGUAUGGCCAGACAAAGUAUGGAGGGAGAAAUCAUUCACAGUUUCAGAAUUGUUCAUCUAUGCCAAUGCCAUCUUCAACCAGUGCUUCUACUCCUAGAGCUAGACAGGAGCAGUGGGGUAAGACUUCUAUGUCCAUAUCUUAGAAUAGUAUGAGUGGAAAACCCAAUUAUCCUCCAUGUGCUAAAUGUGGUAAGAAUCAUCCUGGUGAGUACUUGUUGGGAUAAAAAGGUCAUUAUGGUUGUGGUAAGUUGGGACAUGGAAUCAAAUAGAGUUGCAUGCUAAGCAAGAAAAUAGGGAUAUUCGUCCCCAGACUCAGGCUACUAGCACACUAGUCCCUCCAGGUAAUUUAGUCCCUCCUUAGAGUGCAUCAUCCGAUGUCGGUGACGGUUAGUGCCAGAAUUAGUUUUAUGCUUUACCAUCCCAUUAGGAGUAAGAGGAUUUACCAUAUGUUGUUACUAGUAUGCUUCGUGUCUUUCGUCUUGAUGUUUAUGUGUUGUUAGACCCCGGGUCAAAUUUCUCUUAUGUGACCCCACUAGUUGCAGUAAAUUUUAAAAUAGAUCUUGAAAAGAUCCCUGAGCCCUUCUUAGUAUCUACUUCAGUGGGUUAGUCAGUUGUUGCCAAAUAGAUCUAUAGAAAGUAUCCUAUCACUGUCCUACAUAAAAUCAUGUUAGAAGAUUUAAUAGAGUUAGAUAUGGUCGACUUUGACCUUAUUCUUGGUAUGGAUUAGCUCUAUUUUUGUUAUGCAUCCAUAGAUUGUCGCACCCGAGUGGUGAAGUUUUAGUUUUUAGAUGAGCCAGUCUUUGAGUGGGAAAGUAAUUCAGUGUCUCCCAAGAGUCAUUUUAUAUCCUACCUUAAAGCCAGAAAGUUGAUCUCAAAAGGGUGUAUCUAUCAUUUAGUUUGAGUCAAGGACACUAAGUUUGAGACCCUAACAGGUUAAGGUAGAGCACUAGAGACCUGGUGGCACAUUACAGGAGUUUGGUAUCCCCACCUGGAAGUCAAAAGAGGUGAAUAUGGAUAUAGAUCACUCGUCAGUUGGUUCAAAAUAGGUGAGGCCACUUUAAUUGGGCUAGAUAUGGUGUUUGAAGCCAUGGAGAAAGUUUAGUUGAUUCAAGAGAGAUUGAAAGUAGAUCAGAGUCAUCAGAAAUCUUAUGCAGACGUAAGAAUAAGAGAUCUUGAGUUUGAAGUAGAUGAGCUUGUGUAUUUAAAGAUUUCACCCAUGAAAGGGGUGAAGAGAUUUGGCAAAAAGGGGAAGCUUAGUCCCCGAUAUGUAGGCCUCUACCAGAUUUUGAGUCGUGCUGGGAAGGUAGUAUAUGAGCUUAAGCUACCCGCAGACUUAUCAUCAGUUCAUCUAGUGUUCUAUGUGUCUUUAUUGAAGAAGUACGUAGAUGAUUCAGUUGUUAUAGUCCCUCUAUAAAGUACAAAUAUUCAGAAUAGCCUCUUAUACAAAGAAGUUCCAGUAUAGAUUCUUGAUCAUCAGAUUUGUAGACUAAGGAACAAAGAAGUUCCCUUGGUCAAAGUUCUAUGGCGAAAUCAGUCUGUUGAGGGUGAUACUUGGGAAGCAGAAGCAGACAUGUGUACCAAGUAUCGUCGCCUUUUCUCCAUGAACUCAAAUUCAGCCAAAGGUAAUAGUCUUCUUUAAUUCAGUUCUUUUCCAUUCUCUGAUUUAUCUAUAUAAUUAUCUUCAUGUAAAUUCAUGCACUCUCAAAUUAGUUCAGUUGCUUAGUAUGUUUUAGAUUCAUUCAUGCACUUUUUUCAGUUGUGCAUGCCAGCAUAUAUAGCCUCAGUUCCUCAGAAUCUUCAGUUUAACUAGUCUCAUUCGAGGACAAAUAUUCUCAAGGGGAAGAUAAUAUAAUACCCCGUACUUUCCUAACUCAGUUUCGCUCCUAGAAUGUCAAGAGUUAGAUUUGAAAAUGAAAAAAUUUUGAUACAUGUAGAAUUUUCAAGUUCUAGACCCACCAAUGUGUAGAUAAUUAGCUCAGUUUUUCAAUGAUACUAAUUUUGCCUUAAUUCGAUGCUCGGUGAGAAGUUAUGGUGAUUUUAGUGAAAACAGUAGGGUAUUUCGACAGGCACCACGUCGUGGUGAAGGACAAAAUUUCAAUUGUCUGAUUUCGGUGAAGCCUCGCGAUUAGCCUGCAUCGCGAUGAAGCUCCAGUUCCCAUUCGUCCCAUUCCAAUAACUCACCGCGAUAUGCCCGUAUUGCGUCAAAAUUCUUGAUUGGACAGACAGCGCAUCACGGUGGAGUGUAAAAUGGCACUCCUACUUUUCCAGUGGCGUAAAGCGAUUAUGCCGUGUCAUGCCAAAGGCCAAAAUGGCACUCGUCCCUUUUCCAGUGAUGCAACGCGAUUCCACCGCGUCGCGCUAAAGGCCAAAAUGGCAAUUAUCCUUUUUUCAAUAAGCCACUGCAAUAGCGGCGCGUCAUGGUGGGAGGAAAAGUCUGGAUUUCCAAUUUCCGAAGUUGAUUUUAAAAGGCAAAUCUAGUCUUUUUCCACGGCCUAAUUCGUGAAAACAUAAGAUUGAACCUAUUUUAAGCCUAUUAUUCAUUAAAUUUCUCUCAAGGAAACCCUAGAGCUUCAAAAAUUUAAUUCCCAAGAAAUCCAAAUUCCACCAUUCUUUCUCUAAGGAAACUCAAAAUUCAAGGUUACCAACUCAAGAUAAUCAAGAAUCCAUCUUCAAGAGCACAAAUAGGAAUCCAAAAUCGAGUGUUCUCAUCAGUUGCAUCAAUUAAGGUGUGUGGGGCAUUCAACAAGGAUAAUCAUUUCAUCUUUAUUCCCAAAACCAGUUUUGAAGUUGAUUUUUCUAUAAAUUUACAUGAGAUUCAAAUUAUGGUUCAUACCCAAUAUUGCUAUUUGCAAGAUUAUGAGAUUGCAAAUGAUUGAGAUAUUGAAUUGUAUGUUUAUUUUUGUAUUUUCAUGCAUAUGAUAUAAAUUUCUAGAUUUCAAAUUAAAUUAUCAUUAUUCUCAUUAUAAAACAUGAACAUUAUGAUGUUUUGACAUUAAUUUGAUGCAUGGGUUAUUAAGCCCUAGUUUGAAUGUUGUUAUUUAAAAAGAUUAUGCUUUUAAGCAUCCCAUGAUUUGUUAUAUUCAAAUUUUGAACAAAGAUUUGAUCUUUUGAUCACAGCUUAGAUAUGAAAUCCACUUUACAGAUUUAUCUACAAUUUACCGUAAACAAAUUUACCUGAGGUUCUCAUUGUAAACCCUUAUAGUAGUUUUUCAAAGUGGAUUUCCUACAGAAUGAGCAUACAUAUUAAAGUAAGUAGUAUUUAGCACCGAGUUGGGUAUGUUGUCAGCCCAGAACUAUGAAUCAAUGUAGGAUUUAGAUUUAUCAGAUUAUUCCCAUUUCUAUAUGGAUGACAAAUAUAGAUGUGAUCACUUAGAUUAGGUUAUACUCCUUGGUAAAAGUAUAGUACCUCUCCCCAACGUGAGGUUUUCCCAUAAGGGAACUAGAUGUUGGACAUUAUGAUAGCUCACAUAGUGUAUGUCAGUUAGAAGAACCUCCCUAACAGUAAAGAUUUUUAGAAUAGUUUUUUUAAAGUAUUUUCCUACAGCUUACAGAAAAGAGUAAAGAAUAAUGGAACAACUUUUAUAAAACUAAGUGUGAAAGCUCACAAAUUUAUUCAGAUAUUGGUUUACAUGUGACAUCAGCUAUGAGGUUUCACAUUUUAGAUUACAGAUAUAAAAGUGAGUCUUUUCUACUCUUAGACAGCAUGAUUUAAAGACAUAAUACAAGUACAACUUUUAGAAACUAAAUGUUAUGACUCACUAGAUCUAUGCAACAUGUUUUGCUAUUCAUGAUUAUGACUUUCAGUUUUUGGAUA
rnacentral:lncRNA from 1 species